rnacentral:lncRNA from 1 species
AAACAACAACUACGCCUCAAUCCCAAACAAGUUGGGGGCUAUAUGAAUCUCCACUUCUUUAUUUAAGUUAUCAUCAUCAUACUAGUAAAAAUAAAAGUAAAAAAUAAUUAAAUGUAUAAACAAUAAUAACCUAUAUGAAUCUUUUUCCUUCAUUAUGCCCUAUCUUUAGCUAAAUCUGCAUUGAUACCAAACAUUUGAGGUCUAUCAAUACAACUCGCUCAGAUGUAAUUUUAGAUCUAUCCCAACCCCCUUUAACACCUGAACUUACCAUAGUACGGUACAAGACACCAAUAAGAUCAUCUUAUUAGAAGUCCAUUAGGUGAAGACAAACGAGAGAAUUGCAGUUCCUCCAAUUAUACAGUAGCUAAUGAUCCCAAGCCUCCUAUCUAACAAAGUAAAAAAUUUGCUAUCACCUAAGUCUAACAUUAUGAAUUUCUCCUACUUCAUAACAAUAACAACAGCAUCGCCGCUUCAAUCCCAAACUACUCUCUAUUUGGGAACAUCUUAUUUAGAUACUUAAGAUUCUCUUCUUUUUCUUAUGACUGUGAUGUCUGGACCAGCUUUCGCACAUCUCGACUAAUUCCACAGUGUACCUGUAACCUCCCAGGACUAAUUCCACAUAAAUACUCUAUAACUUAUACUUCUAAAACUUCUCCAAAAUUAGAUGUUCCUAAAAUUCCACACUACCAUAAACUGACAUCCAAUUCACCAAAAAGAAAACUUCCUAGAACUGAUGCGAAACAAACGAAUUUCAACAAACUAAGCAAUAUAUCAUCCGACAAACAAAAGAGAAGAUCUCAACAGAUGAAUUACAGUAAAACGAACCCUAAUUUCAACAAUUAAACGCGAUAAACUCAGGAUUUAACAAUGGAAUCAUACAAACGAAACAGAAAAUCGGCGAUUAUCAAAGAAAUAUUACCAGAAUUUAUUGAGCAUGGCUUCGAACAAUCAGAAGAAAAAUGGAAACUUAGCAGAGAAGAUAUCCUUUUCCAAUUGACUUCCCUUUUCUCUUUGCCAAAAACUUGAAGAAACUGUGAAUAAAUUUUCACACAAUUUUUUUUUAUUAUUAUUACUGCUGUUUUAUUCUUCUUUUCUUUUGGUGUGUUGUAUAUGGAAAACAUAUUUUAUCAAUGUUUAUUGAUUACUCCUAAAACUUAUGAAGAAAAAAAUUUAAUAGGAAAAUAAGCUUUUUGAAAUUAAACACUCUUUCCACCAUCUACCCUCAAUUACCCUGUAUAUUGAUCAAUUCGGUUCGAUUUUAAAGUUUAUUGGUUUGAUUUAAUGGUUAUUGAUUUGUAGAUAUGUUAAAUCGUUAUAGAACCAUUAAGUUACUGAUUUAUCGGUUAUCGAUUUAUCAGUUAUUGAUUGUUAUUAGUUCAGUUAUUGGUUUAAUCAUUUGACACGCAAAAAAAUCAUUAAAAAUCACUUAGAAAUAAGAUGAAAAAAACAAAUGAACCAUGCAUAUGAGCUGACAGAUUUCAUCUUACUUAAAAACAAACACUAACAUGUUGUAGAACAACCAAAAGUUUGAGAUAGUCAGAAUUAAAAGUAUGAAACUGAAUCCUAAGUCCCAUUAUCAAUAAAUCAACAAAAAAAAAUUGGCUCAGUUAUCGAUUUCGGUUCGAUUUAGAACAACCCCACCCUAGCCCCAUCCAUUGGUGUAGUCUUAUAGCCGCAUGUAACGUAGGCUGGUCAAUUGAACACUCUUCGUCAAAAACUAUAUGAUAUAUAUAGGAUAUAAAUUUGAGGGUGUUUGGAUUGGCUUAAAAGUUGAUCAAACCUACUUUUAGGUCUGUUUUUUACUUUUGAAAGUGUUUGGCAAAUAUAUAUAUAAAAAAAAAUAAGUCAAAAAUAAUUUAAAAUAAGUUAGAAAAUGUUUUGACAAGGUAAAAAAUGUCUUAAAAUAAGUCAAAAAUCAAAAUAGGUCUCCCCUACUUCUUCUUUUUUUACUUAAAAGUAGGGCUGGGCAUAAAAUAUUGAAUUUUCAAAUCGAAUCGAAAUUUUGGUUAUUUGGUAUUUGGUAUGGUAUUCGGGUUUGGGUUUGGUGUAUGAGACAUUAGUACCAUUUGGUAUUCGAAAUUGGGAAAAAAAGAUGAAUUUACCCCCGAACUUUGAUAAAUGGUAUGUCUAUGCCCUCCGUUAUACUUUGGGUCCAUCUCAGCCCCUGCCGUCCAAUUAUCGGUACACACAUGCCCCACCUCACUAACGGCCCCCUCAUCCUUUACACGUGUCAUAAUCCUAAUUAACUACCCGUUUGACCAUUAUUUUUAACCCAUAAACUAACCACCCGCCCCAUAAAACCAUACCCACCUGAUUCACUCUAAAAUUGAGAUGGCCCUUGAAGCUUUGAAUUCUCCAACUGGUACUUCAAAUCCGCAGACAUUUCAAUUUGAGAGCAAAGGUCAACAGCAGCUUCGGUACCUUGAGAAUUGGACUAAAGGGGAGAGAUCUAAGAGGUCACGGAGUAUGGAUCGCCAGCCGACUGAAGAGGAAUAUUUGGCGUUUUGUUUGAUUAUGCUUGCGCGGAGCGAUGACUCUGUUAGUCAGGUACGAUCUCUACCAUCGCCGGUGCCAGUAAUGAAAAUCCACACGCCGUAGGAGAAGAUUGAGGAGAAGAUGUUGUAUAAGUGUUCGAUUUGUGGUAAGAGAUUUGGAUCUUAUCAAGCUUUAGGAGGACAUAAAGCUAGUCAUCAGAAACUCAUCGCCGGUGGCGGCGGAGGAGAUGAUCAGUCGACUACCUCAACUACUACUAACGCUACCGGAACUACUAGCUCCGGUAACGGUAACAGAAGUGGAAGGACUCAUGAGUGUUUGAUUUGCCACAAGUGUUUUCCUACUGGACAAGCUUUGGGAGGACACAAAAUGUGUCACUACGACGGCGAUAACGCUAACAGUAGCGUUAGCACUAGUGUCGGAGUUACGUCGGAGGAGGACGUGGGGUCUACAAUCAGCCACCCUGAUUUUGACUUGAACAUUCCGGUGUUGCCGGAAUUCUGUCCUGGAUUUGGUUCCGGCGAGGAUGAGGUAGAGAGUCCACAUCCGGCGAAGAAAUCUCGGCUAUCUCUACCUCCAAAAUUUGAAUCAUUCCACUCAAUUCUCAUUUUUCAACUCUCAAAUUUUUUGUGUUUUUGAUUUUGUAGUGAUUGAAUUGAAAAUUGACAGAGAGAAAUGAGUAGAGUUGGUGUAGAAUUAAUGGAGAUUGAAAAAGAAGUAACGGAAGAAAUGAGAGAUGGUGAUGAUGAAGUGAAAAGAAUUCUUCCAUGGACUAAACAGAUUACAGUACGAGGAAUUGUGAGAUAGGAACGAAACUCGAAAGAUUUGGGUCUUUUAAUUGACUUAGGAUAUUUUAGAUGGAAUCGGGUGGGUAUGGGUUUAUAGGGCAGGUUGUUAGUUUAUGGGUUAAAAUAAUGGUCAAACGGGUAGUUGAUUAGGAUUACGACACGUGUACAAGAUGAGGGGGCCGUUAGUGAUAGGGGCAUGUGUGUACCGAUAAUUGGACGGCAGGGGCUGAGAUGGACCCAAAGUAUAACGGAGGGCAUAGACGUACCAUUUAUCAAAGUUCGGGGGUAAAUUCGUCCUUUUUCCCUUCGAAAUUUCUCGAAUAUCAAAUUAUUUACUUGAUAAAGGUCAUAUAUCAACAUAUUCAUUACUCAUUAGUACAAGUCCAAAGAGAAAGUUAAAGAAUAAGCAUGAAUAAUCCAAAUACAUGUCUUUUAGUUGUAUCAAUUUGUUUUUCUUGAUGUCUUCUUACUUGUUGAUCUUCUAUUAUAUUGUGUGUCCACAUAAAAAAAUAGAAAUGAUUGGAGAAAUAGUAUUAACUUUGUAAUACAAUUGGCUAUAAGUUCAAUACGGUAUUAUCGAAUCCCGAAUUACCAAAUCAAAAUUUAAAAUUUUGGUAUUUGAUAUCUACUUUUAACUACCAAUUACUGAAUUACCAAAUCCGAAAUUUGACAAAACCCGAACCGAAAUACUUCUCAUUACAUGGGAGAAAUAAGAGGAAGUAUGGUUGGACAUACAGAAUAAGUGGAAGGAUUUACAUGUCAAUCUCUUCAAAAACAAUGUCGAUAACAAGUAGUGAAGACAGGAGACAUUGGAACUGAUUUGCAACGGAUGAAUCAAGGUUAGAUUUAUCUGUUAUUUGUUCAAAUCACAUUCAACGAUAUCAUUUUGUGUAAAACUCUGUGUGUGAAGCAACUCAGUCGAACUUCUGCAUUCUGCAGCCCACCUGUUUGUGACAUCUUUUGAUUGUCCAAAAUACAAAUUUUCUUCUCAGUUUUUGCUAAUUUCAUUGGUUUGAGUUAAUAUGAUAUGGUUAUUGUUAAUUAAUCUUUCCAUCAACGUAUUCUUUCAAUCAAUAAGCUUGCUUGUGAACAGUAUAAAACGUUGAAUAGUGUUCACUGUACUAUAUUUGUGACACAAGAGAAUUCCAAAGGGAUAAGAAUCUAAAAAAUAUCUCAAUUUUGGUCGGAUUUGUUGUUGCGAUACUAAACUUUCAUUAAGGAUCUAUUACCUCCCUAGACUAUUUAAUAUUGUAUUUUAAACUUUCAUAUAUAUGUUUAAAAUACGGUAUUAAAUAGUCUAAGAAGAUAAUAGGUCCUCAUAAAAGUUUAGUAUCGCAACAGCAAAUCCGACCAAAGUUGGGAUAUUUUUCAGACCCUUAUCCCAAUUCCAAAAAAAGGGACAAGAAUCCACUAAACUCUAUUAAAAAAGAAAACAGAGAUUGGUAAUGUGUGUUUCGUUCUCGAGAUGACUUAAUGCCCGUUUGAGUCUGUUUUCUCUGUUGGUUGUCUUCUCGAAUUCGUAUUCGUGGUUGUUGUGCUCGCCUUAAGUUUGUGUUGGUUACUUGUUAAUCAUCAUGAUGCACACAUACGGUCAAAGAAAAAUUUGUAAAAGUACACGGAUGAAACAAACAUGGUAAUUUGGUUAAGUGAAAGAAAGAGAAUCCUACAUUAAUGGGUAAAGUAAAAAUAGAAUCCUAAUUACCUUAUAAUACUAUAUUUGAUAUUUAUAUUUUAUAAAAUAAAAAUAUAAAUAUUAUUAAUAAAAAAAAAAAUUGCCUUAAAAUAUGUGUCAGUAAAAAAAAAAAGGAUAACUAAUAAGUAAUACAAGUAUGAACAAUUUCAAUUUCACAAGUAAAAGGAAAACGUAAAAAUUUAAGAUCAACACAAACUAUAUAAACACCCACAAAACACAAAACAAAAGAAAGAAAAAAAAACUUAGCAAUAUUUCAAAAAAAAAAAACGUAAUCGAAUGAAACUUUCAGGUGAAAAAUUAGUCCCAAAUCAACCAGGCACAAUCACAAUAAUCCCUGAAAAACCAAACGAUUUAUGGCUUUUGUUCAAUCUCAUUGCCAAUGAUGAUGUCGUUUCUGCUACCACAACUCGCAAAAUUCAAUUUUCUUCACAUUCGACGAAAAAUCGCAAAAUUCAAUUUUCUUCAGAUUCGACGAAAAAGAAGAGCAGUUCUAGGGUUCAAGUCCAGCUCGAAAUCAAAAUCACAAAUGUUGAUUAUGCGAAAGAUUGUUCAACUAUACGUGUUCGUGGCAAGACGAUUACGUCGAACGAAUAUGUAAAUCCUGGAACUUUCCAUACUUUGGAGCUGGAAACGAAAAAAGAGUUCAAACUGACAAAGAAGCUUUGGGACGAAGAAAUGAUUAGGAUUUUGAAGGAAGGGUCGAAUCAAAAUGGUAAGUAUGAUCUAGGGAUAAUUUUAAUGAAGAAUACAUUUGCUGAGAUUUUAUUGGUCGAUAAUAACGCAACAACUAUUACUCAUUGUGCAACUAUACGAAACGAAAAAACUUCGAAAAAUAACUCGAAUUUGGGGAAAUUUUUCGAUAGUUUAUUUGUUUCGUUCAGAAAACAUAUCGAUAUGAAUGUCAUACCUUACGUGGUGAUUGCAAGCAAAGACUCUAUCAAGGAUGAUUUUCGAGCUUACUUGUUGCUUGAGGCUCAUAAAUGGAAGAUAAAAUCCAUCGAGAGAAACAUAUCAUGUAUUCUCAUGGUUAACCAUAACAAUAUUAAGGAUAUUUUGAGUGAUAAAGUAGUCACAAAUAUGAACACAAACACAAAGGUGCUUGAACAAUUCAUGAAUAUGGUGAUAAAUAAAUGUGAUUGGGUGUGUUAUGGUACUAAAAGUGUUGAAUAUGCACAUGAGUUGCUCGCGAUUGAGACACUUUUGAUCACUGAAGAACUUUUGGAGAAUAAGGAUAUUAACUUGAGGAAGAAAUACUCAAAAUUGAAGAAAUUAGUACAAGAAACUGAUGGAAAAGUUGUACAAUUUAGCAAUAUUGAAAGAGAUAGACUUGCUCAGAUGACUGGAAUUGCUGCAAUUUUGAGGUUUCCUAUUCCUAAUAUUGAUGACUUGGUCUUGUAGUAUUUUUUUUUUACUUCUCUUAUUAGACACAAAAAUAACUUUAUAGGAUGAAAAUCAAUAAGCCAAUAAGUUAUCCAUCUUUCAUGCACGAUGUAUACGCAUGUUAAUGCAAGAAAUAUUAUUUUUUUUAUGACAAGGGAAACCCGCAGCCGCACCCUUUGGGUGCGCACAUGGUAAAAUCCCCGCUCCUAUGCAAUAGCUCACAAACCACAUAGGAGAGGUAAACCGCACUAGGCAAGCCUGGUGCGACGAGCUAGACCUAGAAGGCAAACCCCUUGCUUUCGCUGGCCAAGAAAUAUUAUAUUGUAUGGUCAAUACUUUUAAUUUUUUAAUUAUAGAUGAAAUCGAACUUUGAAUAUGCCUUUAAUCAUUAAUUAUAAGUUCAGGUAAGUAAAGUUUAUUAAUUAGGGUCAUUAUUCUGUACCAUUUCAACGCAUUAAUCAAUUAUAUAUAGUAUUAGUAUAAUUUUACUUGCACAUACAUCUACUUUAUAUAUUAAACUUGGUGCAUAAUAUAUAUUUGACUUAGUAAAAUAGUCCGCAAAUCACAUAAGACAUGUAAAUUGCCCCAAAAAAAAAAAGAACCAUCUCUCAAUUUGUGUAUAAUAUGCUUGUUCAGAGAAUCAGAGACCAUGUUAAUCUUUUUGUAGCGUUUCAAUUUUAUUGGAUGUCCAAAGGGACUUUUUAUUUGUAUUGAAUGUUACUUUACGAGUAAUGUUUGGUUGAAAAAUUAUUUAUUCAUAUUAAUUGAUGUAUAAUAUUAGAUUUUAGGAGAUAAUUAGAAAAUAAGUAAUUAAUUUAAAGAGUAAAAUAUUUAUAAAAAAUCUAUCUUAAUAUGUUAAAAAUAACAAAUGAAAUUUAAAUAUAUAUUUAAUAUAGUCGACAAAUAAAAAUGAACAUGAUGAGUAGUAAUUAUAGUUAUGUCCAAAGUUAUGUGACUUGCAUUUAACAAUCUGCUUUACCCAUUAAUUGGGUUUAAUUUACUCACAUUUUGUCAUUCUGUUCUAUUGGCUAACUGCUCAGGUUAGGUAGCACAAAAUUUGUUUAAGUUAGUGUUAAUAAAUAGUAAGUGCAAAUAAAUUUUCAAAGCUAAAGGUCCAAAUUCGUCCACAUUUUACUAUGUAAUAUUUAUACAAUCAAAAACUUUGAAGAAACUGUGUAAAUUUUAACACAAUUUUUUUUUUAUUAUUACUGCUGUUUUAUUCUUCUUUUUGGUGUGUUACAUACAAGGAAAACACAUUUUAUCAAUGUUUAUUGAUUAAAAUUUAUGAAAAUACUUUCAUUUUUAAUAGAAAAAUAUUUUAUUUUUUUGGUUGAUUCGGUUCGAUUUUAAAGUUUAUUGGUUUGAUUUAAUGGGUAUUGGUUUGUAGAUAUGUUAAACUGUUAUAGAAUCAUUACGAUAUAUCAGUUCAAGUAUAGGUUUAACGUUGAUUGAUAAUAAUUCAACAACUAUUACUCAUUGUGCAACUAUACGAAACGAAAAAAACUUCGAAAAACAUCUCGAAUUUGGAGAAUUUUUUCGAUAAUUUAUUUGUUUAAUUCGUUCAGAAAACAUAUCGAUAUGAAUGUCAUACCUCACGUGGUGAUUGCAAGCGAAGACUCUAUCAAGGAUGAUUUUCGAACUUACUUGUAGCUUGAGGAAAAUCCAUCGAGAGAAACGAAUAACAUAUUCUUAUGGUUAACCAAAACAAUAUAAAGGAUAUUUUGAGUGAUAAAGUAGUCACAAAUAUGGAACAAAGGUGCUUGAAUAAUUCAUGAAUAUGGUGAAAAAUAAAUGUGAUUGGGUGUGUUAUGGUACUAAAAGUGUUGAUUAUGUACAUGAGUUGCUCGUGAUUGAGACACUUUUGAUCACUGAAGAACUUUUGGAGAACAACAAUAUUAACUUGAGGAAGAAAUACUCAAAAUUGAAGAAAUUAGUGCAAGAAACUGGUGGAAAAGUUGUACAAUUUAGCGAUGUUGAAAGAGAUAGACUUGCUCAGAUGACUGGAAUUGCUGCAAUUUCGAGGUUUCCUAUUCCUAAUAUUGAUGACUUGGUCUUGUAGUGUUUUUUUUCCCACAUAGAUUAUGUAGACAGAUUAGUAUUAAUUAAAGCGUUUUUCCUAUAGUUAUUUUUUAAAUCGUGUUUACAUAAAGUUGCUUUUAAGUUUCGAAGGUCUACAUAUUAUGUAAAUCUGUCAAAAUGGGUUGGGUUGGCCCUAAUGGGCUAGAGAGUUAAAUGAGUUGGGACGGGCUGACCUUUUUAAUUAAAGGGUCUAUAAAAUAGAAGCUCAAUCCAGUCCUAAGUGGGCCACGGGUUGGGACUUCAACCAAAAAAUGGACAACAUUUUCCUCUUAGAAAGAGUAUGAACGUUGAUGUGUCUGAUGAACACGACAUCAAUACAUACAUAAAUUCAUUCAUGAAUUACACAUAUUUCAGUGAAUAUUUACAAAACAAAAACAUAAUAGCCAAGACACAACAUUCAAAAGAUUCAUCCGAGCAAAAAAAAAUACAUGAUCACUAUUUUCAUAAACAAGACAAUAAAUGAGAAGUGGGAAAUUAGGCAUAAAAACAAAAGUAAAAGAGGUCAAAGAUUCAUAGUUAUAAUGGAAUAAUGGACUUGGGAUAAUAAGAAAAUUUAGUGGGCUAAUGACCCUAAAAUGUAAAAGAUAUGUAAAGAAGUUAAUCUUGAUUUUAUAUUGAUAUUUUAAAAAUAUUUAUUGACAAAAUUUUAACAAAUAAAACACUACUUAAGAUUCUCUAGAAGAAAUACGGGGUUCUGCUUCUGGCGGCAACAUGCUUGGUCCCGCUUAUGGGGUCAAAUCAAUACGUUCUAAGAAGAAAGAUUGGAAUAUCAAUCUCAUCGAGAUCAUCGAUCUCAUACCAAAUCCCAUCAAUCGAAUCACUUUUUCAAGAAAUACGAGACAUCUAAGUCAUACAAGUAAAGAGAUCUAUUCAUUGAUAAGAAAAAGAAAAAACGUGAACGGGAAUUGGAUUGAUGAGAAAAUAGAAUCCUAUAAUUUAUACUAAAAUAUAUACAAUAAAUAUUUUUAAAAUUCAUAGCCCAUAGGCUGGCCUACGAGGCCAGUGGGCCAAAUGAGGCUGGGCUAAAAAGCCUCGUUCCUAAAUGGGCAGAAAAAAUUAAGCUCAACCCCAUUUAAUUCAAGAGUUGGUUUGGACCGACCUAGUGGGCCAAGCCCAUUUUGACAGCUCUAAUAUUUUGCAAAAUCUUAAACUCCAUAAAUUAAGCUUCGCUUGUUUAUACAAAUAUCCGAAAAUUACAAUUUAGAGGUACAACUAUCAAUAUCGACAACAAAUAUAUAUAUAUAUAUAUUAUGCAAAUCUUAAACUCCAUAAAUACAAAUUGAAAGAUUCCUCGCUCAACCAACUCAACUAACUAAUAUUCCAAAUAUCAAAUAGGCUCUUAGUUUCAAAAUUUAUAAAAUUGAACUUUAAUCCGUAAAUCAUUUUAUUUAUUGCACUCUAUGUAUGAACUAAAUGUACACAUCUUUCUUCAUAUAUAUUGUUUUUUUCUAUUAGCUAUUGUCUAUAUGCCCAAAAAAGAAAAAGAAUCAUCUCUCAAUUUGUGUGUAUUAGGCUUAUUCAAGAAAUCAGAGAUCAUGUUAAUCUUCUUUGUAUCAUUUCAAUUUUAUUGGAUAUUCAAAGAGAUCUUUUAUUUGUAUUGAAUGUCUUUAUGUGUAAUGUUUGGUUGAAAAAUUAUUUAUUUAUAUUAAUUGAUGUAUAAUAUUAGAUUUUAGGAGAUAAUUUAGAAAUAAGUAAUUAAUUUAAAGAGUAAAAUAUUUUUAAAAUAUCUUAAUAUGUUAAAAAUGGCAAAUGAAAUUUAAAUAUAUAUUUAAUACAGCCGACAAAUAAAAGUGAACAGAAUGAGUAAUAAUUAUAAUUAUUUCCAAAGUUAUGUGAUUUACUAUCUCCAUCCACUUUUAAUUGUUAUAAUUUCCUUUUUAAAGUCAAAUUAUAAAAAAAUUGUCUAAUAUUUUACGAUGUAUUUUUUUUAUCAUAUUGAUUUGCAAAAAAAAUAUAAUUUAUAGUACUUUUCGUAUAGUUUUUGAAUAUCUAAUUUUUUUAUUUAAAAUAUCAAAUUAAUGUAAUCUAAUUUAACUUUAAAAAUUAGUCAAAUCGACUUUCAAAAAACACAAUAUGACAAAUAAAAAUGGACUAAGGAGUAUAUUUAACAAUCUGCUUUACCCAUUAAUUGGGGUUACGUUCUACUGGCUAACUGCUCAGGUUUAAAUUAGGUGUUAAUAAGUGCAAAUAAAUUUUCAAAGCUAAAGGUCCACAUUUUACAUUGUAAAAGAUAUUUAUAUAAUCAAAUUUACUCAAAAAGUAAUCACACAUAGUUUUAUAAUAACAUGUUACAAUAGGUUAAGUAACACUUAUAAUAUAUAAAGAUUAUUACAUUAUUAGUGUAUAUAUCUUAAAUUCAAAUUAUUACAAUAUAUUUGUUAAUGUAAAGGAAGAAAAAGGAAAGGAAUUAAUAUUCAAGUCUCGAGUUCAAACUUCAAAAAUGAAGUCUCUUUGAUAGGAAAUACUCACCUUUGAGAUGAAUUUUUUGACGUGAAUUUAAAUUAAUCAGGCUCUAAAAAGAUACCUGACACCAAAUAAUAAAAUAAUAAAAAAUAAAAUAAAAUUAUGUUAGAUAUUAAUUGUGAAUUUUGCAUCUGAGUAUGCGUGUAAUACUACUUUACAUAAGUGUAUUAAUAGUUUUUUUGAAAAAUUGACAUCUUUACUACAAAGUACUAUAUUCUAGCAUUAAUAGUUUUUUGAAAAAUUGACAUUUUUACUAAGAAGUAUAUUCGAAUACGUUUUCGGUUAAGCUAGUGUUUGGCCAACUUACAUUAGGUUUUGAAAAUUAUAUUCAAAUAAAUAGUUGGCCAUUAGAUCAAAUUUUAAAAUUUUAAUCUUUAGAUAUUUGUAAGUUCCCAAAAUUUGACUCAAAUCAAUUUUUGAAUUUCACAAAAAAUAAAAUAAAAUAUAUGUUCAAACAGAACUCCAAAAUUCAAAAAUUAUAAUUUCAAAAACUUAACUUUUUAAGUUUAAAGUUUUAACUUCAAAUUUUAUGAUCGAAUUGAAGCUAAAAAAUAAUUGUGUUUGAUAAAGUUUUUUUUUAAGUAUUAAAAUUGUACUAUAAAAAAUAAAUUUCAUUUAAAAUCAAGUACUCAUAUAAAACAUGCAUCUCAAUUUUAAGCACAGCCGUUUUAUUUGACUUUGGUGGAUUUUGCGUACCUUUUCAAGACCCUGGGUCACCUUAUAUCAAAACUAAGAAAUUAGCUUUCGUUUAGUCAUAGAUUUGUGAUAUUGUGAGAUUUAAAAAAUAUAUAUAUAUAUAUAUAAAAAUAUUUCUUCAUGAAAUUUUAUCUUUAAAAUAAUUUCACAGUUUUUAAGUGUCACUUUUCCUUACAAAAUUAAAACAAAUUUUAUGUAAAUGCAUGUUCAAAGACAAUUUUUAAGUUAAAAACUAUUUUUCAAUCCAAUUUCAAUUUAUUGAUUCUUUUCAUGUUUCAAAUAAAAUUAUUCAUGUCAGAUUUUUUCAUCUAUAAAAUGAACCAAACUAAUCAAACUUAGAUUUUCUUCAAGUUUUUGGAUAUUUCAGGUUUUUUUCCAGUAAAGUAUUCAUACAAUCAUAUAAUUAAUUUGUGCUUCAAAUAUUUCUUUAUCUUAUCAAAAUAUAAUUACUCAUUACGUUGUUUUCUAAGAAAACAACAAAGAAUAUAAGAUAAGUAGUGACACUAAAAUAUUCAAAAAAAAAAUGAAACCACAUAAAAAAAUAUCUUGGAUUAUAACUUUUAUUGGACCGUUCAAAAUUUUAAGGACUUGUUUGGCUCCAAGAAUACUUGGGAAAAACUUGAGAAGUGGUGUUUGGUUAUAUAACUAGGGCAAAUAUAUUUGCCAAGUAUCCCAAGUCUCAAAUAUUAGCCAAGUUCUAAUAUUUGGGAAUUUUAAAAAAUUAAAAAUUACUCCAAACUUUUAUAUUUUAUAAAGGGAAAAAGGUCUGAUAUACUCUUCAACUUUGUCAUUUGGAGCUGAUAUGCCCCUCGUUAUGAAAGUGACUCAUAUAUACCCUUACCGUUAUACAAACGGCUCACAUAUACCCCUACCGUUAUAAAAUGAGCUCACAUAUACCCUUCAUUUAACGGGAGAGAAAAAAUUAGUUUUAAAUUUAUAUAUUUAACCUUUAAUUUUUUCUAAAAUCAUUUAGGGGUAUAUUUUCUAACAAAGUUUAAGGUAUAUUUUAAUUGUUUUCAUACAAAAAUUAUUUUUUUGACUUCUUUGAUUAUCAUUAUUUGAGUUUCUUAUUCUUAUUUUAUUUUUUUCUUUUAUUCCUUAAUGUAAGAAAAAAAUUUAAAACAAUUUUGUUGUGGCUAUAUUAUAAUUUAAAACUAUUUUUUCGGCUAUAUUGUAAUUUAGUUUGUGUAUUUGGAAAAAAAUUGGAUCAUCUAUAAUAAAUUUUACAAGAAUAUUAGUGAAACAUAAAUAAAUUUGACCAUCAAAAUAAUAAAUCUAAAUUAGUCAUUAAAACAAAAAAAAAGUACAAAAAAAAAAUGUUUGAGUAGGAUUAAGUAUUCCCAUAUGGGAUUAUACUUUGUUUAAAAAAAUUAUUAAAAAAUUAAACUAAAAUCAAUUUUUUCACUUCCGUUAGAGAAAAGGGUAUAUGUGAGCCAUUUGUAUAACAAUAGGGGUAUAUAUGAGCAAUUUUUAUAACGAGGGGUAUAUCAGCUCUAAAUGACAAAGUUAAGGGGUAUAUCAGAUCAUUUUCCCUUUUAUAAAAAAUACUCACUAUUUAUUAAAUCUAACUAACAUAUGUUACUACCUCCUCCGGAAAAGUUUGAGUUCUAUUUUGAGUGAUAAAAUUGAGUAAAAGGAAUAAUUUGUGUUUAUUGGGUUAUAAUUAUAAGUGAAUCAGUGACAAGUUUAAGUAUGUGAUUAAUGUAUUGUCUUGCCUAUGUUGUUAUUUUGUUAUUGUUGAUUGUUAUCAAUUAUAUUAUAAGGUUAUUGUUAACGUAACAUAUUCAUUAUAACAUGAUAAUAUAAAUUUAUGGGUAUUAUUAAUAGUUUUAGAACUUAUGGGUAUAAAUCAUAUUUUUUGAAAUAGAGUAGUCAAAUAUUUUUGGGAAAAUUUGGGGGCCAAACACAUGAUGAAACUUCACCAAAGACUUCACUCAAAUAUAAUUUGCUAAGAAUAUUUGAGAACUUGGGUCAAACGCUUGUUGGGUUUUAAAAUGUGUGAAUGGAAAAUGAAGAGUUGCGACUUUUACGAAGAGUUGUGACUUUUAUGAAAAGUUGCAACUUUUAUUAAAAGUAAGUUGCGACUUUUAUGAAAAGUGCAACUUUUAUGAAAAGUUGUGACUUUUAUGAAAUGUUGUAACAUUUCCGAAAGAUUGUGACUUUUCCAAAGGUUUGCCGGUAAGGCACAAUAAGAACAUUUUCACACUACUCUUUGUUUUCUAUAAAUUGAGGGAUUUCCUCUAAUUUUAGUUGAACGAAUUUUUUUGGACUUCUUCUACUAUACUAAAUCUAGUAUUCUAAGUGUACUUUACAGACGUUGAGUGGUUCGCUGACACCGUGGCUUUAGGUACCGAUACAUCGGUGAGUAAGAUCGUUCUAUCUUGGGAGGAUAUAUUCCAUUAACCUCGGUUACUUGAGGGGAAUAAUUUCCUUAAGGGGACACUGUGCAUUCAGUGGACUCUAUUUUCUUUCUUUGAGAAUUUUUUUUUAUAUUGUUUCUAAUCUGUUUCUGAUUCUAUUUUCUCUACUAGUUUUAAUUUUCUAGUUUGAAAAUACUCUUUAAACUUUGUUGUUUCUUACUAAGUUCUUCAAAGUUUAUCUUAGGAAUAUAAGAUGAACAACAAUGCUAACUAAGUGUCAAACUUAAAAUAACAUGUUAAAAGAUAAAAUUUAUGAAAAAGUAUAAGAAAUAUUUAUAAAUUAUAUCAAAGUAAAUAAUUUUAUGUAUAAAAUAAAUUUUAAAAAUUAUAUAUAUAAUGUCGGAUUGAUUUGGCAUUGGAUUAACUUUCGUUUACUUAAAACUAAAUGAAUCUACGUAUAGUCGAUUUUUUUUUUCAAUACCAAGCCAAAUUACUAGUUGAAUUUUUUUUUGCAGUUUAACUCGAUUUCUGAUUUGGUUCGAUUUUAUUCACCCCUAAUUAAUUCUAUAAAUGAUUCUUUUCACGUAAUGUUAUACGUAUUAGUAUUUUGUCGCAAUCAUAAUUGAGUUCACAUGCAAUUAAUAAAUAUUUUAAUAUAUAUGUUUGUGGAAUUUGGAUAAAAAUUCUGGCUCUCCACCACUAAUAGGCUUAUAGAAAUUCCUUAAGUACAUAAAUUUCAUAGAUUUUUAAUUAUAAAAAAGUCCCAUCGAAAAACACUUAAUCAAUAACUAUGUUUAAUUUCUAACACAAAACAUAAAAAAUUGAGUUUACUAACACAAAUGUCACACAAAUAAGAAAAUUCAACUUCAAUAUAAUGGAUAAUAUUUUUUACUAUUUUUUAAAACAAUUUUAAUAAAUACAUACCCAAUUAAAAAAUAUUUGAACCCAUUAUUAUUUUGAAAAACAAAAUUAUGGCACAUUGGCAUGACAACUUAUCUUCUUCUUCUUCUUUUUUUGUCAAUUUAUUCUUAUAAUUAUAAAAGGAUAAGUUUGCUAUUGUGAAAUUUUUCGUACGUUUGACUUGUUUAAUAAACUUGAAUUUACUUGUUUGGAUGCAUAAUUAGCAUUUAUUGAACUAUCAUUUUUUUUUUUUUAUGUUUUUCUCUUUUUCAAAUAAUAUUAUAAUAAUUUAUUUGAGUUAUUUACAAACUUUUUUGAAAAUAUUUUCCUGAUAUGAGAUAUACAUAUUGUUAGAAUUAGUGAGUUGUAGUUAGUUAUAGUUAGUUGGAGUUAGUUAAGUUGUUAUAGAAAAGUAGUUAGUUAAUUUCAUGCUUUUCAUACAUGUAUAUAUAUAGAUUAAUGUAAAGCUCAUAGUUUUUUAGUUUUAGUGAAAUACAAUUCACACGUCUUCCAUUUCAUCUUCUCUCUAGAAUGUUCUAUUUCUCUUCACUAAACUCAAGCUCCAUUAAUGGAGGUUUUUAGUUCUGCUGCCUCCAGUUUCGACAUGGUAUCAGAGCCUAGGACUGGGCGAUUCUCAUUCCGCAUUUGAUUAUGUUCUGUGGGUGUUGAAUUGAUUUCGAUUUCACUGCAUUCACCAGUUUUUUUUAUUUCUUAGCUGUAUUGAGAUUUUGAUCUCGAUUUCACUGCAUUCACUUGUUUCUGAUUUGUGAACUUCAUUGAGUUUUUUUCUUUGGUUUCUGUGGUCAUAUUUUUUUUUAAUCGAUUUUUUGUAUCUCGAAUUUGUUCCCUGUUUCGAGUUUUCAUUUUUCUCUAAAUUUUACAUAAAAUUCGAUGGUUGAUGCACAAGAUAUCCCUAUUGUUGCUACUGCUACAAUGGACAUUGCUAGUCCAUUUUAUCUACAUCCAUCAGAAAAUGCAGGAUCUACAUUGUUACCUGCUAUUUUUUAUAGAACUGGCUACAGAUCUUGGAGAAGAGUUGUACUAAGGGCAUUAUCAGUAAAAAGCAAAACAAGUUUCAGUAACGGGAAGAUUGUGAAACCAGCUUCUACAGAUCCAACUUUUGCACAUUGGGAAAGAUGUGAUGAUAUGGUAACUUCUUGGAUCCUCAAUUCUCUUUCACCAGACUUGAGAGAUGGGCUGCAAUAUGUGAAUAAUGCUAAGGAACUUUGGGAAGAAUUAGAGGAUCGUUAUGAUCAAACAAAUGGUUGUAAACUGUACCAAAUCCAGAAAAAGAUCAAUGACCUGGUACAAAGAAAUCUAGACAUCACUGGUUACUAUACAAAAAUGAAGAAAUUAUGGGAGGAAAUUAACAUCAUUGACAUUGCAUCCCAAUGCUCUUGUGUGUGCACUUGUGGUGGAAAGACCAAGAUGUACAAGGUUGAACAAGACAGGAGACUCAAACAUUUCUUAAUGGGGUUGAAUGAGGUGUAUAUUGUUGUGCGAGGGAACAUUCUAAUGAUGGUUGUUCUACAUACCAUGGCACAAGUUUUUGCUAUUUUGUGUCAAGAGGAGAGGCAAAGGAAGAUGAAGACUCAUAACUCCACGGCCCUAGAUUUCACAUCUCUUGUUGCAUCUUCUUUAACACACACUGGAAGAGGAUUUAAGACCAACUACAAGUCAAACAGAGGAAGUACAAGUAACUCUGGCAAUUCUAAUUUUAGGGAUAGUUCUAGCAGUGGAAAUGCUUACCCAUAAACCAGACCACAAUUGUUUUGUGACUACUGCACGAAAGAUAGGUGUUACAAACUUUAUGGCUAUCCAACAAGUUCCAAGUUUCCAAAAGGAAAGGGUUCAGUUUCAGCAGCCAAUGCAUACACUUCUGAGGAAGAGAACAACCAAGCUGAGGGAAAUCAUGAGCAGAGAGGACAAAUGCCACUGAACUUAUCUAAGAGUCAAUACGAACAAUUGUUGAAUCUCUUGGGAACUCUACAAGUUGGAAACACUAAUGUUGACAACUCAGACAAUAUGCUAAGUGGAGCUGUGAACUUGACAGAUAUACUUGUUUGUUAUUCCUCAAUAAAUGAGAUAGGUGACCUGUCAUGUAGUUGUGAUAAAUUGAUUGUUGGUUCUUGGAUCAUAGACUCAAGAGCCUCACACCAUAUGACCUAUAAUAAACUUGCGCUAAAGAACAUUAGACCACUACCAUAUCCCUUCUUGAUCACCUUACCAAAUGGAUACAAGGUCAAAGUGAAUGAAGUCGGAUUUGUUUGUUUGAAUCCUCUUUUAACUCUGCAUAAAGUAAUGUUUGUACCUAGCUUCAAAUUCAAUUUAAUAUUUGUCCAUUGUUUAGCAUUACAACUCAAGGGUACAAUUAGCUUUAAUAGUUCCUCUUGUUCUUUGCAGGGCCCUUCUCUGAAGAGCCCUCUGGAGCUUGGUAGAGCCAAGAAUGGUCUAUAUUUUUUGUGCACCAAGUGCCACAAUUGUCCUGUCCACUUCAAUGGCAAUAGUUCAUCUCACAUUGCUUCCACUCUUCUACCUGCAAACUUGUUCCUUUUGUACUUAGUGAUAAUAAAUUUUUAGUUGAAAGUAAAUGUGAAACUUCACCCCAUCCAUUGUAAGAAAUUCUUUUUAGUCAAAUAAAGAAACUGAUUCUGCUGUCAUUUCUUGUUCUUCUAAUCCUUGUUCCUUUACUGUUAAUUUUUGCACUUCAAAUUCCUUGUCUGCAUCUCAUGAUCAUAUUGUUGAAUUCCUUUGGCAUGCUAGAAUAGGACAUGUACCUUUUGUAAAGAUGAGAAGCAUAUCCACUAUAUCUAUAACAUUUUCCAGCAAACAACCUUUCACAUGUACCAUAUGCCCUAUGGCAAGACAAACUAGAAUGCCCUUCCCAGAAAGUACCAAUACAACCAGUCAACUGUUUGAGUUACUACACAUUAAUCUAUGGGGACCAUAUCACAUACCUACUUAUGAUGGUUAUAACUACUUUCUAACUAUGGUCGAUGAUUAUAGUAGAUCAACAUGGACACAAUUGCUUAGAUGCAAAAGCAAUGCAUUGCAAGUUGUCAAAGCCUUCAUAUGUCUAAUAGAAAAUCAAUUCCAUACCAAACUAAAAACCAUUAGGUCUGAUAAUGGGCUGGAGUUCACCAAUGGUAAGGCAACAAAUUUAAAGUAUUUCCAGGAGAAAUGAAUAGUACACCAAAAAUCAUGUCCUUACACACCCCAACAAAAUGGGGUGGUAGAAAGAAAACACAAACACCUCCUAGAGACAGCAAUGGCACUUCUCUACCAUUCAAAAAUACCCAUAAGAUACCGAGGAGAAUGCAUCUUAACUGCUACUUACCUCAUUAACAUACUCAUUAACAUACUACCCACAAAAAUCCUACACAAUAAAUCACCAUAUGAACAAUUGUACCAAAGAAAGCCCACAUACUCUCAUCUUAGAAGUUUUGGAUGCCUAUGUUUUCCCACCACCUUAAAAACUCAUAAAGACAAAUUUGAGCCAAAGGCCACACCACAUGUUUUUGUUAGAUAUCCUUUCAAUACUAAAGGUUACAAAGUCCUAGACUUAGUUACCAAAAGAGUUCAUGUAUUUAGAGAUGACUCUUUUCAUGAAUCAGUGUUUCCAUUUGUUAUUGCUCCUGAUGGUUCCAGUUUUAACUCCAUUAUAAAAUUGCUUGUUCACAAUUCUGCUAAGUUGACUUGCAUGCCUAGUACAAAUAAUACCUUUGUUGAUGAUAAUUUGUUGGAUUCAAACACAUCCCAUGGACUCACUAUUGAUCAUAUAACCAACAUUGUUCCCCAAACUCAGAAUCAGACCACAUUAUAGAACCACUACAUGAUCUCAUCAUUCCUAAUGAGGCUCCUGCACCACCAACUUUUAGGAGGACAACUAGAUUACUUCAGCCUCCUAGCUACCUUAAAGAAUAUAACUACAUAUUGCCUAAAUUGCAUUCUCCCACACCUACGUCUGAUCCACAACAUUCCCUCACCUCAGUAAUAUCCAAUCAUAACCAUGUAUGUUUUACUACCCUAUGCUCUAAUAACCAGCAGUUGGUAAAAGCAAUCUUACAUGACUGUGAACCUUUUUGUUAUGAGGAAACAAUCAUGAAUCAUGCCUGGCAAAUGGCAAUGACACAAGAGUUUGAAGCACUCUAUGCUAAUGACACAUGGGAACGAGUCCCCUUACCAACAGACAAACAUGCAAUUGGAUGCAAAUGGGUAUACAAAAUUAAGCAUAAAACAGAUGACAAUGUAGAAAGGUUCAAAGCCAGGCUGGUAGUGAAAGGGUAUACACAACAAAUUGGAAUUGACUAUACUUAGACAUUUUCACCUGUAGUAAAAAUGACUAUUGUAAGGACUUUGAUAUGUUUGGCUGUGAAGAAGGGAUGAAAUAUGUAUCAGUUGGAUGUGAAUAAUGCCUUCCUCCAUGGUAACCUACAUGAGGAAGUGUACAUGACACUACCAAAUGGUCUUAUGGUAGAUGAAAACAAUUUGGUGUGCAGACUUAAGAAUCUUAAGUCUUUAUAUGGCUUGAAACAUGCAAGUAGGCAAUGGUAUGACAAGUUGGCCAGCAGCCUUUGCUCAAAGGGAUACACACACUCAAACAGUGAUUACUCUUUGUUUUACAAGAGAAAUGAAUUAUCUUUGGUGUUUGUUGCUGUCUAUGUGGAUGAUAUAAUUUUGACAGAAACUGACUUGGAGGAGAUUACCUCUCUAAAGACUUUUCUACAUGAUUAGUUUAAGAUUAAAGACCUUGGGAGGCUACACUAUUUCUUAGGACUGAAAAUAUUAUAUAGACAAGAUGGUGUCCUCAUUUCCCAGAGAAAGUUUACUGCUGACCUUCUAAAAGAGUUUGAUGUUAUGAACUACAAAGUAACUACUUCACCACUUGACUCUGCUGAAAAGCUCACAGUUACUGAUGGCAAAUUACUCCCAGAUCCUACUCACUAUAGGAAGAUCAUUGGUAAGCUCAACUUUCUCACAAACAUAAGAAUGGACACAACAUUCAGUGUACAACAUCUCAUCCAGUUUAUGCAGUCACCCAGAGAUACACACUUGAAGGCUGCCUAUCAUAUACUUAGGUAUCUAAAACAAGAUCCUACUUUGGGGAUUUUCAUUUCAAACAAAUCAGAGUUCACUAUUAGUGCUUAUUGUGACUCCGACUGGGCUUCUUGUCUUGAUUCAAUGAGAUAUGUUAGUGGAUACUUGGUACUUAUGGGAGACUGCCCUAUCAGUUGGAAGUCUAAAAAAUAGGCCACUAUGUCAUUAUCCUCUGCAGAGGCCGAGUACAGGGAUGUGAUACAAGUUGUACGGGAACUAGUAUGGCUUGAAAGAUUACUUGUUGAACUAAUGGUACAUAGCUUUUUACCCAUACAUGUGUUUUGUGACAGCCAGGCAGCAGUUCACAUUGCCAAAAAUCUAGUUUUUCACAAAAGAACAAAGCACAUAGAAGUGGAUUGUCAUUUUGUUAGGAACAAACUUCAACAAGGGCUGGUUACACUUCAUCACAUUUCUACAAAUUCGCAAUUGGCAGAUAUAUUCACCAAAACCUUGACUGGAGUUAAACACUCUACACUUCUGAACAAGUUAUUUGUGAUUACUUCACCUCUAACUUGAGGGAGGGUGUUAGAAUUAGUGAGUUGUAGUUAGUUGGAGUUAGUUAGGUUGUUACAAAAAAGUAGUUAGUUAAUUUCAUGCUUUUCACACAUGUAUAUAUACAGAUUAAUGUAAAGCUCAUAGUUUUUUAGUUUUAGUGAAAUACAAUUCACACGUCUUCCAUUUCAUCUUCUCUCUAGAAUGUUCUAUUUCUCUUCACUAAACUCAAGCUCCAUUAAUGGAGGUUUUUAGUUCUGUUGCCUUCAGUUUCGAUAUACAAAAAAUUGUGAAAUUUGCGCUUCGUGUUUCGAAGUUUACAUCUCAUCACAUAGUGUGUUAAAUGUUUUACCUCGCACCCUAUUCUUUAAAUCAUUGUAUGAUAUUACUAGUAAUUUUCAGAUUGAUAAAAUAACUCAAUCUUAGUACACUUUUGAUUAAUAACUUAAAUAAUUUACCGUUUGAUAAAGUUCGUUAUUUCAUUUCACGAUCAUGAAUAGAUGAGUGUUACAAAAGAGGUUUCAAGGUCCAGACAAGGUUUUAAAAAGAAAAUAAUUAUAGGUUAAAUAAGUUUUAUUAUUAAAAAAUCAAGUUUCAAAAUUACAUGGUACGUAAAAUAUGCGCUUUGUAUUUUUUUGAGUCAAACUAUAAUUGUUGAGUGAUUAUGUUGUAUUAGAAAAAAAAUGACUUUGAUAAGAUAUUCCCAUAAGUAAAUUGAAUUGUUUUCCUUAAAAAAAAAGAACUUUAGUAGAAUAACUUUUUAAGGAAUUAUUUCCGCUUAUAUAUUUGAUGUAAGGGAUGAAUUAAAAAUUUUAAUUUAUGUAUCUUUGAUUUUUUACAAAUAUUUAAAUAAAUUAUUUAUUCUUAUUUAAUAAUUUUUUUUUAAAUUUAUUAAAUUCUAUAGCGAUUUGACGUCAAUAAAAUUAGUCAAAUAUGCUGGCUUCACAUCUAGAUUGUUUAACCAAAAAAGAAAAAAAGAACUUCAUAAUGUAUAUACAAUAAAAGCUUCCCAAAAAGAAAGAUUUUUAUUACUUUUCUAGAAAAAAUUGUUCUUUUAAUGCGUGAUAUUCUCCUUUAAAUAAAUGUCAAUUAAUAGGCAUGUCAUAGAAUGCAAUUUAAUUUUCAUCUUUCAUUUCACAGUCAGAAUCACUUGGGUGUGUUCGAUACAAACAAAAAAUGUUUUAAAAAAAUUAGAGUAUUUUCUAAGUGAUGUUAUUAUAAAAAUAUUCAUAUAUAAUCUACAAAAUUAUUAUGAGAAUUGAAUGUGGAGUAUAUAUGGGUGAUGAAUUUAGAAAUUUUGUUAAGAAUGUUCAAAAUGUAAAUAUAUGUAUGAAAAAUAAUUUUUAAUCAAUAUAUAUAGUAAAAAAUUUUGACGAAAAUUGUCCGGUAAACCUAAACUAUAUUGGGCUACGUCACUGAUUAUGAUGAUAGAGUGAAAAUAAAGUAUAUUGAAGGAUGAUAAGACAUAAUCAAUCUCGAAUGCUAUUUGUUAAUUUUUUUCCCCCCUAUUUUCAUUAAAAAUAAAUUAUUUUUUCAUUUUAAAAAACUUAUUUUGCUAAAAAGAAUAUUUUAAAAUUCUUAGAUCGAUCAAGCUUGAAAUCAUGCCAAACACAUUUUCAAUGUUAAUCAUAUAUUACUCUUAUUUAGAAGUGAGAGUUGGAAAGGACCAACAUUGCAUUAAAGUACUUGUACAAUGUUGGUCCUUCCAUUGCAUUAAAGUACUUGUACAUAUAUAAGUGGGCCCCACCUCCUUCCACUUAAAUAAUAUUCUUCAACCUUAUCAUGGUAAAAGUUGAAUUUAUUAUCCUUUUCAUUUAAUUUUAUAUGAUAUUAUUUUUUCCUAUAAAAUCAUUAUAUAUGUUUUAAUAAUUUACUUCCACUUAAAUAAUAUUUUUCAACCUUAUCAUGGUAAAAGUUGAAUUUAUUAUCCUUUUCAUUUAAUUUUAUAUGAUAUUAUUUUUUCCUAUAAAAUCAUUAUAUAUGUUUUAAUAAUUUAAAUUUCAAAAACAUUAUACUUUAACUUUAAAGAUUUUAUUUUAUCAAAAUCUUGUACAUUGAAAUAUAUAGUUAUGAAUUUAAAAUAUUUUUAAAAUCAUAUAAAAAUUUCAAUAACUUCUCAAAUUCCAUAAUAUAACACUUAAAUACUACAUAUUAUAUAUUAAUUACUAUACUACAAAUGACUUAAAUACUCCAUAUUAUCUACUCUUAUUUAGAAAUGAGAGUUGGAAAGGACCAACAUUGCAUUAAAGUACUUGUACAAUGUUGGUCCUUCCAUUGCAUUAAAGUACUUGUACAAUGUUGGUCCUUCCAUUGCAUUAAAGUACUUGUACAAUGUUGGUCCUUCCAUUGCAUUAAAGUACUUGUACAAUGUUGGUCCUUCCAUUGCAUUAAAGUACUUGUACAUAUAUAAGUGGGCCCCACCUCCUUCCACUUAAAUAAUAUUCUUCAACCUUAUCAUGGUAAAAGUUGAAUUUAUUAUCCUUUUCAUUUAAUUUUAUAUGAUAUUAUUUUUUCCUAUAAAAUCAUGGUAAAAGUUGAAUUUAUUAUCCUUUUCAUUUAAUUUUAUAUGAUAUUAUUUUUUCUAUAAAAUCAUUAUAUAUGUUUUAAUAAUUUAAAUUUCAAAAACAUUAUAAUUUAACUUUAAAGAUUUUAUUUUAUCAAAAUCUUGUACAUUGAAAUAUAUAGUUAUGAAUUUAAAAUAUUUUUAAAAUCAUAUAAAAAUUUCAAUAACUUCUCAAAUUCCAUAAUAUAACACUUAAAUACUACAUAUUAUAUAUUAAUUACUAUACUAUAAAUGACUUAAAUACUCCAUAUUAUCUAUUACAAUAAUUAACAAUUAUUUGACACUUUAAAUUCUAUCAAUGCCAUAUAAAUUAGGAUAAAAAACCUAACAUAUAAUAUUUAAAUAUAUUUACAAAUAAUAUAAGUAAUACUAUACAUUAUAAUAAUUAACAGCUUAAUUAUUUAAAUAUUUUUUUAAUAAUAUAUGUUAUUUGCCAUGUCCCAAUUUAUGUGGCAUUAAUUGAUAGAUUUGUUGGAGUCGAGAGAUUUAUUUUGUUAAUUAUUGUAAUUUAUAGUUUCUUUUUCAUCAAUUUCAAACAAUAUAUGUUGUUAAUUGAUAGAUUUUUUGGAGUAGGCCUUUUUUUUUAUUAUUAAUUAUUGUAAUUUAUUGUUUCUUUUUCGUCAAUUUCAAACAAUAUAUGUUUAUCAUAUAAUCCAUUUUAUGUGGUACCAAGAGAAUUUAGAGUUAAUUAAAUUUUUUAUAUAAGUUUUAAAUAAUUAAGCUGUUAAUUAUUAUAAUGUAUAGUAUUACUUAUAUUAUUUGUAAAUAUAUUUAAAUAUUAUAUGUUAGGUUUUUUAUCCUAAUUUAUAUGGCAUUGAUAGAAUUUAAAGUGUCAAAUAAUUGUUAAUUAUUGUAAUAGAUAAUAUGGAGUAUUUAAGUCAUUUAUAGUAUAGUAAUUAAUAUAUAAUAUGUAGUAUUUAAGUGUUAUAUUAUGGAAUUUGAGAAGUUAUUGAAAUUUUUAUAUGAUUUUAAAAAUAUUUUAAAUUGUUAGCUAUUGUGAUUUGUAGUACUUUUUUUUAACAUAAUUUUGAAAAUAAUAUUUACUAAUCUAUUUGUUCUAAUUUAUGUGGCAGAUAUAGAAUUUCAAAUAUUAACCCUUUUUUAUAUGUCUCUUUAAUAUAUUAAGUUGUUAAUUAUUGUAUUUUAUAGUACAUUUUGAACCUAAUUUUUUAAUAAUAUAUGUUAUUUGCCAUGUCCCAAUUUAUGUGGCAUUAAUUGAUAGAUUUGUUGGAGUCGAGAGAUUUAUUUUGUUAAUUAUUGUAAUUUAUAGUUUCUUUUUCGUCAAUUUCAAACAAUAUAUGUUUAUCAUAUAAUCCAUUUUAUGUGGUACCAAUAGAAUUUAGAGAGUCAAUUAAAUUUUUUAUAUAAGUUUUAAAUAAUUAAGCUGUUAAUUAUUGUAAUGUAUAGUAUUACUUAUAUUAUUUUUAAAUAUAUUUAAAUAUUAUAUGUUAGGUUUUUUAUCCUAAUUUAUAUGGCAUUGAUAGAAUUUAAAGUGUCAAAUAAUUGUUAAUUAUUGUAAUAGAUAAUAUGGAGUAUUUAAGUCAUUUAUAGUAUAGUAAUUAAUAUAUAAUAUGUAGUAUUUAAGUGUUAUAUUAUGGAAUUUGAGAAGUUAUUGAAAUUUUUAUAUGAUUUUAAAAAUAUUUUAAAUUGUUAGCUAUUGUGAUUUGUAGUACUUUUUUUUAACAUAAUUUUGAAAGUAAUAUUUAUUACUCUAUUUGUUCUAAUUUAUGUGGCACAUGCAGAAUUUCAAAUAUUAACCAUUUUUUAUAUGUCUCUUUAAUAUAUUAAGUUGUUAAUUAUUGUAUUUUAUAGUACAUUUUGAACCUAAUUUUUUAAUAAUAUAUGUUAUUUGCCAUGUCCCAAUUUAUGUGGCAUUAAUUGAUAGAUUUGUUGGAGUCGAGAGAUUUAUUUUGUUAAUUAUUGUAAUUUAUAGUUUCUUUUUCGUCAAUUUCAAACAAUAUAUGUUUAUCAUAUAAUCCAUUUUAUGUGGUACCAAUAGAAUUUAGAGAGUCAAUUAAAUUUUUUAUAUAAGUUUUAAAUAAUUAAGCUGUUAAUUAUUGUAAUGUAUAGUAUUACUUAUAUUAUUUGUAAAUAUAUUUAAAUAUUAUAUGUUAGGUUUUUUAUCCUAAUUUAUAUGGCAUUGAUAGAAUUUAAAGUGUCAAAUAAUUGUUAAUUAUUGUAAUAGAUAAUAUGGAGUAUUUAAGUCAUUUAUAGUAUAGUAAUUAAUAUAUAAUAUGUAGUAUUUAAGUGUUAUAUUAUGGAAUUUGAGAAGUUAUUGAAAUUUUUAUAUGAUUUUAAAAAUAUUUUAAAUUGUUAGCUAUUGUGAUUUGUAGUACUUUUUUUUAACAUAAUUUUGAAAGUAAUAUUUAUUACUCUAUUUGUUCUAAUUUAUGUGGCACAUGCAGAAUUUCAAAUAUUAACCAUUUUUUAUAUGUCUCUUUAAUAUAUUAAGUUGUUAAUUAUUGUAUUUUAUAGUACAUUUUGAACCUAAUUUUUUAAUAAUAUAUGUUAUUUGCCAUGUCCCAAUUUAUGUGGUAUAUUGAAUGUAAUUAUAAUAAAACAUGUUGUAUUUAGUAUGACAAAAGAAUUCAAAAUUUUUAAAAAUUAAAUAAAUAGUAAUCCUAACUUCUAAGAAAUGUCACAAAUAUAUAUAUAUGUGUGUCUGUAAGAAAAUGAUAUAAAUUACAUUAAUGAUGAAAUGAAGAUUAAGAAAAGAAGUAAAACAAAUUAAUAAUAAUAUUGAUGAUGAUAGGAGUUAAAUAAAUCAUUUUUUAUAUUUUGUAAAUUUUCAAUAUAAAUUUUUCAGUCUUUUAAAAUUAGAAAAUGCUAAAAAAAUAAAACUAAAACUAAAAAUCGAGGCAACAAUUAUUUUAAGGAAAAAAUAACAAAAAAUGUCAGAAACAUUGAUCAGAAUAAAUAAGUAUCUAUUGCUAAGAAGGUGUCACCCCACAUUUUCUAUUUUAGCUUUAUUAUUACAUAUAGAUAGGAACUUUAAGAUGAAGAAUGAUCCAAAAAUUUUAAAAAUAACAAAUCAAUUAUGUAAAAAUACAUGUGUAAUUCUUAUAAAGUUAUAAUAACUAAUUUCUUCAAAUAAAUAAUUAAAUGAAAGAAAAAAAAGUAAUUAAGAAAAUAAUAUAAAUAACACUAAUUAUGAGAUUAAUAGCAUUGAUGAGGAAAGGAACUAAAUAUGAUCAUCUUUUUAAAUUCUUUUUUAAGAAAAUAUAUAUAAACUUUAAUUAAAGAUAAAUAAGAAAAAAAACCUUUAAUUAAACAUACAAAAAAUCAAGACAAAAUUAAAGAAGAAAGAAAUUAGAAGAAUAAUGACAUUGAAAUAAAUAAUAUCUAAUUUUCUCUCUUUUCAAAUUACAAAAUAAAUUUUUGCUUGUUCUCCUCCUAAUUUGAUACGAAUUCCAUAAAUAGAAUGAUUUUUUCUCCGAAUAAUUUUUCUUACCCUUUCAAACACUAAUCAGACUUCUUAUAAAUUUCUCAACCACAAUGAAUUUUCUCUCCUUGUAGGAGGAAUAAACAUUUUUUCAAAAAGUCUUUUAUUUUGAAAAUAAUUUUUUGUUACAUAAUCUCUUUCUUUACAUCAAUGUCUUCACAAGAAUAAUGAGAUAUUCUCUCUUUCUCUUUUGUUAAAAAAGUCACAUGACCUAGAAAUUUGAUGGACAUCUUAGCGACAAAAGUUGAUACCAUAUAUUGAUCAUUAUCGUCAGAAGAAGAAGAGCCAAAGUGAAGAAAUUUGUUCUUAUUUGUUACAAAUGCUCAACUAUUUUGUUUUUAUUUUAUAGGCUAAAUAAUUAUAAACAGUUAUAAAAAAUGAAUAGUUUUUAUCUUUUCAUCUUCCAUUUUCAUUUACUUAAAUCUAUAUUAGUGUAAUGGAUGUUAUAAAGGGCAUAAUUAAUCGGGUAUGACAUAAAUACUUUUUUUUUAAAUACAAAUAAAAAAUACAAAACACAGAUAAAAUGUCAAAAAAAGGAAAAAAAAGAUGAAUACAAAUACUGGUCAUAGAGAGAUGCCACAUCAAAUUGUCAAUAUUCAGCUUUAUAUAUACAUAUAUAGGUUCAUGUCCUUAGAUGUUAUUUUAUUACUUUAGCUGGCAUCGACAUUUUUGUAAAUCUGAUAUCUACUUUGGAACAUUUUAUAAUGUGGCAUAGGCUGACAAUUGAGAUCAUAAAUUUAAAAUAAUAAAAUUUAAUUUAUUAUAAUACUAAUAUCAAUAUCAUAAAGAUAUAUAUAUAUCAUUUAAAAAAUAUAUAAAAAGUAUUAUAAAUUAUAAUAAUUAACCGCUUUUUAAAACAAAUUCAUAUAACUAAUUUGAUUUACACUCCAAAAUUCAUAGGUGUCACAUAAUUUACACAUUAAUUCUUCAUUACUUAAUAUAUGUAAUUAUAUCAAUGACAUAUAAAUUGAAAUUAAAAAAUACAUAUUUUAUUUGAAAAUCACGUAAUAGUACUAUAAGGUAUAAUAAUUAACAACUCAACAUAUUUUAAAAUUUUAGUUGACUCUCCGAAUUCCAUAUGUCUCAUGUAAUUGAGACAGAGAAAAACAUAUAUUGGUUUAAAAUUAAUAAAAAUAUUAUAAAUUAUAAUAAUUAACAACUUAAAAUUUAUAAAAAAAAACCUUUAAAAUUUUUUAGUUGGCUCUCCAAAUUCAAUCGGUAUUACAAUAAUUAAAACAUAGAAAUUAACAUAGAUUGGACUCCUGCUGACAUUUAUGUUUCCUUUUUCUAAAUUUUCUCUUUUAUACUUUAUAUAAAUAAUUUUUUUUAUGUAAAAAGUAUAAUAAAUCAUAAUAAUUAAUAGCUUAAAAUAUUUCAAAACAUAUAAACAGUUUUUGUUAACUUUCAAAAUUUCAUCUAUGCCGCAUAAAUUGAGAGAAAUAUAGAUAUAUAGAUAUUUUAAGUUGCUAAUUAUUCUGAGUUAUAGUACGUUUUAUGUAAUUUUCAUAUAUAUUACUCGGUCCUGAUUUAUGUGAUACAAAUGAAAUUUCAAAAGUCAAUGAAUUUUUUAUAAGUUCUUUUUUAUAUUAACUUGUUAAUUAUUGUGAUUUCUAAUAUAUUUACGUAAAACAUACUCUAAAUACAAAUAAUUAGCAACUUAAAAUAUAUAAAAACAUACUAAAAAAUUGAUUCACUUCAAAUUUCAUAUGUACCACAUAAAUUAAAACAGAAACAGUAACAUAUAUUGGGCCCCGUGCUGGCACGGGGUCCUAUAUCUAGUAAUAUAUCUAUGUUACACUUUAGUUGAUAACUUGAUAUUGACAGUAAAAUAUCCUAGUCAAUAGCUUUCAUUCUUGACCAAAAUGCCAGUCAUAGUUAUUGCAUUAUUGAAAAUAGUGGAUACUGGAUAUUUUACUUUAUUCCAACAGAAUUAUCACAUACAAAAAAAACUUUAAUAUUCAUGACCUUUCAACUACUUGAGAUACUACUAUUAUUUUUCAAAAACCUUUCAUUUCUUAUUUCAAAUCGAUUUAACAAAAAUACUCUAUCUGUUCAACAAUAGUUAUUCACUAUUGACUUGACACAUUCCUUCAGAAACAAUAAAUAAUAGGGGUACUAUUACUAUUUUAUCCUUUGAUUUUAUUAAAUUUAAUGCUUUGACAAAUGUGUUAGAUGAUAAAUAGUAUUUAAUAGCAAGGGUAAAAUAGACAUAAAAGGUAAAUUAUCUCUUGAUUUUUUAAACUGGACAAAUAUUAUUUGAUAACUAUUUUUAGUAUAAUGUACAAUUAUUGUUGGAUGGAGAAAGUAACUAACAUUAAGCCACUUGUAAUAAAAAAUAAAUAAAUUUCAAUAACGUACACAGAGAUUUAUAUAAGUGAUUUCAAUAUAUAAAAAGGUGAAUAAAUAAAAUAAAUAACUAUAGUAAUAUCAUGAUUAAAAACACAAUUCAAGUACACUAGUAUAAUUGCUUUAUUGAUACACAAUUUAAGAUAGUAUUUUUAAAAAUAAUUCAUAAUCUGAAAAAUACAUUGUAAUGUUACCGUUAAAUGUUGUGGUGGAGUGGUAAGUGUUGUAAAAUUUUGAAAUCACAGAAAUGCUUGUCGCUUGAAGUAUGCCUAUGACACUGUUCUUAAAGAUAUUUCACCUAUAUCAAAUUCUUCUAUUAUAAAAGUAGGAGUCAGAAUCUAACAAAGAUUUUGGAUUGAUAGAAAAUCGAGCGAAAUAAAUUGAGAAGAAAAUAUACUUACUCUGCCAUAUUUAAGGCUGAUAAAUACUAAUUAAAUGUAGGAAUAUUUUUAAGACAUAGUCUUAUUUUGGAGGUAGUAAAAAUAUUUUUUUAAUAGUAAGGACUUCUUCAUUAUUAAUUAGUAGUUUGGGGUUCAAGUCUUGUAUAUGUAGUCAGUCUUUGGUAGGGAGCACUUUGCUCCUUUAAAGUAAAAAUUUUCAAGCGAAUUUGAAUUAAUUAGACCUCAAAAUGAAUAUCAUAUACCAUAUGGAAUAAAUAAAUAAAUUGUGGUAAUGUUUAUGUGAUUAUUGACCCUUGACAAAACAUGCCUUAGAAAUUUUUUUACUACACUCUUUAUGCUAAUUCUACUAAUAUGUACAAUUUAUCUUUCUCAACAAACUAUUUUUUUUCCAAUCCCACAACUCAAACUCCUUAAAAUAGUUUCAAAAUUUAAAUAUGAAUUCUUCUCGAUAUAUCGAAUCUUUUGAUAACUAUUUGAUCACUUGUAAUCUAAAAAUAUAUCAAAAUAUUUGUGCUAACUGUUACUUAAUUAAACAAUCCUGCCAAAAUAAUAUCUCUUUGUCAAAGAGGAAAGUUGAAACCACUAAAAGAUUACACAGGCUCCACUUACUUAUAACAAACUAUUUAAAUCUUAGUGCUUAAACGUUUUAAAACUCUCAAAUAUCUUCCUUUAACAAAUUAAAAUAAUAUUCUUUCUAUUAUUAAUAUUAAUAAUGCUCAAAAGUUAACCACACUUUACACCUAUAUAUUUUUGUCCUAUAUAAUUAACUAGUCUCCUAUAAUGCACUUCGCUUGCUAUUUAAAGUCUUUAAUGAUUAUUUUUGAUAAUUUAGUUAUUUAGGUAAGAAAUUUGGAUUUAACAAAUAUUUUAUCGAAUUUUUUGUAUGAGAUUUUGUUCGUUGGGUCGUAUCUUAAUUGAAUUUAGAACGAUAAUGAAAAUGAGUGAAGUAAUUUUUAAAUAUUUUUGAAACUAAGAAAAUUAGGUUUUUUUAAAAAAAAGAGAGGAGAAUGACCUGAUAUAUCCCUUAACUUUGUUAUUUAGAGUUGAUAUAUCCCUUGUUAUAAAAGUAACUCAAAUAUAGGGGUGUGCAUCCGUCGGUUCGGUUUUAUGUAUUAUCAGUUCGGUUUAUUGGUUUUUUAUUUUAAAAUGUGCUUAACCGAUAACAAAUCAAUAAGAUAUUUUUAUCGGUUUUUGAUUUAUCGGUUUUUAGUCAUUAACAGUUCGAUUUUUGAUUUACCCAAUAAGAAAAUGCUCAUAAAAUAAAUAUACGAUUUCUCACUUCUCUAACAAUUUGACACGAUACAGUGAGACAAACAAAUUAGCUGUAAAUGUGUUGAUAUAGUGAAACAAGAAAUAUAAUUACAAUUUGCAUCAAUAAGAGUAGAUGUAGUACGAAGGCUACAAUAACAUGUUACAACCAAAACAUAAUAUGAAAAUUCUGAUGUGAAAUAGAAGUACUAUGAUGUGUGAAGUGUGUAGACCGUAGUGUAGAUUACUGAUAUAGUGUUAAAUUAUUAAUAUUUGAUAUUUAUGAAGGGUAUAUUAGUAACUUAUUACCGUCUUAAUGGGUUAUUGGUUUACCCAAUAAUCCAAUACUAAAAAGUAAAAACUGAUACCAAAUUGACGACCCAAUUUUUUAUUUUAUAAAAUCAUUAAAAAUCCGUUAACCCAAUAACCCAAUAACCCAAUAGCAAUGACCCAAUUAAAAUAAUUUCGGUUCGAUUUAUUGGCCGGUUCGAUUUUUGCACACCCCUACUCUAAUAUGCCCUUUCGUCAGUUGGGUCGUAUCUGAAUUGAAUUUAGAAUGAUAAAGAAAACGAGUAAAGUAAUUUUUAAAUUUUGAAACUAAGAAAAUCAUUUUAAUUUUUUUUAAGGGAAAAUGAUCGAAUAUACCUUCAACUUUAUUAUUUAGAAUUAAUAUACUUCUAGUUAUAAAAGUGACUUACUUAUACUCUUACCAUUAUGAAAAUGACUCGUAUAUAUUCCAACCGUUAUAAAAGUAGUUCACAUACAUCCUUUUGUCUAAUGAUAUUUAUAAAAGUCAUUUGUAUAAUGGUAUGAGUGUAUUCGAACCAUUUUUAUAACAAGAAUAUAUUAGUUUUAGAUGAUAAAGUUGACGGAUAUCAUUAUAUUAAAGAAAAAGGUAAAACAAAGUAUAUAUGGAGUUUAACGUAGAUAUGUCUAUUCAAAAUCGCAAAAUUGAGAAGUAUAUUAAUCCGUAGAUUCGAUGAACUAUAGUUUUUUACUCGCCAUGUUAUGGAAAUAGUUCAUGUCCCCACAGUUUUAAUGGGCAUUCAAUGAGUUCAUUCAUAAAUUCAUAAAUAAGAAUUUCAAUUUCAGCAAACAAACAAGGCCUUACCUGUAUAAAUAUUCACAAUUUUGGCCAUUUCUCCCCCUCCUCAGACCUCCUCCUUCAUCUGCUAUAACCCUUUGCCAACGACCUCCGCCGCCGGAAAAUAUCUACAUCUCCGGCCACCGACGGAUUUGUACAAUAACGUAUUUAAUCUUCAUUAUACAUCUGAACGUAGGAAAUGGAGGUUCUUCGGUUUACCGCCGUGAAGUCAUUGAAUUCCUGCGUCCGUCCUGAAUUCACGGCGACGAGUUCCGUCAUUGUUCCUUUUAACACUGUGAAAGUUUCCGGAACGAGGAAAAGCAAAAAGAAGGCGUUCAUUCGUGCUAAGGCGACGGAGAUCUUGUCAUCGCCAGCUACGGUAACGGAACCGUUGAAGGCGGAGCCGGUUGAGGCACCGGAGGCUCCGGUUCCGUUGCUACGAGUUUCUCCGAGCUCGUUGCAGUGUGAGCCGGGAUAUUUGAUACCGAAUACUCCGGUUUUAGGUACUGGUGGUGUGUCCGGGUAUGAGUAUUUGACAAACAUCUUGUCAUCGAAAGUUUAUGAUGUAGCUUAUGAGACGCCUUUGCAGAAAGCUCCUAAGCUGUCAGAAAGAUUGGGAGUUAAUGUAUGGCUUAAAAGAGAGGAUCUUCAGCCGGUAUGUAUCUUUUUUUAUUGGUUUUGUUCUUUGCAUUAUUGCACAAGUUGUUAAAAAUUUGAAUAUUUGGUGUUAAGUGAAGUUCUUUUAUCAGUUCUUUUUCUGUUUCUCUGAUGGAUUUCCUUGGUUCUGUCUUUGUGAAAACAUUUCUGUGCCAAUUCAUAGGUUUAUUCACUGAUAUUGGCCUUGUGUCACUCUUUAACCGCUGAAGGUUUAUGGUUGGGAUGAAGGUGUAGUAGUUGCUGUUGUGUAAAAGGAAUAUCUUUAGAACUAGUAUUUUUGAAAUAUCCUGUUCUCUGAGAAUUUAUUGUUACUAAGAGAGAAUUUGGUACUCCCUCUGUUUUAAUUUGUUUGUUUGGUUUUGAGUUGGCACACAGCUUAAGAAAGUGAAAUAGACUUUUGAAUUUUGUAGUCAUGUCCUUUAAUCUUGUUGUCUUAAACAUGCCACGUAAAAAAAUGAAAUUAAAGAGUUGCUAAAAAUGCAAAAAAAAAAACAUUUUUUUUUCUGAAAUGAGCUAAUAUGGAAAGUAAGAAAAGAAAUUGAGACGGAGGUAGGUAGUAUAUCAAAAUAUCAUCUGAAGAAACGAUUUCAUAGUGUUUGGUUACCUUCACUUGUGGUGGAAGAUGACUUUUUCCAUCCCCUAAAAGAAAAGAAAAGUUCCAAAGCUGCAUAAGGGAACCAAGGCAAAUUGUGUGUCUUGACUUCUUAGUUUUUUCUUUUCCAUAAACUUUCAGCUGAAAGAUUAUGCAACCCUUUUGUGGCGGAACACAGUUAUUUUGACAGAAACUUAUUGUCCUGAUGUACGUCUAGUAGUUAGUGAUCUUUAGCUACUAUUUACAUUUCUAUUCUCUCUAAUUUCUGGACGAAAAACCUUAUCAAAUGGCUGAUGUACCUUCAACCCUCGGUCUUUCCACGUGGAGUUGUAAUGUACUUCACUGUAUAAGAAUGUGUCAGGAUUGUUCUAUUCUGGAAUAGUUGAGCCUCCUAGCUAUGCUAAGAGCCAGUUUUGGCAAUUUGGUAUUUGCUUUGUGGUUGAAAGGUUGGGAAACUAGGACUAAAGAAUUGGGUGCUAUACCUUAAUGUACAGAGCAAUCAUGUAAGGUAAAGUGAAGUCUUGGUGGUUGUGUUUUUGGAAUGGAGUCCUUAAAUAUGGAGAUUCCCAUGGAGUGACAAUUGGCGGGAUGCAGAGGUAGUUAAAGACAUUCAGAAAUCUAAAAGCUAUUGUGUAUCUGUCGUACCUUUAAGAUAGUGUUUGCGGAAAGUGAAGCAGUUGGACCUCCUCCUGUGCUGGAGCUAGUGGAAAAUUCAAGUUUCUUUGGAUCGUAAUUAUUUGAAUGUUUGCUCAAGUUGUUGGAUCUUGGUCAGUGACUAUUUGUCUAUACCAACAUUUUCUUUUAAUUUAUUCUUUUGCUCAACUUUAAUAGGAAGAUUCUGAAUUGUUUGAGGAUCAUCUCAUUUUAUUUUGAUUAUGCUUCAAAUAUAGGAAAUUUAAGGAAUCUGUAUAAGUCAGUUACUGUGAUCUGAUUGCUUAAGAACAUGCAUGAUAGGCAUUUUUCUUUUAUUGUGAUAAUUUCCCCUUUGAGCUAAACGUUACUAAGACCCAAAGUGGGAAUUGACUCUAAUCUGUCACUCCGUUGGCCUUGAUCUGCUGUUGUUAAAAUUUUCGGAUGAUUUAGGGCUUCACUUGUCGGGUUUUAGAUUAGAUUAAGUACCUUGGAAAAGAAAAAGGCAAAAUAGGCAGCACAUUUGUGCUUAUCCAAUUGAUUCUGGACUCAGACCAGAGUUUCUCUGCUAUUUAUGUUGCAUUUUCGUCAAUUAGUUGAUCUUCAACGUAUGAUUAUGUUAGCUUGCCUAGUUUCUUGUUCAGCUCAACCUUAAAUUUCUGUGUCCUAGAUCAAGGAGAUCAAGGUCUUUUUUAUCCUUUUUUUGGAUAAGGCCAAAAGGUGAAAGUACUUAAACUUGUAUACCCUAUGGUUUAUCUACUUUUGUAUCUUUUGUUCCCUAAAUGUUAUUCCUCUAAAUUUUUGACGUAGAAAACUUGUUCCACUUCUAUAGGCUGUCAUUCUUCUGACCGCCACCCCACCCCCCCCANNNNNNNNNNNNNNNNNNNNNNNNNNNNNNNNNNNNNNNNNNNNNNNNNNNNNNNNNNNNNNNNNNNNNNNNNNNNNNNNNNNNNNNNNNNNNNNNNNNNNNNNNNNNNNNNNNNNNNNNNNNNNNNNNNNNNNNNNNNNNNNNNNNNNNNNNNNNNNNNNNNNNNNNNNNNNNNNNNNNNNNNNNNNNNNNNNNNNNNNNNNNNNNNNNNNNNNNNNNNNNNNNNNNNNNNNNNNNNNNNNNNNNNNNNNNNNNNNNNNNNNNNNNNNNNNNNNNNNNNNNNNNNNNNNNNNNNNNNNNNNNNNNNNNNNNNNNNNNNNNNNNNNNNNNNNNNNNNNNNNNNNNNNNNNNNNNNNNNNNNNNNNNNNNNNNNNNNNNNNNNNNNNNNNNNNNNNNNNNNNNNNNNNNNNNNNNNNNNNNNNNNNNNNNUCCUGCCCCCCCCCCCCCCACACACACACAAAAGAAAGAAAAAAGACUUUCUUAUUGCUGGAAAUACAAAUCUUCGGCACUGGAGUAGAGUUGGCUCAGUAAAUCUGAUACACUCAUAUUGACAGGUGUUUUCGUUCAAAAUCAGAGGAGCUUACAAUAUGAUGGCAAAACUCCCUAAAGAGCAGUUGGUAAAAGGGGUUAUAUGCUCAUCAGCUGGAAACCACGCACAAGGUGUUGCAUUAUCUGCUCAGAGACUUGGCUGUGAUGCUGUGAUUGUUAUGCCUGUUACUACACCAGACAUCAAAGUUAGGAUUAUUGAAUUACACUUUUGGUUUAAUAGCUACCAUUUUGAAUGAAUCCUGUUAUUUUAAGGUUAUCCAUUUUUCUGAAACCACAUUCUUCUUUGAGCAGUGGAAAUCAGUUAAGAGAUUGGGUGCUACUGUUGUUCUUGUUGGGGACUCAUAUGAUGAAGCUCAAGCAUAUGCCAAAGAGCGGGCUGAAGCUGAAGGCCGCACAUUCAUCCCUCCUUUUGAUCACCCAGAUGUCAUCGUAGGGCAAGGUACAGUAGGGAUGGAGAUAAAUCGCCAACUCAAAGAUAACAUUCAUGCAAUCUUUGUUCCUGUUGGAGGAGGGGGGCUUAUAGCUGGUAUUGCUGCUUAUUUAAAAAGGGUUGCCCCAGAUAUAAAGAUUAUUGGAGUUGAACCACUUGAUGCAAAUGCGUUGGCAUUAUCAUUACAGCAUGGUCAGAGAGUAAUGCUGGACCAAGUUGGGGGUUUUGCAGAUGGUGUAGCUGUUAAAGUGGUUGGUGAAGAGACUUAUCGUCUCUGCGAGGAAUUAAUAGAUGGCGUAGUCCUAGUUGGUCGUGAUGCUAUAUGUGCAUCAAUAAAGGUUAGCCAUCAUCUUUUAUUUUACAUGUUGGUCUUCAUCUGGAUUAAAUCUUUUGCCAACUGGUAUUUACUGUGGACUAAAUUUCUCAAUGCUUGUAUAUGUGCUCCCUGAAGCACUACCGGUCAAAUGAGACUAACAGUUGGAACAUUUUUUGUCAGUUACCUCUCUUUCUUUCCAAGAAAGUAUCACACAGCCCUCGUGUGUUAUAUAUAUGAUGAUACUAUGUAUCAAUGCUUUAUAAGAUUGCAUGAGUGGGUUCGUCUAAGAAAGAAUAUGAGUUGUAAAAGAAAACAGAAACAUUCUGGAAAAAAACAUAAAAAAUUGUAGGAAGCUAUGAAGUCGAUGCCAACAUAGAACUUCUGUGGAAUGAAAUGUUUUAUCUUAGAGAUAUACAUGGUCAUUUUUCAUGCAGAAAGUCUAAUAACUGUUGGAUAGACAGCUUUUUAUUGCAUGAGUUGUAAAACUUUUUAUGUAACAGUCAUUGCUCAUUUGGAUAGGACAUGUUUGAAGAGAAAAGGAGCAUACUAGAGCCUGCAGGUGCACUUGCUCUUGCUGGAGCCGAGGCAUACUGCAAGUAUUAUGGCCUCAAGGGUGAAAACGUAGUAGCAAUAACUAGUGGAGCCAACAUGAACUUUGACAGGCUUAGAUUGGUAACAGAACUCGCAGAUGUUGGUAGACAGCGGGAAGCUGUUCUUGCUACUUUUAUGCCAGAAGACCCAGGAAGCUUCAAAAAGUUCGCUGAAAUGGUGGGUCACCUUGAGCACUUAAAUAUGGAUUUUAAAGUAGUGCACUUUUGAGUUACCAGUUUCCCGGAAAAAAAAAGUAGCACACUUUUGACUAGCAGACUGAAACAUUAAUUUGAUUACAGGUAGGACCAAUGAAUAUCACUGAAUUCAAGUACAGAUACAACUCUGAUAAAGAAAGAGCUCUUGUACUUUACAGGCAAGGUCUCCUUGAUCUUUUAAAGAGAUUUGUGGUUCAUUUUAGCGUUAAUUUUAGUAUUUAUUAACACAAGCACUUAUUCAUGAAAGGACAUCAACUAAGUAUUAAAUAUUUCCAGUUAUUUGCCUCUAUCAAUCUAUUAUGUAACCUAUGGUAAAGCCAGUGUUGUUAAAUUUUAUUUAAUUAAAGCCAACUUUAUUCAUUGUUUCAUGGCCUUUUUUUAAUGUGCAGUGUUGGACUUCACACAAUUUUAGAACUUGAAGGAAUGGUGGAGAGGAUGGAAUCAGCAGAUCUGCAAACCAUUAAUCUUUCAGACAAUGACUUGGUCAAAGAUCAUCUUAGGCAUUUGGUAAUGUUUUAGGUCUCCUUUAUCAUGUUGAUAUUUUUCUUUUGUAUAGAACUGUAUGUAUAAUUACUCUAUUCAUUUGAAUAUUUUAGCUUUUACUACUAUUUAAGAAACUUGAUGACAAUUUACCGUAAUGAAAUAAUGUUUCUGUCUCGUGAAUUUUUUAAUUCUUAAGAGUAGAUUUGCGGAGAGAUUAGGUUUAACUCCUUUGUUUAAUGGAUUAUGUGGUGUUCAUUGGAUAUUGAUCUCUCUCUCUCUCCAGAUGGGUGGUAGAACAAAUGUUCAUAAUGAACUUUUGUGUCGAUUCACUUUUCCCGAGAAGCCUGGUGCUUUGAUGAAGUUUUUAGAUGCUUUCAGCCCACGUUGGAAUAUAAGUUUGUUUCAUUAUCGUGCACAGGUAAUAUAGAAUCUCAUUCUUCUAGUUUAGUUCUUCCCCUUUGUUUUGUGUUGGCCUGUAGUUUAUCUGCUAAUAUAUUGGAUUAAUUUGUUUGAUCUUUUCUUUCGUGCUGAAAGGGAGAUACUGGUGCAAAUGUGCUAGUCGGGAUCCAAGUUCCACAGGAUGAGGUAGUUGAGUUUGAGGGACGGGCAAACAAUCUUGGUUAUGAAUAUGCAGUGGAGAGUCUCAAUGAGGCAUACCAGCUCAUAAUGCAUUGAAAAAGGUGUUGCCUGUUUUGGCUUGUUCUGGGACCUCAUUGCAAUGAAAUAACGUGGUAUUCGCCGACUUCACUUUCUCCUGGUUAGUCAGAUAUUCUGAAUCCUCCUCGUCAAUGGAAGAUGCCUAUUUCAUAUCCAACCAGUGUACUAGAUAAUUUUGGGCUAGUCUUUAUCUUGUGUAUAUAAGCUAUUUGUGUGUUAUCUAAAGGCCUCUACUUCCAUGAAUAAACCAUUUCACUUUAAAGCUAAUAUUAGGAGUUCUUUGUUCUGUUUCUACUUUGGCCUUCAAUCCCAACUUCAUCACGUUGUUCUAUUAAAAAUAUCUUUGUUUUCUGGUGGUUGUUUCGUUUUAGUUUUUGGUCCGUCUUUCUUUUUGUCAGGUGUGUUUAGAUUUGUUCACUUUGUCUUGUUAAACGUUAUGGAACCAAAGUUUGAGCCUUCGGUCUUGUAGAGCUAAGAAUCUGAAGGCUGAUCAUAUAAAAAGUCUAAUAAUUACAGAGGAAUCCUUUUUCUUCUAUUCAAGUUUAGUUCUUCAUUAACGAUCAAUUUAUCCUGAAUACUUUUAACAUGUGAACCCACUGCUACUUGUAUGCCUACUGAUAUCCAUGCCUACUCGAAGUCUGCACUUUCAUUUUUUUUUUGAUGACAAGGGAAACCCGCAGUCGCUACCCUUUGGGUGCGCACAUGGUAAAACCCCCGCUCCUAUGCAAUGCUCAAGCAUCUUAAUGUCACUCUAUAUAGAAGCUUGAAUAGUAUUUUGCAUUUCAUUUGCUCCUAUUGAGCAGCCUCUCAUUUUACCAUCUGAUAUCAUCCUUCGGAAAAUCUGAAGGGGGAAAAAGAAGAAAAGAACAAAAGAAAAACCUGCAUAAUCGAGGAUCAGAACUUCCUGUAAUUCACUCUCUUGUUGUUACUUUUUCUUUCUUCUCAACUACUACAGUCUACAGGUACCAAUUAUCAUACAUUGUAACCUAGUUAGCUCUGUAUGUCACUCCUCAUACCCAGUACACCAUUUCGUUAAUAUGAACACCCAAAUCCCACAUACCAGCAUUUCGAGUUCAACUGCCUGCAGUGUCUUAUAUAGGAGUUUGCUGUGAAUCUUACCUUAACACAAAUUUCACCAGGAGCAAGUUAGAGACGUCCAUAAGGGCGAACUUAAAUUUGUUACUCUUUAUCAACAUAUAUAAAUGCAGAAUGCAUGUUUAAGUAUGGAGGCAAUAUAACUCAUUCAAUUCUAUCAUUUGCUCCAUCUGCUCUCUACUCUUAUCAAAAAAGAGAAAAAUUAGCUCUUGUUAUGGUCAUACAAGGUCUUUUAGCAAAUUUAUAAGAAAUAUUACACACUAAAGGUUAUUAAUGAAAUAGAGUCUUUCCCAGCAUGAUAUGAUUUACUCUAUUGAAAAGUUAGUGAAAUAUUGUAAAUUUUGCAACCUAGGAACCAAAGACUCAUAAAUAAGUCAUCUUGAAGUCUUAAAUCAUUUUUGAGGCAAAGAAGUAAGUGGGAAGGGAAUCCUUAGAGCAACGGUAAAGUCGGCUCCAUAUGAACUACAUGUCACGGGCUCGAGUGGUGGACCCAGACCAAACUGUAGUUCUCGUGUCCCAUUUGGUUGCUCAAUUCCUCAAAAAGCUGCUUGCGUCAAGGUAGGCUGCCGGGAUGUGUCCCUACCUUGAAUCAUAUGUAAAUGUAGGAUGCUUCAUACGCAGGCAGUCCUUUUUUAGGCAAAGAAAUAAAUGGCCUAGAGCUACAAUACGUUUACGGUUCAGCAGAAACCAGUGUUUUGGGUUGAAUCUGUUUACAUAUGUGCGAAAAAUAAGCAGAGAUAGAUAUACAUUUCACAGCUCACAACGUCAAAAUUCUGAAUCCGUCCACCACUGAAAUAGACAUACUCAAGAGAUGUGCUAAUUUUUGGCAAAACAGUCUUUUGAACUUUGUACACCCAAAUACCCUGUAACCAUCUUUCAGUCACUAACUAAACUCAAGAAUUAUAAAGAAAAAAAACAUAAAAACUUGUGUAUAUACGUAAAUAUCUAAAUAUAUACACUUCUUAGCGUGUGUUCAUUUUGUUUCGACUUACAAAGGGUAAAGUGAAAAUGAAGGAAACAAAUAUAUUACUAGUAUUUUAUGUCACUAUAUUAAAGGAUCCAUACCAUAAGCCUCUUGCCUAGUGUCAUGCUUCCAUUUCUUGUUCUGUUACCCACCUUGUAUGUAUAUCUGCAUUAGGCCUUGACUAAAUUUGAAUUUAUGCAUUGCAAGGCUCAUUUCUUGUGUUAUCGCUCCCAACAUGAUUUUUUCAAUUCUCAGAUGCUCGAAUCCGAGACCUGUGGUUAAGAGGUGAAGAGAUCUGAAAUCAUUCCACAACAACCUAUGUUUAUAGUGUCAUCCUUCUAUGUUACUUAUGUCAAGAAUUUGCAAAUCUCCAUGCAAAUACUAAUAAAAAAUAAAUGCUACUUCUAUUUGGCCUAUUCUAAUUUCUAUAUAGAGUGAAGUUUUUUUUACAACACCAGGGAAAAAGCAAAGGAAUAUUGAGUAAUCGAUGGAGUUUGAACCCUCCACUUCAACUUCGAAGGCAGGAAACUCAUCAAGUGAGUGACACCUGUCCCAAGUUAAAGUUCUAUACACUAACUGUGUAAAAUAAAUUAAAUGAAUCGCAUCACUUAUAGGAUAAUUACAAGUAAAUCUAUUUAAUAAGCAUUGAUUUGUAAUUUAAAUUAAAAGGUAGUAAGUAACAAAUUAUAAAGUUUUGAUGGGGAGAAUUAUGUUAACAACUUAUGAUAAAUAAAACUUAUUCGAAGAUGAAUUAAAAGUCUAACAACUGUAUAACUUUAAAGUUAAAACAUGGUAUGUUUUCAACAUCCCACAACUCCUCUUGGUUAGUAGUGAUAGUCAUUUCUAAGUAUGCAUGUGCUUGGUUAUAUUUAAUUACGUUUAAAUAUUUUAAGUAGGCACAUAUAUCGUGGGAUGGUUGAAAUUUCUUUAUCUUUAGCUAAAUAUUUUGAGUUUAAACUCUUGAAAAUAGAAAAAAUCUUAUUGACAACAGGAUCCUACAAUGCGCAAAUUCGAAUUUAGUCAGACUUCUACUAUGGAUAUAAGAGGAAAUUAAAAAAAAGUAUCUCUUGAUUGCACUUUUCCUAAAAGGUAAAAGAGCAAAAUCUAGAUUACAAUAAUGAAGGAAGGAAGAUAUACAUUGAACACUAAGAUGGUAAGGAAUCAAAUUACAAUUUUUUAACCAUAUUUUAUAGAAAUUUCAUAUAUUUUAUUAUAUAUAUACCAAAGCCAAACUUUACAACCUUUUUCCACAAAGGAACAACAAAAGUAAAAGGGGAAAAAAAAAGAAAAACAAAAAGAAUGAAUUCAAGUUCUUUAAAGGUUUUAUGGUUUAUUUUGCCAUUAUUUUUGGUUGCUGCUUUUGUUGUUAUCAAUAAUCCACAAGGUUCCAAAUUUUGGUUAUCAAUUUCUCAUCAUCAUUAUUUAAAGACUCUCAAUAAUGGUUCUUCAACAAAGGUGAGUUUUAUUUACAAAAAAUAUUAUUAUUAGCACUUUUGUUAAUCUAUAUAUUUGUUGUUUAGCUAUAGAAUUUGUCCAUGCGCUAAUUCUUAUUUUUCUCGUAGUGAUGAUCUACACUUCAUUCCACAAACAUUGUGGUAACUAAAACAUUGAUCUUUAAUCAUUCGAGUCCUCUAAUGAAAAACUGGGGUUCUUUUCGACACAAAUUUGAAUUAAUCGGACUUCAAUGAAGGUACUGAAUACCAAGCGAGAAACUAUAAAAAACAUUCUAUCUUUUCUCGUUUGCUAUAAAAUUAAUUAAUGGAUUUUUUUAGAGCUGUUAAUAGCUGAUUUUAAUUUCUUGAUCAAGAAUUUGAUACUAUCAAUUAAUGACCUUGGCAAAAAAAAAAAUCUUACCUUACUUGGGACUUGUGAUCUUGAAAUGACUCUUAAAUUUAAUGAAUUUUAUUUUCUUACCACUAAGAAUCCAUUGCAAUUUUGAAUUAUAUAUUCAUAAUUAAAUCAAUUUUAUUAUAAUUUUAGUGAUAUAAUUCAUGUAUAUACCUAAGUUCCAUUUUUAAAAUGCUAGGUUUAGCUGAACAUGAGUAUAUCUUAUUUGUUAUAUAUAUUAUAUAUAAUUUUGUCCAAAUUUUGUUAUAUAUAUAAUUUGAUUUUGCUAUAGAAACUUAUAAAUUUCAAAUCCGAAUCGCCCUAUUUCUAUUUCAUGAUGACCAUAACCCUUUAAAUUUACUAAUUAAUUGCUUAUUUGUUGUUAACCUUAUAGGCAAUUGAUGAGAAAGAUGAGGUCCCUAUUAUUAAUGUAAAUAAGAGCACAACAACACCAAAAAGAUUUAGCAAAAUAGAGAAAUUGGAAGCAGGACUUGCAAGAGCUAGAGCUGCAAUAUUAUUAUUAAGACAAAACAAAAGUAAUCAUAUAGAAGAAGAAGAAGAAGAUGAUGAGUAUAUCCCUCAUGGUCCUAUGUACUUGAAUGCUACUUCCUUCCACAGGUAUGUUGUAUAAUACUAUACCAUUCACGAUUAAUUAAUUACUACUCCAUUUCGGGAUCGUUUGAUUUGAAUACAAGUUAUAUUGAGAAUAGUUUUUCUGACAUGUAUUGUUUCUUCUUUAUUGUCUAUUUGGUUUGUUAUACAAAAAUAACAUGCAUUUGUAUAUUUUCUGAGAAGAAAUUAAAUUGUUCGUUCACAAAAAUAUCCUCCACCUUAUUCAGUAGAAAAAAGGUUUGAGGCAAUGACGUAACCACAUAUAACUUAGGGUGGCCAGUCGGACACCCUUCGUCAAAAUAUUAUAAUAUAUAUAUAUAGAGAGAGAGAGAAUUAUACGAAGUAUAUAGGUCAAUUAUUAUUUUUCGUACCUAUAUAUAUAUGAAAUCAUGAACACCCUUAACGAAAUUUCUGACUUCGAUAGUGAUUUAAGGUAUCUCAUGUUUUUUUUUUUUGUCAUUUUUACUAAUUUACCAGGAUAUCUAAUCUCAAUGCUAUUAUUCCACCCUCUGACAGAUAUAAAAUAAUCUUAGACUUUGGUGUUUAAGUUAUAUUUGAUAUAAUAUGUAUAAAUAAUAUAUCAAAAACUCAAUAAGCUAUACUAAUUGAAACUCAGAAUUCAUAAAUUUAAAAUUUUGAUUCAUUUCUAAAAUGUGUAGGAGCUAUUUGGAAAUGGAGAAAAAAUUCAAGGUAUAUGUGUACAAAGAAGGGGAACCCCCAUUAUAUCAUUUUGGUCCAUGCAAACAAACAUAUGCUAUUGAAGGUUAUUUUAUUCAAGCAAUAGAAGUAAGCAAAUUCAGAACAGAAAAUCCAAACAAAGCUCAUGUAUACUUCUUGCCAUUAAGUGUUACAAUGUUAAUUGAAUUCAUAUAUGUGGCUGAAUCACAUGAAUGGGGUCUCAUGAAGAACACAACAAUGGAUUAUGUCAAUGUCAUUUCUCAAAAGUAUCCUUACUGGAAUAGAAGUCUUGGUGCUGAUCAUUUCAUGCUUGCUUGUCAUGAUUGGGUAAGUUUCUUGAAUUUAUUUUAUACCGUCGGUGUAUAUAAAUUAAUUAGAACGUUAUUUAAAUAACAAUUGGUUCUCUCUAAAAAAAAGAUUGAAUUUGGAGUAACAGACAGAGUACUCGAAUAGAUACUUUACUACAAGCAUCGUCUCAUUGUUUUUCACUUUGAUAUGGAAUUUAAUAUUAAAACCAUACUCUUCCUUUAUUCCUCAUUUGAUAUAGACUUGAGAGGUAGCCUUUGUAAAAUUAAUAAUAAAAUAAAUAUUGAAACUUUUUGAAUAUUAUAGUUCACCCCUUUUAAUUUAUGUGAUAUUGUUUAUUUAUUAUAAAAAAUAAAUAUUUUUAUAUUUAGAAUAUUCAAUUAUAAAAUUCUCAUUUUAUUAUUAACGAGAAGCUUUUAUAGUCAUACAAAUGUUAUGUCAUGUUUAAGAUCAUAAAUUUCAAUUACGUAUUACUCUACUUUUUACUGAAACUUAACAUUGAAUUAAUCAAAUUAUAUGUCACAUAAAUUGAAACGAAUGGAGAAUUGUAUUCACGAUAACUAGUGCCAAGCUCACAUGUGUAAUAUUCUUUAAUGAUAGUCCUCUCUAUAGAUAAUUGUCGUGUGUACUUCACGUUAUCUCUGGGAGGUAACGAUAAAGUUUGUAUACAUUCUAUAUCCUUUUCAGAUUCCAUUCAUAAGAUUACACUGAAUAUGUUGUUGUUGCUAUGUACCGUAUUGUAUGACCUUUUUUAAUACAUUUUUAAUAAUAGUAUCUUAGUCUUGAUUUAAUUUGUGUUAUUAUACAGGCCCCUGAAAUUUCCUUUGCUAUACCACACUUGUACAAAAACUCAAUUAGAGCUUUAUGCAAUGCCAAUACCUCAGAAAAAUUCAAUCCAACAAAGGAUGUUUCAAUUCCAGAAAUCCAUCUCCCUUUAGGUACAACCAAAGGCCUACUAGGCGGUCCACCGCCCUCCGAUCGCCCCGUUCUCGUGUUCUUUGCCGGAGGUGUUCAUGGUCCAAUUAGGCCAAUUUUGUUACAACAUUGGGAAAAUAGUAAAGAUGAAGAUGUUCAAAUUCACAAGUACUUACCAAAAGGUGUUUCAUAUUAUGACAUGAUAAGAAAGAGUAAAUAUUGUAUAUGUCCAAGUGGAUAUGAAGUUGCAAGUCCAAGAAUGGUUGAGGGACUUUACAUGGGAUGUGUACCUGUCUUAAUUAAGGAUAAUUAUGUGACACCUUUUAGUGAUGUACUUGAUUGGGACACAUUUGUUGUUACAAUUCAUGUUAAGGAUAUUCCUAAGCUUAAGAAAAUUCUUAUGGAUAUUCCUCAAGAUAAGUAUUUGGAGAUGCAAAAGAGGGGAAUUCAAAUGAGGAGGCAUUUUGAGGUUAAUUCACCUCCAAAAAGAUAUGAUGUGUUUCAUAUGAUUCUUCAUUCGAUUUGGCUUCGAAGACUUAAUUUUCGAGUUCAUGAUGUUGAUGAAUCUUGAAUUAAAAGUUUUGGUUUGUGAGAGAGGAAAGUAUCGAUUUUAAGUAUAAAUACAAUUUUUUUUUGGAGGGUUGUGUUUUUACGAUUCUUGAUUAUGCUAAAUAGAUCGAUAUAUAUUGUUAUACUUCAUACUUGUGCACCAUUAUGAACUAAUAAGAGCUAUUCUGAUUUUGUAUUUUAUUUGAUUUGAUGUGAUAUUGUAUUGUGUUCAUAUAGUGAUUGAAUGGAAGUGUUCCAACGGUUGACCAAUUGAAACAAUCAUGUUUUUGAAUAUUCCAUUGCUAUUUAUCGAAAAAAAUCGUCAUUUUGAUUAACAAUAAAAUUUGUGAAAAGUGAUUAAAAAUAAGUGGAUUAAGAUCUAUAAAAUUCAUUUCUUUAAGGCCAAAACACUAAGACAUGUUAGUGCAAGACUCGAGCUUGAUUUUUUUAUUUCCCCGGGAGUCAUUAAGAGGAUGUCCAGCUCGCGAGGAAAGGUCUCGUGGGGUGCCCCAUUAGGAAACAACUUUAUUCGGGUUAGUAUCACAUCGCUUAGGAUCACACCGGAGACAAUCCUUCCAAAUUUCCACAGGUUGCAUCAAGCAUUUCUUCGGGUUUAAUUUAACCACGUGUCAUAGUCUGAUUCAUCCUUUUACUAAACGCGAAUUUCCACAUACAAAUAGUGUCCUACUUUGCGGAUACCCAAUGAAAUGUCCGAGAAGUAGAAGAUUAUUGGACUGGCCCAAUACAUGGCCCAUGAGCAACCACUUAUUGGGCUUACGAUAGAUUUGCUUUUCUUUUGGGCCCAAUUUUUCAUACAGUUUCCACUAUAAGGGUUUGUUGACUAGGGUUUAUUUUCUCCAUUUUUGGAACAUCACUACGGAGAAAGCUCGCAGCUGUAUCAGCAAUGGUGCUCAAGUAAAUCAUCAACCUUUCUACUUGCUUUUUUUAUAUGUUUCAUGUAUGUAAUAGAAUGUUGUAUACAUGCCCUUAAUUUAUUAAUUUUUCUUUUUUUUUCGCAUUUUGUAAAUUUCGUGUAUUCAGAGAUUCAUGUUAGAUCAUUUGUAACUUUGUUUUGAUUAUCAAUUUAUCAUAUAUUAUUCACAUUAAUGGCGCCAUUUUGUUUUUGUUGACUUGUAUAUAAGUACCUGUUUUGUGUCCAUUUCGUUUGUUUGCUAAUCGGAGUAUUAGUUCUACUUAAAUUCUUCGCUUAUCGAUGUUUUGCUUGCUUGCUAUAGUUGAGUUGCAUAAUUAAAUGUGAAUCUGUAGUGAAAUUCUCAGUAGCUGCUUUCAUUGUUGCAUUUGGUGAAGGUUGAAUGUUGCUUUCAGAGCUUUCAUUUUGGCAAAGCUAGUUGAAAGAUUUGAAAAAACUAUAUCAUUGGGAAAACCUAACUGCUUUUAGCACAAGUAAUAUGAACAAGGAUGAAGUUUUGCAUAAACAAAAAAAAAGAGAAGAAAUUGCGAACUGAGUUUUUGAUAAUUUUCGAAUAGACUUAAGUAUGUAUGGUCCCUGCUCAUGAUGGAGGAAUUAUUAUGGUUGUUAUGUUGUAUACACUUUCUAGCUUCGUUUAGUUUGAAUAUGUCUGCUUGUAUUACACAAAAUUAAAGUAUAAGUGAUUAAUCUAGUGUUUUAUUCUUGAUUCUGAUUUCAGGACGGAACUCUGUCGUUUUAGUGGUGCCAAGAUAUAUCCUGGGAGGGGAAUCAGAUUUAUUCGUUCAGAUUCUCAGGUAAUUUUUAUUUUCUGAGAGAACUUACUAUCUUCUUCGUUAUGAAUGUGACUCACUUUUAUUUCGUCUUAGGUGUUUCUAUUUGUCAACUCAAAAUGCAAACACUACUUCCACAAUCGUCUGAAGCCUUCAAAGCUUACAUGGACAGCUAUGUAUAGGAAGCAACACAAGAAGGUUAGUGUUAAUAAAGCUUCAUUGAUCAAAAUUUUCAAGCUUUAUUUUUCUUCAAAAUUAGCCUCAAAAAUUGCAAAGUUGAAGGAUAGAUAUGUUGAUACUACAUUGCGAUCAUAAUAAGUCUGUAAAACAAUUUUCUGUUUUGCCAGCUCUUACCUAAUUUGUAUCAUGGCAUAGUCCUCUUCACCUUUGCCAUCUUUUGGAUAACUGUAUGUAUAUUCUUAUGUCUAAGUAAAAUUUGCCAUUUUUGUAUGGUGACUCUAGGAUAUUGCCCAAGAAACUGCUAAGAAGAGGCGUCGCACAACAAAGAAGCCUUACUCCAGGUCCAUUGUAGGUGCAACCUUAGAGGUUAUCCAGAAGAAGAGAACUGAAAGGCCAGAAGUUCGAGAUGCUGCCAGGGAGGCUGCUCUCCGGUUAGUUUUUACCAUUUCCUGCAUGCCAAUCCCUUAGAUUUAGCCUGUGCAUUGUAUCAAGUUGUCAGAUAUACAUGCAAACCACCUAUUACUCAAUCUGGUUGGUAAACCUAAGAUAAAAUGGGGGAAAAGAACUAAACGAUGGAUUCUUUUGACAAUACAGUUUUUCCUUUAUUACAUGAGGGUGAGUUGAUUUUCAUUUUUUAUCGAUUUGUGCAGUGAAAUCAAGGAAAGGAUCAAGAAGACCAAGGAUGAGAAGAAAGCCAAGAAGGCUGAGGUGCAGGCCAAGUCACAAAAAGCUGGAGGUAAGGUUAACGUCUCUAAGGGUGGAUCGAAAGGACCUAAGCUUGGUGGUGGCGGUGGAAAACGUUAAGCAACAUUUUGUUUUUUUACUUGUAAGUCAGUUGAGAGUUUUUUUCACGGCACUGUAAGUGGCAUCAUUUACCAGUCUUAUUGUAGUCAAAACAGCAGACAGCAAUUUCUCUAAACAAAUGUUUUUGCAUUUUAAUGUUGCUAUUGAUUCGUUGAUGGACUGCAGUUAAAUACAGUUCUUCUCAGUUCUCACUCUAACAAUAUAUUUUCGUAUUUUGUUUUGUUUCAAAUGUGCCAUCGCUUUGACCGAUAUUCCUAUCAUUUUUUUCUUUUUAUUAACCUUCACGAACCAUUUCACUUUAUCCCUUGUGUUUCAUCAACAACCCAAAAAUCUCACUUUUUACCAAUCGUUCCCUCAUGCCACAUCCUCCAUCUCAAUUUUUUAUGUUAUGUGUAUGUGUUUGAUUAGACGUGAAGUUUAAGAAACAAAUUUUAAACUUAAAAGAUGUCUAAAACAAGUUAUAGGAAUUGUUUGUAUUUCAACAAGAGUGAAAUGAAAACUUUGAAGUUAAAACUAUUACUAGAUGUAAAAACAUGACAUUCAAUUGGAGUGGGGGAGUUCUAUCUAGUGCAAUAUUACAUAGGGUCGAGGAAGGUAUUUUUAAGAUGAAAACCCCCAACAACAUAUUUCAAGAGCAUAUAAAAAAUGCAUCAAGAAAGAUUGAGAUAAAAAUAAGAAACAAAAGGCAUAACAGCUACGCUAGCUUGGAGCGAUCCUACAUAAUUUAUAGUCCCCAAACACUGGAAAGUAAGUCAUCAUGCAAGUGCAAUAAACACAGCAACAUUGUACCAAUUGUAUACACAUGAAAUAGUAAUAAUAAUAACAACAACUCAAUGUUUCUUCCCUUGACAGAGGAACGAAGUAUUCUAUUAUCCUGAUCUUCCGUAGAAGAUAUACUAUACAGCAAAACUGGAUCAAAUACAAAGCAUUAACAUUUACAUGGAUAGGAGGGGCAGACAUACCUAAGGCGAAAAAUAUACAGAGAUAUCCUCCAUGGUACCAAAUUUUUAGGUAGUAUAAGCUGUGUAAUAGAACCUAAUUUAAUACUUUCUACAAGUGUUGGUAAAACUAGGAAACAUAUCAUUUACCCUGUUCUUCUCCUCCUGAGAUUACUGGGGAUAAUUGAUACAGAAUCCAAACAAAGGCCACCUUUGGAAUGUGUGCAGUCAAUCUGUUUCAUUGAGAAUCUAACUUCAGUUACAGGAUUUGACCUACUGACAAUAAAUUCACCCACCUUGUAUUCAAUCCAGCAUCCACGCUUAAUAGUCCCUUUUGCAUCAUCUUGUUCGAUGUCAUGGAGGUGGCACUCACUAACUACACACUGUCCAUCAGAAGUAGACAGUUCAUAGCGUACUGGCCCCAAAUCCCAUCCAUAUGUGUGCUCAAAGUUGGAAACACGUCGGCCUAGUCUCUUAAGGAAUUUCCCAAUGUGGAUCCUGAAUGUUAGAGUGUAUACAUCUGGAGGAAAAGGAAACUUCACUGUUCCACUUACUUCAAACCACCAGACUUGCUGGCAAUACGCCACAAUCUGGAACCUGCAAGAAACUAUCAGCUGAAUAUUAGAAUGUGGAAGUUUAUGAUAUCUCAUUGUGUCUACCAACAGCUAGAUGUUUACGAGUGGUCAGAAACAACAAGGUUGUCGAACAAUCAGAAAGCAAACAACAAACGUAAGGGAAAAAGAUAUACUCCACUACUUUCAAGUAUUUUUAAUGGAUAAGAAGAGGAGAAAUUUGAAUCAGAUAUACCUUUAUUUUUUCAAAUUCAAGUGUGCUGAUACUACCUAGGACAUUCUAUGCAAUCCAGUCUAAUCACACCAUAUUAUCAAGUAAUGAACUUAAUCCAUUUGAAUGAACUCCUUCAAAUAGGAAGAAAAAAAAAUUCAAAAAAGGAUUUAAUCCAUUUCUUCCUGUUCUCUUCUUAUUCUUAUCUGAUUUCAUCUCAAGGUCAACAAAUAAACAUCAUUUACCAUGAUAGCAAAUUUUAUCCCGUGAUGCACAAAGAAACUCAGUUUCAAGUAACAGACUCAAUGGGGAAAUAAAUAUCUAUCACUAAGCAUUACAGAGAAUAUCUAACCUAUUCAAGAAUCUAAUAUAAUCUCCACAGUGUGAAGAACAAGCUUAUAAAUGAUAUUGUUGAAUAUGAUUUGAACAAAUAACAGAUUAAUCUAACCUUGAUUCAUCCGUUGCAAACCAGUUCCAAUGUCUCCUGUCUUCACUACUUGUUAUCGACAUUGCUUUUGAAGAGAUUGACAUGCAAAUCCUUCCACUUACUCUGUCCAACCAUACUUCCUGUUAUUUCUCCCAUGUAAUGAGAAGUAUAUAUUAGUAAAACAAAUAGAAACACUAUAAAUAGAGCUAAAAAUUGUAAGUCGUAAACAUAAGAAAACACAAUGAAACUCAACUGUGCCAAACCCCCACUCCCACACCCCCGUUUAAGGAAUUAAUAGGGCCCUUUAAUCCCUUUGAUUCCCUGGUGGCUCGAAGACUCUAACAUGGUUGGAGUGAUUCGCACUGUGUUAUCCCUUCCCUCAUCAAAGCUCAACAUUUCUUACACUCCAUUUCCCCCAGUUAAACAACAUCAAAAGCAUUAGACAAAGGAGUGUAUCCAUACCAUCAAGAACCUACUUUAGCAGUGUCAACUCAAAUUUCAUAAUUCAUUCCACUAAAACCAAUCCAAAAUAUUUGAAAAAUACAUGUCUAAACAAAUUCUCAGAGAUUCUCCGGCAAUUUGCAGUAACCAAAAUCACAUAUAGCCAAUAAUCAAUUUCGACCCAGAAAUGACCAACAUCAAUUUUGACCCAAAACUCAAAUUUCAGCUACCAUUUACCAUCAAAAUAAAGAAUAUCAUAUAUAACUUCUCCAAAUAGCAAAUGACAGAUCACUCGAAUCCCAGCUGAGCCAAUGAAGCUAAUUGAGAUGCUUGCAAAAUAGGGAUCAAAGAGAUAUUUGCAUAAAUUUUUGACAAAUUCGUAUACCUUAUUAUCAUCGUCAAACGAGAGGGGACGAGAGAGAAGGGCAAAUAUAUUCUUCUUCGAAAGACCUUCGUAUCUCCAAGGAGGCAAAAGAUCAAGCAUAUGGUGGUAAUUAGAAGGAAGUUUAGAUUCCCACACAGCAUCAGAAGAAGCAGCACCGCGAAAUGCCCGGUUCAGCCGAGCGAGAUUACAAAUUUCCGGCGGCGUUAGGUACAUGAAAACACAGGCCACGCAACUUUCCGGUAUGUCUCCUAGCCCCGUUCUACCUGUAGCCGUACCAUUCUCCGCCGUGUUGGACAAUGAUGCCCCCAUGCAACUGCCUGUUUAUGUAUCGGAAAACAGGGCAAUUUCGGGUCAAAUCAUGGUUCUGUCGCGGCGGUGCACGGCGGAAGUGGAGCGGUGAUUUAUAAUCAACGGAGGCGAAGGAUUUUUCUAACGAUUUGGUUUUCUUAUGUUAUUCUCCAUUUUUCAAAGUAUCUAAUGUUCACUCACGUCAAAGCAUGCUACCUUUUUAGAAUUUGAUUCUUUUACCAAUUUAUACUGUUAAAAUUAUAUUUGUGAAUUCUCAAUGUUUAUUAGAUAUAUUUAAAUUAAAAGAUUAACUUAUUUAUGUAAAGGUAUUUAUGAUAUGCUCAAAGGAUUAUUAAUUUAAAAUUCAAUGAAAUUGUGUCACGUCUUAGUUUUAAUAAUUAAAGUUUAAGUUGUAGCAAUAACGGUCUAAAUGUUUAUUUAAAAAAUAUAAUUGGAUAACUUAAAAAAUAAUAUAGGUAUUUUUAUUUAAUUGGUAACAUAUACUAAAAGGUAAAUAACCGUUUUAAUAUAUUAAAAUGCAUUGAUGAUGUAGUUUUUAUUUAUUUAUAAUUAUUAUUGCAGAUAGCUUAAACACAUUUGGAAUAAUCAAAAUAUAUUCAAUUUUUUGGUUUUUACCAAUAAUCAUAGAGCUACUUUAUCAUUGUGAUAUAAUUUGGUCCUGGAAAACGAUUGCAAUUGAAGCCAAGUGGGAGAAAAAAUGGUUAAACACGUUUGAGUCAUUUGAUUGAUGGAAUAAGAAAUUAUGAUUUCAGAAUAAAUUAUGUAAUUAUCCGAUAAAACAACAAAAUAAUACUUUUUUUUUUAUCCAAAGUUUUUCUCCGAUUUUUUUAAAAAUAAAAUAAAAUAAAAGCUUACAUCAAUUUAUCAAGUUAAAUCAAUCACAUGUUUUAUUAUAUUAUACUUAGUAAAUUUCAUUCUUGUCCAAUGAACUAUAUAUUUGUUAAUAAAAAAAACUAUAUUUACUAAUAAAUUUUACCAUUAUUUAAUUUCAGUAUAAUAACACUAUUAUAAUUUUGAAAUAACUUAUUACUAUAAGCUUAGGUAAUCCACCACUAGCCGUUUCCUCAAACUUCAUUAAUUAGCAUGAGUGAAAAAAUGAUAAUUUUACCUAAAAUGAGUACUAUCAUGAAUUUUUGUGAGCACUUUGAGUAAUAAUUUUCGAAUGUUUUGUUAAUUACUCUUAUAUUUUUGGUAGUUUGGUAAAAAUAAAGUUUGUAAAAGCAUCAUUGAAAAUUCCAACAUGUGUAGAAAAGUUAUCAAUAAUUUAGAGCAAUUUUACAACACAAGUUUUGUGAAAAAUUUGCUUGUUGUUAACAUGUACAUGAUUCUUAUUUCUAUUAUGAUUAUUUAGACAAUGAUAUCAGAGUCAAGUUUUGAUCAUUAAACCUAUAAAUUAUACAGAUAAUAUUUCAUAAUUAAAUAACAAAAUUAUUGUUAAUUCUAUUUAGCAAUGACUUUUCCAAAAAGUUUUGUUAGCUAUAUGUAUAAUUUAAUUUUUUUACGUGUAGUGCAUAUUUCAUGAUGCCCCUACCUUCCUAACACCACUUUUAUAUAUGAAAUUGUUCUAUAUGUUUAAUAAUAAUAAAUAAAUAAAUAAAUAAAACAAUCACUUUUCACAGCUCUUCUUGAAUUUUUUAGGAAAUUAAUGGAACAUGUGAAAAUUGGUCUUUCAUUAUUUUACACUUAGAAAUGAGUGCAUUCAAGAUUCCGAAUAUCGAUUCAAAUUAUAUUAUAUACGAAUUAAAGUAAAAAAAGUACAUUUUAAAAAAACUGUCAUUAGAUUAAUAUUUAACCAUAUAUUUUUAUUUUGGACCUACCUACAUUGAUAGCAGAUAAUAACAAGCCUUUUCCCCAUUAAAAAUCAAGUCACAUGAUGUUUGUCUUUAUUUUGGGAAUAUCUUAAUUUGCAGCUGUGUUUUUGCUUAAUAAUUAUGAUAUGUGAUACAGUGAAUGUCAGUUAAAAUUCACCAAUCUGAUUAAUAUAUAUUAAAGUGGUAUCAAAUAAUGUUUAAUAAGAAAAAAACACUCUUUAUAAGGAUAUUUUUUUAACUUUUUUAAAUUCACAAUAAAGACUUUUUAUUAAGAAUAAAGAAAUUUCAUUCUACGUCUAAUUUUUUUUUUUUUGCAUUAAUAGGUGCCAUUAAUUCCUUUUUCAUGACCUCACAAUCUUGAUAGUAAAUUUUCACUUUUUUCUACGCAGAAAUGAUUGAAUUAGAAAUCCUAACUAAUUGGUUCAUACAUGCCAACAAAUCUUAUUCACAUAUCUAACUUCUUGCUUGUUGUGGACGACAAGUAUUAAUUGUAUGUAGGACUUAUGGUAUUUUAAUUUAUGUAAAAUCGUUAUCAUAUGAUAAUUCCAAAGUAUAAACUAUUUUAUCUGAUAUAUGUUAUUUUCUUACUUCAGUUAGCAUAAACGUAGGAUAACUUUAUUUGUUAUUUGUCAAAAGCUUAGCAUAGAUAGUUAAAUUGAUUAUCUAGUGUUCCGUUUGUGCCUCGAUUGAAAUUUUAAUCCGAAAAGGAAAAAGAAAAAAAAAGAUAAAUAAAUAAGGAAUGAUCUUUUCUUUCUUAAUCAAUUGAUAUCCAAAAAUAUUGAUUCAAAUUCGCUGUGAAUUAGUCAGAAAGUAGUAAAACGUUGAUUUCUAUAAAAUAAAUCUUUCUCCAAGGCUUAAACUCAAAAAUUUUAAUUAAGAAAUAAAAAUGAUAGUUUCUAUAACAUUAAAAUUUACUUGCAUCUGAUAUUUACAUCAAGUAAUAAAUACAUAAGUGCAAUUAUUUUGCGUAUAUAUAAGGGGGAGCGGGGGUCAUCAAUAUAAACAUUUGAUACGAAUAUAUAUUUACCGCCUUUAUAGAAUGACACUCACAUAAGUUAUCGAGAAGAUAACAAAGUAAAAUCAUAUAUGAUUUUCAAUUUUGACUAAUGAAAAUAUGUUGGAAAUAUUUCAUUGUCGUUUUGCAACCAAAUUCCAUGGAAUUCACAUGUAAAUAUUACUCCCUCCGUUUCAAAAAGAUUGGUCUGGUUUGACUUGGCACGAAGUUUAAGAAAUUAAAGAAGGCUUUUGAAUCUUGUGGUCUUAAACAUGUCACGUGGAAAGCAAAAGUAAAAUUUUACCAAAAAGGAAAGAGGUCAUUUUUUUGAAACUGACUAAAAAGGAAAUGAGGUCAUUCUUUGUGAAACGGAGGGAGUACGUUAUUCUCCAUUUUUCAAAGUAUCUAUGUUUAGUCACGUCAAAGGUUACCUUUUUAAAAUUUGAUUCUUUUACCGAUUUAUAUUGUUGAAUUAUAUUUGUGAAUUUUCAAUCGUUUAUUAGAUAUUUAAAAAAUUAACUUAUUUAUAUAAGGAUAUUAUGAUAUACUUAAAGGAUUAUUAAUUUGAAAUUUAAUGAAAUUGUGUCAUGUCUUAUCUAAGUACCUCCUGUUAAUUCUUCUUCGAUCUAUAUCUACCUUUCCUAACUUCUGCUCCCGACACUCUUUCACCUCUUUAUUAGCACAUUUACACACCUCUUGGCUCCUUUUCAUAUGAUGAAGCCUUUUUAGUUUUGCUUUUCUCAUCUUGUCCGUCACGGAGGUCGCUCCGAUCCUCAUGGGCCUUUAGUCAAAGAAUUAUGUGGCGUACACAAGUUAAAUGUUCGUAGAUAUGAUGAGUGUAUUUCAUUUUGCACACUCUUAACAUAACUAAGAAUAAAAUUUGCACACCCUUCGCUAAAUUUCUGUCACUGCCGACACUCUUUAUAAUUUCGCUCCUAAUUAUAUCUUUUCUAGUAUAUAUGCCUACAAAUUCAUUUAAACAUUAUCUUUUGAUCAACAUUUUGAUUAAUCAAUAUUUUACCUCAUAAAAUAAUAAUGUUAAUCGAGAUAUCGCUCUUUUUCACUAAAAUUUAAUGAAGAAAUCACCUAAUAACUUGUUUAAUUGAAAUGAAGGGAGCAAACGAAGUUGUGUCGAAAAAAAAAAAGAUUCCUCAUAUCACCAGAUUAUUAAUUCGAAAUCCAAUAUAGUUAAGAAGAUGUAUUAAGUCUUGAUAAAAAUUAUAUUAUGACCCAAAAAAAGAUAAAAAUUAGAUCGAAUAUAUACAUAAAUAAACUUUAAAAUUAGUAUCAAUAACCGUAGACAUCUUAGCUAUGAAUUAUGAUAGUGACCAUCGAAAUAAGCGUAGUGUAAUUUUAUUAAAUGUGAAUAAAUUAUUAAUUUGAAAUUUAAUAAUUUAAAUUGAUUAAAAUCUAGAAUCAAAUAAUAAUAAAUUUAAUAUAAUUCCAUAAAUGAGGUUUCUCAUAAAUUUUAGAAUUUAAAACUUAUUAGCUUUAUAUCAUGAUAUGUUUAUUUGACCACCAACAUAAUAAUAAGUAGGGGACCAAACAACCACAUUAAUCAUCUUGAAAAGUAAUUAACUUUAAGAGAGAGACACCAACACUAUAUAAUUAACAUUUUCUUUUGUCUCUCGGAAUGAAAAAAAUCUUAUUGAAUGUGCUACUUCAGAAAUGAAUUCUAAAAUACAUGAAUUCAAAUUUAAUUGGAUACCAACACAUUUGGGAAACCAAAAAGAAAAAAUCUUUUUUUUUCACGAGAACAAGUAAUGUAAAAUAAAUUGCACUUUUUUUUUCAAUUUAUAUUAUAAAAUAAAAUGAAAAACCAAAUAAUCAAAGGAAAAUUUUGGUUGCAGUUAGCAUUAAUCCUUUUUUAUUAUCCCUAAAACCUGUGUUGGAGUAGUAAAUAUUUCUCUUUUCUUAUUUAGAUAUCUUGAAUUUGAACCCUAAAUAAAAGAAAUUAUUUUUGACGAAAAGUGCAUUGCCUUUAAUGUAAAACUUUCCGGUAAAAAUCUGAAUAAAUAAAAUCCUAUUCUGUUUGUAAAAGAACUAGUAAGUCAUGCAUCACGCUGAGCUAAAUGGUGACAAAAAUAUUAAUUGUUUUUUAAUGAGGUCAAAACGAAAUGUAUAAUCAACCUCUAGUUUAUGGAUGAUUGAUUAAGAAAAUAAUUUUUUUUAACAUCUAAUUAAAACUCCUGGUUUUAAUAAUUAAAGUUUAAGUUGUAGCAAUAACGGUCUAAAUGUUUUUUUUUUUUUUUAUAUAUAAUUGGAUAACUUAAAAAAUAAUAUAGGUAUUUUUAUUUAAUUGGUAACAUAUACUAAAAGGUAAAUAAUCCGUUUUAAUAUAUUGAAAUGCAUUGAUGAUGUAGUUUUUAUUUAUUUAUAAUUAUUAUUGUAGAUAGCUUAAACACAUUUGGAAUAAUCAAAAUAUAUUCAUUUUUUUUUGUUUUUACCAAUAAUCAUGGAGCUACUUUAUCAUUGUGAUAUAAUUUGGUCCUGGAAAACGAUUGCAAUUGAAGCCAAGUGGGAGAAAAAAUGGUUAAACACGUUUGAGUCAUUUGAUUGGUGGGAUAAAAAAAUAUGAUUUCAGAAUAAAUUAUGUAAUUAUCCGAUAAAACAACAAAAUAAUACUUUUUUUUUAUCCAAAGUUUUUCUCCGAUUUUUUUUUUAAAUAAAAUAAAAUAAAAGCUUACAUCAAUUUACCAAGUUAAAUCAAUCACAUGUUUUAUUAUAUUAUACUUAGUAAAUUUCAUUCUUGUCCAAUGAACUAUAUAUUUAUUAAUAAAAAAAACUAUAUUUACUAAUAAAUAUUACCAUUAUUUAAUUUCAGUAUAAUAACACUAUUAUAAUUUCGAAAUAACUUAUUACUAUAAGCUUAGGUAAUCCACCACUAGCCGUUUCCUCAAACUUCAUUAAUUAGCAUGAGUGAAAAAAAUGAUAAUUUUACCUAAAAUGAGUACUAUCAUGAAUUUUUGUGAGCACUUUGAGUAAUAAUUUUCGAAUGUUUUGUUAAUUACUCUUAUAUUUUUGGUAGUUUGGUAAAAAUAAAGUUUGUAAAAGCAUCAUUGAAAAUUCCAACAUGUGUAGAAAAGUUAUCAAUAAUUUAGAGCAAUUUUACAACACAAGUUUUGUGAAAAAAUUGUUUGUUGUUAACAUGUACAUGAUUCUUAUUUCUGUUACGAUUAUUUAGAUAAUGAUAUCAGAGUCAAGUUUUGAUCAUUAAACAUAUAAAUUAUACAUACAAUAUUUCAUAAUUAAAUAACAAAAUUAUUGUUAAUUCUAUUUAGCAAUGACUUUUCCAAAAAGUUUUGUUAGCUCUAUGUACAAUUUAGCAACGAAGUUCGUAUAUAUAUAAUUUUAAUUUUUUUAUGUGUAGUGCAUAUUUCAUGAUGCCCCUACCUUCCUAACAACACUUUUACAUAUGAAAUUGUUCUAUAUGUUUAAUAUUAAUAAUAAUAAUAAAAAUCAUUUUUCACCGCUCUUCUUAAUUUUUUAGGAAAUUAAUGGAACAUGUGAAAAUUGGUCUUUCAUUACUUUACACUUAGAAAUGAGUACAUUCAGGAUUCAGAAUAUCGAUUCAAAUUAUAUCAUAUAAAUUAUAAUUAAAGAGUACAUUUUAAAAGAACUAUCGUUAGAUUAAUAUUUAACCACGUGUUUCUAUUUUGGACCUACCUACAUAGAUAAGAGAUAAUAGCAAACCCUUUCCCCAUUAAAAAUCAAGUCACAUAAUGUUUGUCUUUAUUUUGGGAAUAUCUUAAUUUGCAGCUGUGUUUUUGCUUAAUAAUUGUGAUAUGUGAUACAUUGAAUGACAGAGUUAAAAUUCAUCGAUCUGAUUAAUAUAUAUUAAAGUUAUAUCAAAUAAUGUUUAAUAAGAAAAAACAAUUUUUAUAAGGAUUUUUUUUUUUAAAAUUCACAUUCAAGACUUUUUAUUAAGAAGGUGGAACUCAUAAACAGGUCCCUAAACUUGUUGGGUUUUUCCCCUCAGGUACCUCAACUACGCCAUUUUCCUAUUGAACCCUUGAACCACCCAUAAUUUGUUCCUUUUGAACACUGUGGGCUGAUGUGGCACAAAAUAUGAUCUCAUGUAGCUUGAGCGCGUGAAGACGUUUUGAAGGCGCUGAUGUGGAUCCCUGAACCACCCACCAACGCUCUUCUUCCCCUUUUAACCCUAAUUUCUCCCCUUUUUCUCUUAUUUCUCUUCAUCAUUAAGUUGGAGUUGCUCAUCAGAAUAUAUCUCUUCUUCAUUGAUUUCUUCUUAAUCAUCAAGUUUCAAUGUCAAAGUUAUCUUGUUCAUCAAUUUCUUCUUCUUCAAGUCAGAAGUGUUUUGGGGGGGAAAAUGAAGGGGCUUUAGGUUUUUAGGUUUGGAAAAUGAUUAUGUGGUGCUGACGUAUAAAUGGAUUGAAGUUUGAUUGAUUGCAAUUUCCACGUGGGAAAGGUGGAUCUCACGCGCACAAUCAAUAAAAAAUAUUUGCGGAAGUUUUGUGCCACAUAGAUCACCGUGUUUAAAAGGAACAAAUUAUGAGUGGUUCAAGGGUUCAAUAGAAAAAUGGCGUGGUUGAGGUACCUGAGGGGAAAACCUCAACAAGUUUAGGGAUCUGUUUAUGUGUUUGGCCUAUUAAGAAUAAAGAAAUUUAAUUCUACGUCUAAUUUUUUUAUUUGCAUUAAUAGGUGCCAUUAAUUCCUUUUUCAUGACCUCACAAUCUUGAUAGUAUAUGUUCACUUUUUUCUACGCAGAAAUGAUUGAAUUAGAAAUCCUAACUAAUUGGUUCAUAAAUGUCAACAACAUCUUAAUCACAUAUCUAACUUCUUGCUUGUUGUGGACAACAAGUAUUAAUUGUAUGUAGGACUUAUGGUAUUUUAAUUUAUGUAAAUCAUUAUCAUAUGAUAAUUCUAAAAUAUAAACUAUUUUAUCUGAUAUAUGUUAUUUUCUUACUUCAGUUAGCAUAAAAGGUAGGAUAACUUUAUUUGUUAUUUGUCAAAAGCUUAGCAUAGAUAGUUAAAUUGAUUAUCUAGUGUUCCGUUUGUGCCUCGAUAGAAAUUUUAAUCCGAAAAGGAAAAAGAAAGAAAAAAAGAUAAAUAAAUAAGGAAUGAUCUUUUCUUUCUUAAUCAAUUGAUAUUCGAAAAUAUUGAUUCAAAUUCAUUGCGAAUUAGUCAGAAAGAAGUAAAGCGUUGAUCUCUAUCAAAUAAAUCUUUCUCUAAGGCUUAAACUCAAAUUUUUUAAUGAAGAAAUAAAAAUGAUAAUUUCUAUAACAUUAAAAUUUACUUGCAUAUGAUAUUUACAUCAAGUAAUAAAUACAUAAGUACAAUUAUUUUACGUAUAUAUAUAAGGAGGGUCAUCAAUAUAAACAUUUGAUACGAAUAUAUAUUUACCGCCUUUAUAGAAUGACACUCACAUAAGUUAUCGAGAAGAUAACAAAGUAAAAUCAUAUAUGCUUUUCAAUUUUGACUAAUGAAAAUAUGUUGGAAAUAUUUCAUUGUCGUUUUGCAACCAAAUUCUAUGGAAUAUAUAUAUAUAUAUAUAUAUAAAAUAAUUUAAAAAAAGUAGCCAUCAUCAUGAUUAAUUCAUGAUACUUUAUUUAUUUCUUUUUCAAUAAAAUGAUGCAGUUUAUCAGUGUGAUAAAGUGGUCCUAUAUUAGAUAUAGCAAUUGAAUGUAAUUUGAAGACGAGUGUGUUUAAUAGAAAAAAAGGUAAAAGUCCAUUGUUGUUUUCAGAUUAAAUGUACAUACAUAUUAGUACUAAUAAUAUAUCCAUAACUUUAUUUAGUUAACAAAUUAAAAGUAUUGCAAAAUAAUUAAAGAAAGACUUGUUUGCCUACUACAAGUGAAAUAUUUAAUGUCUAAUGUUCGUAAUUCAUACAACAAUAUUAACAACUAAUUCCUUACCGAUUUUUGUUACAACAAAAAACAAUGUAAUCUGUUAAAGUGAGUUUUAUCACGCAAUUAAUUGCUUUGAAUAAGUAAUUAAAAAAUCAAUCCUUCGUCUUUGAAGAUUAAACAUUAAUCCUCUCGAUCGUACUUACUAAUUGAUGCAAUCGAGAUGCAUUUUUUCUAACUUCCGAGAAAGAUAUUAUACGAAGGUUAAAAGGAUUCAUAAUUCUAAAAUUAAAAUCUAUUUGUUGUUGCAAAUAAUUACUUGUAAUAUAUGAUUUUUUUUUAUUGAAUUGACGUAAUUUUUCUAUCGCACACGUGUACUAACAUGAGAAGGAGAGAGUAUUAACUAAUAAUAUGACAUAAAAACACUGAAUUUCUUAUCUCAAGUCCGCCAACACAAAUAAUUUAAUGAACAUUCAUGAUAUUGACUAAAUGACAUUAAUCACAAUACAACUAGAUGUGAAAAUAUCUAUUCGUUAGAUUAAUAGUCAGCCACGUCGUUCCUUGUUUUCUUUUUCCAUUUGUGGGGUUAUGUUGUUGAUCAUAGAUUUUUCUUUAUUUGAUGGAUCUACAAAAAAACCAUGAUCAAAUCAGGGGCGGAUUUAAAGUGUCUUUUCACAUUUUAUGUGGAUUUAAUAAUUUUUGUUCAUAUAAAUAAAAUAUUUAUUGAUAUUUUAAAUUAUUAAUUUAAUUAUUACAUUAUAUAAUAAUUAAAAAUUAUUACAAGACGUUCCUGUUCUUUUCACGUAAAACUAAAGUCAUAUGUUGUUUGUUAAUUGUCAUCUCUCUUCUUGUGAAUAUUUCUUUUUUCAUUUGUGGGGUUGUUGACCAUUGAUUUUCCUAUAUUAGUUGGUUUUCUAUAAAACCAUGAUUAAACUAGGGGCGGAUUUAAAGUGUUCGUUUUUAUUUUACGUGGACUUAAUAACUUUUGCUUAUAUAUUAAAUAUAUUUAGAUAUUAUAAAUUAUAAAUUUAAUUUUAGUUAUAUAUUGACUAGAAUUAUCAUAAACAUAAGUCAAUUUUAAAUUUUGAAUUCGAUUCUUAUAUUGCCAUCUCUCUUUUCGUGAAGAUUUCAAUCUUUAGCCUAUAGUCAUGUUUAAUUAAAUUUAUAAAUUUACGAGAUUCAAUUUCAAAACUUUUAAUUAAAAAUUUAAAAAAUUUCAAGCAUUUUAUUACAAAUCGAAGGUUCAGUCUAUGGUGUUAGACCCCACCAUAAGAAAAGAGGAUCCAUUUUGUUUCUCAUAUAAGAAACAAAUGCUUUCACACUUCUCUACCAUGCAACUCCUUUUGUUGUAGACCUCAUUUUCAUGGUACCCACUUGUUUACUUUAAUGAAGUGAUUGAUGUUGUAGUACUGAAUAAAAUAUCAAAUGGACGGUUUCAACUGAAUUUGAACAGAUAAAUAAAACUUAUAAUAAAAAGAUUAUAAUAGGAAUACAUGGGAUAGUUGAGUUGGUAAAGUAAAAAGUAUUCCCUCCUUUGUUGUUAAGAUAACGACUUUGAACAUGUGGUAUAUAACAUGUAUCUAGUAAACCAGACAUAAAGAAGACAAUUAGAUAUGUAAACUUUAUGUAAAAGUCAUACAACAUAUUAUUUUACAAAUUCAAUCAAUAUUGUCCAAAUUACGCCUACAAUUAUUAUUAUCUUUCCACAUUGUUCCCUUACCUAUCUACAAAAAAAAAAAAAAGAGAAAAAAACAUAAUAACAAGACUAGUCUUAAUUACUCCUUGAAAACAUAUCAUGUUAGAUGGAAUUUGAUGGUCUUCUUGCACAUUAUCUUUCUAACAAAUUAAAGAAGAAGAAAAAUAGAAGAAAUUAUUUUCUAGCAUCUAGAAAGUGAGCUUUUUAUUUUAUAUAAAUAUUCUGAAACCUUAUAGAAAUUGAUUAGAGAUAACAAUAAGGAUCGUGGUGGCCGGUGGGAUCCCUCAACUUCUAACUAGAAGUAGGUUAUGGUCUAGCCUGCAUGGAAAUGAAAUAAAUCUUGAUAAAGAAUGUUCAGCGUAGAUUCACAUUUGUCAACGCACCACUGCAGAUUACAAAAAAAUAAAAAAAAUGCACGCCCAGUGGGACUCGAACCCACAAUCGCUUGAUUAGAAGUCAAGCGCCUUAUCCAUUAGGCCAUGGGCGCUUCUUGUUGUUAUUAUGCCACAAGAAAUAUCUAUAUCUUAUGGUUCGCGCCAUCAUACUUUAUGUGAUGUUUGAUUGAAUACGAAGGUGUAUUUCAUAUGUAGAGAAUAUUUCAUUACAUAUUUAUUUUAUGUUUGGUAAGUACGUAAAAAAUAUUAUUUGCAAAUAUAGUAAGAGCAUGGCGGUUAUGUGGGGUUAGUGGUGAGAUGGGAUGUGUUGGAGACUUGAAUUCAUUAAACAUGAAAAAAUUGAAAAAUAUUUUCCCCUUGUACCGAAACUGAAGAAGUACCUACUUUAGAUGUAUUAAGUGUCAAUUCUAUUAAAUUGCAUGAUUUUGAUUAUUAAUAAUCCUUUCUUCUUUCGUUGGUUAAGCUACUCAAAUGUUGUUGUUUUUUGUUUCUCAUCCAAUAUCUUAUAUCCGUAUUGUAGUCCGUUCGAAUUUGCGUCGGAAUAUCCCAAUGGUAUAAAACACUCUCUAACAAAAGGAACUUUGUACCCAAGGGGCUCAAACUCGAGACAUCUGGUUAAGGAUAAAGAAGUACUUACUAGUCGAUAUUAGAUCUUAUUGUAUUUUAUUAAUUAGUACGAUAUGUGGUUGUUAUAUAAAUUUUUAAAAAAUUCUUAUGAGUUUAAUUUUUAAAUUAACAUCUUUAAUUUUAAGUUAAUAGUAACUAGUUUAUUCAGCACUUAAGUGUAAGAAAUUAAUAUUAAGUAUAAUAACUUUAUGACCCAACUUAACAGAGCUGAGUCAGUUUGGUCUAGCCCAAGCUCGCAUAACAAUCGAACGCUAAAUACCAGUAAUUCGAGCCAAACCUAAUAGAAGUGCAAAGGAACUUAUUGCCUACUUAACCAAUAUUUUGUUUACACAUAUGGGAGUUUAUGUAUUUAAAUUCACCAGAAAAUGAUCGACUUACUCCCUUCAUCUCAAUUUAUUUGUUUGUGUUCGAUUAGACACAUACUUCAAAAAUUGAGUUUACCUAAGUAAUUUCUUCUCUACUUUCUACCAUUAGAGGACAUAAUAAUACAUGUAACUAUCAACCUAAUUGAUUGGGUAACAAAGUAGUGCUCUAUACCUUAGAGUAUUAGAGUCAUCAAUGGUGACAAGAAAAUGACAUGAUUCUCGAGGAGUUACACAACAAAUAUGUUAUGAUGCAUCGAAUAGACGCAAGAGUUGAUCACUUUAUCUUGGCUUUUGGAUGGAUAGUGAGGGAAUCGAACACUCAAAGUCUUUCAACAGCUGAGAAGGCAAGACAGUCGUAGAAACAAAGCCUAUCGCCAUGCCAACCAACAAAUACAAGAUAGGGCCCUUCUCUCAAAGAUUUGAUGAAAUGGCAGACACUAGAAAAUGAAGAUAUUCCAAAUUGGCUAGAAAGUAAAAACAACAUACUUUUUAUGGUUUUAUUAUUGAUAUUUAAAUGGGCAUUGGUUGUGUUUCAUCUGUUGAGUUUAAGUUCUGAAACAGAACAAAAAUUAGUUACAGACAUCUCUAUAACACAGUGCAUUAGAAAAAGCAGUUGGAAGAACUACUGAGCACCGACUCCUAUCGAUGAACUCAACGAGGAGCCAUUAAACUAAUUUCAAUAGUUUCCAGUACUGCUAGUUCUAUCAACAAAGAAUAAUUGCCCAGUUUAUGACUACCAUAUCACAUAUCAGAGUUACCUUUGUAGAAACAAAGAAUGCGAGGGCUUUAACACUCCAUCACAUCACAAAAAGAUGUGGACAAAAUAAAUGCUGACAAAGGCAGCUUAUAACACCCUAAUCUUCAAGUUCAAUAAUCUUAACCACUGAUGCAUCUCCAACUUUCUGGCAAACGACAACACGAUCGUGUGAUUUAAUAACUCCUGAUGCUUUUCCAUGAUCAAGAGCAACUUUCAGCACCGACUCGUUAGUUGCAUUAUUAGAUUCAGCCUAUGAAAAGAGUAAAUCAUUUGAUUAGACACGGAACAAAAGGAGCAUUCAGCAUUCAACUGAACAUGAAACACCAAAAUGAUGAGAUCAACUUACAGGAUGUCGAGGAUCAGCUAGCAUUGGGAAAAGACCUCGGACAAUUAGAGAUUGCCUAGCCUGAACAUGAAGAAAUUGAACAAGAACUGUCAGCUUCAAUAUCAAUCAAAAGUUGACACAAGAUGAAAGGAACAAAUUUAAAAGGAGAAAGAGAAGCAGAUAAAGAAAGUAAAAGAGCAAAAGAGACAUUAGUAGUGGAAAUGGAUAGAUGUGAUCUAAACAAAUAGCUUAUAGAGGCUUCAAUGUUAAUCACUGCAAUUUCAGGCAUUUGUCGUUCUGUACUUUCAUCUAAUAAAUCGAGGAACGAAAAUUUGACACAAGUCACCACUGCAAGCAAUCACAUCAAGUAGGUUGACCACAAGAGUGGCUCUAAACAAGAAAAAACGCAAAAUUGAAGAAAAUAUUCAGAAAGUUCGGGACAACUCUUCUCACAAUUGUUAAAUAUUAUGUCAGUUCCAACAAAAAAAAAUGGGAGUACCAAAUUCAGUAUAACUAUCGAGAAGAAUUUUGUGUUGGGAGUAGAACAUCUAAUGAUAUAAUAUCAGUGUAAAUGAAUAGAAACUACUCAAUCCAUGAUGAGUCAAAAUAGGAACUAAAAAAUAUUGAGUAAACAAGGUCUCACUAGUAACAUAACACUCUUUUCUCAAUGCAUUUAACCGGCCAUUGGCCGAUGAGUUGGAUUCGAUAAGUAAAGAAAUUUUUGAGUUUUAGACCGUACCUCAAAUGCACCUGUAAAGCUCCACUUCAGUUGAUUUGUCUUGAGUCGAGGAAUGACAACCGACAAUACUGGCAUUGUUGGCCUAUAUUUAGCUAUCAACCUGUGUAAUGAACAUAAAUUACAACUCUUACAAAGAGAGACAAUCAAUAUACCAAGAAGUACAGUAAUAGCAAAUAACACUACCUUGCUGCCCUUCCAGAUGAAGUGAAACAAAUAAUUACUGAUGCUUUCACCUUGAUGGCAGCUCUUACCUAGAGAAUAAAGGAUUAUAGGGUUAUUGUGGUAAACACAUACUCAAAAGAAGAAGGCAUUUCAAAUUCUGGAAAUAUAUCUUUUCCCAUCUUAAGAAAGGCAUUGCAUUUAAGAAAAUACCGCAGAUGAGGCAAUUGCUUCCAGAUGUGUCAUGGGCUCUCCAACAAAUUUGACUGUUUUCUUAAAGUAUAGAUCUUGGUUGAAAACCUUCCCUGCCUGCAUGGAAAUUAAUUGCUGAUUAGUCCUGCUAGCCAGAAAAUGAUGAGCUAAGGCAAGAGCCAUCGCCCCUCCAAAGUUAAUGCCAACAGUAAAUACAAUGCCACAAAUCUUAGCAACUAUAUUAAGAGUUGAUGACAAAGCAAAUAUUUUUGACCCCAAGAAAGCUAAUUAAAGCAGAAAACAGAAUGUUCUUAAAAUGUCAUAGGAAUUUAAGAUGUAGUUAUUUUGAUUCCAUUCUAUUUAUAAGAGAUAGUGUGGAGACAAUUUCCUAAACUAACAAGACUUCAGGAAGAAUUACCUCGGCACAAAUCUUGCCAACAGUAGAAAUAGUCUCGACUGGGUAUAAUCCACGCAGAGUCUCAGCACCAAGAAGAAUAGCAUCAGUUCCUGAAAGUGUUAAAUGUUAAAAUCUCCUAAGGAAAUCAAGUUUUCUCAACUAACUUUCUUUUACUUUUUUGAUAAUCGAGAAAUCCCAAGGGCAAGUGGUGCACAAAUCAAAACUCGGUGGAUAAUUGAGAGUUGUCUCAAUUAAGUAUUAAAAUAGUAAAUCAAUGUUAUCAUGGCUGAUUAGAUGUAAAAGGAUAAAAGGAGGACAUCAAUCCAUCACAAUAAAAAGUCCCCAAGUAGAUUACCAUCCAAGACAGCAUUAGCAACAUCUGUUGCUUCAGCACGAGUAGGCCUGAGAUUGUCAGUCAUACUAUCAACAACACGUGUUACUACAGCUGGCUUUCCAGCCAUGUUACACUUGUGAACAGCAGCCUUCUGGAACAAGAACACCUGCAAACCACCUAAUAUUAGCAUAGCAACAAAAAAUUAUGGCACACAAAUUUUGCAAUUGAAUUAUAUGUUAGUAGGAGAAAUGGUGUAUGUAGACAGCUUGAAAUCAAUCAAUAUAUUGUUUAAAAUUCAACCUGGGCACACUCAAAACUCAAAAUAUGAAGGAAAUAAUUAACCAUAGAGGAUAUCUAUUAUCUAGAAGAACACUUUUUACAUGCUGAUAAUGUCAAACAGAAAUGAAAUUUGUCUGACCAGCCAACCCACUUAUCAAACAUGUAAACACCGACUGUUGAGAAGAUAGUUACCUUCUCUGGUGGUAGAUCAAUACCGAGGUUUCCACGAGAAAGGAUGAUCCCAUCAGCCUCCUUGAGUAUCUCAUCAAAAUGAGUCAAACCCUAUAUAGAUUACAGAGGGAAAGGCAGAAAGUUAAAUGCCAUGCCCUUGCAUAAUUCAUGAUAUUCAACAUAAACAGAAACAGUGAACCUCACUAAAUAUACAAGUGUAUCAACUAACCUCAACAUUUUCAAUUUUAGCAAAUAUCUGAGUUUGACUUAGAUCACCCAGCUUAGAUAAGAACUCACGGGCCUGAAUUUUAGCAAAAGGAAUGAAGUCAAUUUCACAUUGUAACAGUCCAGUACUCGAGACAAAUGCAAAUUGUCAAUGCCAGUAAAAGAAUCUAAAAAGGAGAAAACGGAAAGUAAUGAAAAUACAUACCUCACGGACAUCCUCAGCAUGCCUUGUAUAUGAUAGUGAAAUAAAGUCGAUUUUGUUUUGAACACCCCAUGUGCUUAUAACCUGAACAAAAUUAAAUAACCAAAAGUCCAACAUAAAUUUAGAAGGAUUCCUACAAAAACAACUACAAAGGUCGCAAAAAGUAGCUUUCUCAAGGCAACCUCUGUAUGAACAAUGAUAAUAAAGUAAUAAAGUGGGACCCACUCAUUUUAGUUGUGAAGUGUUUUGUACCCAACUUACACUUGCAAAGUAUAACAUAUACAAUAGUUAAACAUGCUAUUUAAAUGGUAUCACUCUAGAAUGACCAGAAAAGCUAAUGUGGAAAUCCAUUUGGGAUAAGGGAGUAACCAGCAAAGCUAACUUUACCUAACCUAGGUAUGGGUUACAGUGUAGUGCGGGUGGUUUGUGCCUACUCCUGGGCUAUAUCAGUCAAUGUUUUGCAGGAAACAAGAAUGAAACUAUGUUACAACUCAUAUAUGUCGAUUACAAGUCUCAAUAACCAUAUAUCCAAUAGACAUUCCAAAACCCCAUAUACUCAAGAGUAAGCAGUUAUAGUUAUCUUAAGCACCAAGUUCUCAGAGAAAAUUAUCUUUAGUUAUGCAAUUUGAUCUUCAUUAUUUACAGAAGUGAUAUAGAAACAGCUCUUAUCAAUUGUUAUGAACUUUGAGUAACUUACCUCUUUGUCUUUAUCCGUGAGGGUAGGCAUAUCAAUAUGAACCUGAGAAGCAUGCAGGGUGAACAUUGACCCAGCUAAAGUGGCAGAGUUCUUUACCACGCAAAUGACAUCAUCCCCAUUCACUUGGUCUACCUGUGAAGCCACAUCAGAAAUAUCUAGUUAACAGUUUAAAAAAAUUAACUUACACUGCUUUUCUUAGUCCAGAGAUUGUACAAUUACAAACAUAUCAAUCAAUUUUCUUUCUUCUUUUCUUUGAUAGCCUUCAUCCACAAGGGUCAUUGGAACACAGCGCACAUUUUAAAUAUGUUUUGUUAACAUAACAAAAUAUUGAUUACUACAUGAAAGGUUAUUUUGACACUCAAUUGUUUAAUACGUGUAUUAUUAAUCUUUACCCUCCUAUUCCGCAUUCUACCUGCAUAAAGAUAACACAUACACUCCCACAUAACUCAUACAGGUAUUAGUUAUGUGAAAAAGAAAAAUUGGAAGCAAACUUCGUAUGAAUCAGCUAAGUUAUAAAGAUAGCUAACCAAAAAAAAUGUUAAAUUUUAUGUGGAGAUUAAUUUAUCUACUACUCCCGACCAAAUGUCACCAAAAUGCCACAGAUGGGGAAGAACAUCUAAUUCAUACCUCCAGCCAAACAGAUGUUGUUUCGCUUCCUGUGAAGAGGUACUGACCAACAAAAAUGGUGUCUCCCUUCUUUACAGCCUGCAAGCAAAAUUAACAAAAAUCAUUAUUACCAUGGAGUUGCUGAUAAAUAUACUUAUCCCAAUGUCGAUAUCUUGUCUUCUCCACUAAAUUUUAAAUUGCAUUUGCAAAAAACUUCUCCAUUUGGUGCCUUUUUGAAAAAAUUUACUUACCAAACUUCCAUAUGAACUUAAUUUACAAACAUAUACUGUCUGAAAGGGAAAAAUAAAGACGAGAUGUAGGCUGGACCUUGGCUAAUCCGCCAAAGUUAAUUGGCAACACUUCAUUAGAUGCUUCUUGACCUUGAUGAGGAGUCAGAGUAACAAUUGCAUCUUCCGUAAGUGAAAUAGUUGUCUCACGUUUGUUGACAACCUGCAACUCAGCACCCACAGUAUCUAGCAUGACCUGAAGAGAAAGAAAACAGCAUGUAUUUUUAGUGCCUUUAUAUUGGACAAUGCUCAACAUAUCCAAUUACAUUGCCAUCAUAGGUUCACAUUCAGAGACUGUACGGCUGAGUUGGAGUAGAGACACACAAUCUACAUCUAAAGCUUCCUUACACAUUAACUUGCAUAGGCCUUCUACUGUCUCUACUCUCUGGUACUUCGAUUCUCACACAAUCAUGUUUUACUUUGUCAUGCUUUCUAUAGUAUCUACUUUAAAAUAGGGGUAAGGUCUGCACACACUAUGCCCUCCCCAGACCCCACUAGUGUAAUUAACCCCUAAAUAAUAUUUGCUAAGUCCAGUUCAAUGAUUCCAACUGACACUUCAACAAAGACAAAGAAAACAACAACAGAAUUUACAAAUUGCCUAACCCCUCCCUCCCGCCACCCACUGCCGCAUGCUUCAAGACAGCAUUAAGUUUCCGGACAUGUGUUUUUAUGAUUAGUAACCCACUGACGAGAUGCAGAUCCCAGAACUUAAGACCCAUACAAAACAAGGGUCAAUGGUGUGAUUAUGUAGUCGAUGAAGUGGGAUGAAAACCAUGAGAGAAAGGUCAAAAAAGCUAGUAGAUUUCUUACAAUGUGACUAAAACCUUGUGGGAAAAGUCAUCCAGUAUCUCUAUUGGUAACAACAAGUACAGACUUAGCAUAACAGUACAUGUCUAAUACAUAUGCCCCUGACCCACUCUCCACACAGGACAGAUGUAUAAACAACCAGAGUCUAAAAAACAGAACAAAACUCAACAAAACCAAGGCAAGUUAAAACCUUUAAAGCAAACAAAAAAGCAUUAAUUACAUCAGUAGCAAAAAAAAGGACAAAAAGACAAAUCGUGAUACAUACAGCACAGAGCUUCUUAGUAGCCUUAAUAGAUGCCUUCAAGUUUUCCAAAGUUUCCUGGUGAUACUCUGAAUCACCCCAUGAAAAAUCAAAUCUUGCCACUACCAACAAACAAAUUAACAAUCAAUACAUACCCAACUAUAAACCCAAUAACCAAAAAACAAAAAAAGUAACAAAAUUUCAAGAUUACCAGACAUUCCAGCUUUAAGACAAGCCGAAAUAGCCUCAACAGAUCGAGAUUUAGGGCCCAAAGUCCCAACAAUCUUAGUCAUAGCCGGAAAAAAAUUCUGCAAGAUUCAAAAACAAACAAACCCCAUCAAACAUAAAUACCAAACCCACAUGCAAACAUAGAUCUAACAGUAGAAUACAUAAAAAAGAUUCAAUCUUAUUGUUACUUACAGGUUUAGAUGGCUCUAAAAUUGAGGCCAUCCUGAUGGGUUCUUCGAGAAGUAAGUGAUUUGAAUGCAUGUUUGCUGAAUUAAUCAAAGACCCAGAUGAAGAAAAGUGAAGAACUUCACAGAGAGAAGUGGAAAAAGGGAAGAGAAUGUGCUUUGCUAUGAGUUUGAAGGAGUCUUUUUUGGUGCUUGAGGGUUUGAUUCUUUUUGUAAUGGGCUGCUGUGGAAUACUCCUUUUGUUUAAAGUUUAGUGUUUUUGUUUUCUUUUCCCUCAAGAAAUUUGUUGAAAGUUGAAAACUACUCCCUCCGUCCAUUUUUAUUAUUUUUAUUUGACGUGUUGCAUUUUUCAAAAAAUAAUUUGAUUAAUUUUUAAUGUUAAGUUAGAUUACAUUAAUUUAAUAUUCUAAAUAACAAAAUUAGAUAUUCAAAAACUAUGAGAAAAGUUCUAUAAAUUGCAAUAUUUUGCAUAUCAAUAUGACAAAAAAUAUAUCAAAAAAUAUCAAUCAAAGUUUUUAUAAUUUAAUUCUAUAAAUAGAAUCACGACAAGUAAAAGUGAAUGGAGGGAGUAUAUGUUAUGACAUUUAUAGUUAUUUUUUAUGCUCUUUUCAAAUAGUUUGUUUUUAGUUGUUAGUUUAGAAAAAGAAAAAAGAAAAUGAUGUUUUUUAGUCUUGGUAUAUUCUGUGGAUCUAUUUCCAACCAUUGACUGGUCCCUAUGAUAAAAAUAUAAAUAAAUAAAUAUAUAAAAUCUCUUGUGUAUUUUAAGUGGUUGUUUGAAAAUUAUAGUGUAAUUUUUUUAGAAUAGUAAUUAUAAUGUAUAGUUUAUUAAGCUAAGAUGAUAGCCUUUUAAAAAUUUAUUUCAAGUAUUUUUUGAGUUUGUAAAUGUAUAUAAUAUGAAUUUUUAUGUUAGUAUUUUCAUAGAAAUAGAUAAAAAUUGUUAUAAUAUAACAUUAAUCAUGAUGUCAUGCUUGAUUAAACAAAUAUAACUACACUAUCGGAACAAAAGAUCACUAUAAAUAAAGAAGUAAAGCAACAUUAAUGUAUGAUAAAUUAAAUACAAGUGUAUAUAUAAGAAAUAUUAGAUACUAUUACUUAUAACUAAGUAUUUAUAUAAUUAUAAAUUUGUAUAGGGUUGAAUAUUUUUGGGUAGAUAGACAAAAGAUGUGUGACAUAUGGUAAAAGUGAUUUAAAACGAUUCAAAAAAGAUAGUAUUAAAUUACAUGAGAUCAAUAGUGAUACAUAUUUUGUAAAAUUUUAAUCGUUCUAAUAAAUUUAAUUUUUUUUUAUAUUAAACACACAUUUAAUGCACAUAGCCAAAAUACUAACAAGUAAAUUUCCUUUAAGAUUGCUAAACAUCUAUUUAUAAAAAUAUCCGUAGUUUAAAAUUAAAAGACGAAUUUAUUUUUUAAAGCGAAGUUAAAAGUGUAGAUAAUUUUUAUCUUAAUAAUCCAUUCAUCCCAAUUUAACAUACUGUUAUUUUAAAAAAUGUCAUCUUUCUAAAGUUAAUCUUAGGUUUUUUUUUUCUUUUUAGUCUCAGUAAAGUGAUUUUUAAUCAUAAAAAUAUUUAAAAUCUAUUUCAAACUAUAAAUUUUAAAAAUCAUUGUUUUCUUCUAAAUUUUAUAUUUAAUAAAAUAAUAUUACAUAAACUGAUACAAAAAUAAAAUAAAAUUUAUGAAGUGAAAACAAUCUUAGUUAUUAAAAUAUAUUUAUUUACUAGGGGCCGAAUCAACUGAAGGUACGAAAAUUAUAAACAUGAAAAAAUCACGAAAAACACGAUUUAUUGGAGUAGGUGCUUAUUGGGAAAAAGGAGGGCGUAAGCAGUAAAGCAUGGGGACCUGUCGUACUAUAGAACAUGUGUCUAGAAGAAACAUGUGGUCAUCUAGAGGCCCCAAAAGUAAAAAUAAAACAACAUGAAUUGUGAUACAUCGAUGAGGAGUGUUUCACUCUUAAUCAAAGAUUUUUUGUUCGAGUUUUAGGUAUGGAGAAAAUCUUAUUAGGAGCGUCAUCCACAAAAUAGACCCUGCAGUGCACGAUCCGUAUUUAGUUGGAGAUCCAAUGUAGACAUCGAACACCGAGUGGGAGACAAAAAAAAUAAAAAAUCACAUGUUUUGGAGCAAUAAGUCAGAGUUAUUUGGCUAUUGAAAGAUAAAAACACACACACAAAAAAACCUAAAAAAUACAAAUUAUUGUUAUUAAUGUGUUUGCAACAAAUUUUAAAGUGAUAGAAAAGAAAUUGCAAUCACAAAUAAAAUAUGGAGAAACAUAACUUUAUUGAUAAAAUAAAUAGUGCGGGUACAAUUUUGUUCAUCCUUGGAUUUUACUCUCCUAAGAUUUAUCCAUGAUUCAAGUGCCGUUAGUGGCAUAUUUCUCAAACUAGGAUGAUUUGGACUUGAUCUACAUAAUUUGAGGGCCGUUAGUGGCGUAUUUCUCAAAUUAGGAUGAUUUAGACUUGAUCUACAUAAUUCGAGGACAGUUAGUAGCGUAUUUUUCGAACUAGGAUAAUUUAGAUUUGACCUCUAUAUGAAUAUUCCAUCAUUUGUGGAAUAUUCGAGAUUUUGAUCUCUUUAUGAAAUUUUCGAGAUCAACAAAACAAUAAUACUAUUGUGACAAAAUCAGAAUUUUUAUUAAGAAAUUUAAAAUACGAUAAAGAUAUACAAAAGAAUUUCAUUUUUAAUAAGAAAUGUUGCAUUUGAAAUCUAUAUAUACAAAAACUUAAACACUUUCUUUUAAAUAAGUUUAAUUUAAAUAAUACGAAUUCAAAUUAAUUGAGAUGUUCUUUUAUUAGUUUUUUUUUAAAAAAAACAUGUAAAGUGUUGUUGUCAUAAUCUAUGGGCAGAACUAUCCUGUUGGCCUGUCCUUUUUCUUUUUGGGUGAUGCGUACAAAUAAUUUUAUUUUUUUUAUAACAUAGUGUCACGAUCAAUUUAUGCCCUUUUCAUAAAGUAUUUGUUGCCUUCUACCAAAAGGUAUAAUUUUGUGUCCUUUGAACAUUUGCACAAAAUAGAAUCUUUUAGUGCAAUUUUGCUUGGUCUAACGAACUCACCGUAAUUUGCGAAAAAAUUCGACUAUACUAAAUCAUUGUCAUGUUAUAAAUUCUCAUAAUUUAGCCACAAAAUUAAUUUAUUACGUAAUUUCAAUGCAUUCUUGCUUCAAAAUUCAUAUAAAUGAACUUCAUGCGACUUAAAAUUAGAUAUUUUACAUUUUAUUGUCAAUUCCAAUAAUUCAUUUUAGAUACAAUCUAAACCUUCAAAAAAUAAAGGCACGUUUGUUUUUUUUCAACAAUUAAGUUCAACAAAAUUCCACUAUGAUAUUUUUCAUGUUUAUUCAGCUAAAUCAGUUAUAAAUAAAUAAUGAGUUUUCAAUAAUUUAAAAAGUAACAAGCCUAAAAACUAAAUUUUGAUUCUCAAAGAGGACACAAGAGAAAAUUAGUAUUAUAUUAUAUAGUCCGGUACAAUAAUACAAUGAGUCAAAGCUUUGCUGCUCUAAUCUUGCCAUCAUCCCCAACAUUAUUAGGUCAAUUUAAUAGUAAAAUAUUUCUAAAUAGUUCAAAGUGGUUUGAAAAGUAUUAGUACUAAACCUUUUUUGAAUUUUUAUAAGUUUCACGUGAUACUCAAACUUGGUUCAAAUCCUUCUAAAGAUGUUUUGGAUAUAAAAAUAAAAUGUGAAAAUUGUAAUUUUAAAAAGAAGACAGGUUAUUUGUUACAAUAAAUAAAGAUGAUAGUGUAAAAAUUAAUUUCAGAGUAUAAGACAAUAGAGUUAUGUUUGCAUUAUCAUUUUGAUUUUACCACUUCGAUCAAAUUUGAGUUCUACCACUCACAUUCAUUUGAAUUCAGUAUUUUCAAUGUGAAACAUAACUUGCAAAAAAUCAUUAAUAUCACAAGAUAUAAUAAAUAGGAACUCAUACUUUUAAAGUAAAUUUAAUGUUAAAACCUUUAAGAAUCGAACCCAAAAAUUCAAAUCUUAAAUUUACUCCGCGCGAUAAAUACACCAAAUUUCAAAUAAAAAAUAGUUAGGCGAUACACGCAUACCUAAGUUUGUCGUAAUUAUUAUUUUGAAAAAAAUAAUUGUAGUGGGGAAGGUCGUAUCUUUUUGGAUUUUGGUCAUUUCAUAUUAAAUAAUCUUUUAUUUAAGGUGGUGGCCAUUAGGGGCUACAAAAGACAGCUAUAUAAAAAUAGCCCUUUAGUUAUACAUAGCAUGCAUUCAACAACAAUUAUUUAAGAUUAGACAUUUGCUUGAAUUAAGUAAAUAUAAAUUGUUUAUUGUAUUAAAUAUAAUGUAUUUUUGUCAUUAUAGUGUACGAAAAAGAAAAAAAGGACGGUAAGUUGAAUUUUUUCUUCUUCAAGAACUGCUUCGAAAAUAGUGAUUUUUAUCCUUGAUGAAAUAAUAUGAAAGAUGAUAGAACGAAUAAGACUCUUCUAUCCUUGAUGAAAGUCAAGAUCUUGGGUGAUGGAGGAAUUCCGAUGGACAACGCUUUAAAUGAUCUACAUGGUACAAAUUUGAAUUAGUUGAGCGAGUAGAUUGAAUACCAAAUGGUUAAACUAAAAAACGAGAAAGGAAACUUCUCAAGGGGAUAAACAUUUCCACAAGCAAAAUAAGAAGUAACGACAUGCAAAGAAACAACUGCUCUGGUGGAAGAUAGUAAGUACCUGUGAAUUAGUAGUGAUGCGCGCCAAUUGGCCCGAAUACCGUGAUUAUAACAAACAAACAAACAAAAAAACACAGUUGUUCUAGUUAAUUUAAUCUGCAUUUUGUAUGUCGAACACAGAGUAUAUUCUACUUCUCAGCAUUACUCACUAUUGUCAUUGUUCAUUUCCCAGCCAUAGUUUGCCAUAACUGUAACAACUUGUUAACUGAACAAAUUUCUGGACAUUUUUCACCUAGGUCGCCUCUACGAUGAAGAUUAUGACUGCAUUUACCUGUUACCACAGCAACAACAGUCAACAAUUCGAGGCACUGAUUCCCAGAAUAGAGUUCUGAUGAAAGCUGUAUAGAUGGAUCCCGAUAGAAGCUGAAAUCAUCGCAAAGCUCAGGAAGUUGCUUGACGUAGCUAGGAAAUAAGCCAAUAUACAGUAGUGGAGAGGCCAUGCAAGGUGUAAAUAACUUUAAUCAGCAAACUAGUCCAGCGAUUUCAAAGUAUCGCGUCCAAUCCACAAAAGUGCAAAUGCACUCCAUUCAGAUUAUCAUGUUCUUCAUUUCAAUCUUUGAGCAAUCUCACUCGGGAGAAUUGCAGUUGCUCCCCUCUUGCAUGCCUUAACAGUUAGUAUUGCAGCAAUAACAUCACCUCGAGCAAAUCAAGCAUUGUUAUCACUGGACUGAAUCAAUGAUAAUUUAAAGAAGUCAGUUAGAUCCUUCUUCUACACUAAAUUAUGGCAUUUAAUAGUAGUAAUAUGAUAUAAAGAACAUAAUUAGCAAAUACUGAUGAUCCCUAAACCAGGAAUACUUCAUUCUUUGGAAGAUCUUUGUGUCCCUUGUCGGAAACAAGUUUUGACUUCCAAACCAAACAAAAUUGUUCUCUAUUGAGUUUAUGCCAAAAGAGUUCUUAAUCAAACGGUGUAAGAAAGGUGUUACCUAACACUACCCCAAAUUACAGCUAAUGAUAUAAUUAAUGCAUCUGCAAUACCUGAUACUUGUGAUACACUUUUGUUCGAGGCCUCCCCUGAAAAAUCCUUGUCCUCUUAGGCUGCUCUUUACUCAUAAACCAUCUUGGGAGGCAAAUCUCACUAAGGACAAUCUGAGAAAGCAAAAAAGUAGAUAUUUAACUGCCGCGAACUAUAAAAAAGCAGCAAGGGAAAUCCAAAUCGCCCAAGGUAUUAGCCAAGUAAGGAUGUAGGUGGGACUCAAAAGAAAUGCAUUACAGUAGAUCCUGCAGAAAUUUCAGGCAAGCAAGCUUACAGCUGAGGAGUUAACAGAGGGCAACCAGAUAUCUAAUGAGGUAAUUCCAGACAGAAUCUAGCAUGCAAUGAGCCGAGGACAUUUCUCGUCACAUUAAUGAAUUCUGUUUUUGAUGAAGACCACAUUAAUGAAAAUAAACAGGGGAGAAUGUGAUCUAUACUGUGGACAACCAGAUAUUAAUGAGGUAUUGCAACACUGAAUCUAGCAUGCAAUGAUCUGGGGACGUUUCUCACCACAUUAAUGAAAAUUAAUAGACGGGAACCUGAUAUACAGGGGAAGGAGGGAACAGCAUUUAGGUUCUUCACAUUUUUCUUCCCUGUUCAAGAUCUCAUGAUAUUGAUGCAGGAACUCGUGAAUGCUUUUUUUAACAUGAAACAGUCCCAAUCAUAGAUGGGGAUGAUCUGAAGAUAGAGAUUCAUAGCAUCAAACCUUCGUUUGCCAGUGCUAUCCGAAAAAUGUGGAAGUCUAGAAAGCUCCAAACAUUUUCAGUGAUCCCACAAGACAGAGCAUGAUAAGCUUGCUUAGCAGCUUCUUGACGUUCUUCCAAAAGUUUUGCAUCACUAAGAAGGUUGUGGAGAGCUUCGACAAGAAUGUGUCCAGAAACCUGCCAGAGCAAAGGAGUCCGACAAGGAUCUCAAAAAGGGAGAUUAAAAUCAUAUACAAAGUAAACCAGAGUAAACACUGAAAUAUGCUGAUGCUUCUGUGAUAACAGUACUUUCAGCCCUUCAGACUCAUAAGUGCAUAUGCUUCUAUACUGUAGUUGGUUUAUCUUUCUAGUAAAGAUUGUACUGUUGAAAAUUAAAAGGUACUGUAUCAAUUUAUAUAUCUGACAUACUUUAUAUGGAUACUUCACUAUUACAGUACUAUCCUAUCAAAAAUAUUCAGAAUUUCUGCAGAAGAUAACAACCUGGUUCUUGAAACUUUUGUCGGUCAAAGGCAAUUGAACGUUUCUUUAUGAAGUAAGUAAUUUCAUUUAAGGCACCUAGAAAAUGCUAAUUUGUACAAAAGAUAGUUAGCUCCAGUACAUUAGAUGCACAUUCUAGGAGAAAGACAGGGAGCUAAUGCAUCCAAAAUUUGCAGUCAAAGGCUAUUGACUAAACAGUUAUUAAUAUAAUUGUCUUGACUAGCUUUAUCUCUUCAUUUCUAAUCAUUCAAUAAGAGCUAUUGAAAAAGAUAAUUUCAAUCUCAAAAUGCCAAGUGUUAUGUUGCUGUUCCACCUUCUCAUUUUUUGGUUAUACUUAUAUACUACAUUGGGUCUCCUUUUUCUCCAAAAUAGGUUAGUUAUCUGCCUUUCUCCAAUUUCAAGGAUCCUCUUAUGAUUGACCUUGAAAUUUGACUACAUAAAUAAAAGAGUUUUUUGCACAUGCUGAACUAACCCUUCCUAAAAUAUUCAUGCCAUCCUUCCCUUGCAAUAAAAAGCAUAAAUAGCACAUUAUGAAUGUCCAAUGCACACCAGCCGAGUGUGUAUAGAUCAAAGUAAGUAUCCAGACCUGUAAUACUGACAAAGGAUUCAAGCGUUGCAUCUGUGUUGCCAUAUGGGAGAAAUGACCGAUAUAAGGACCUGAUAAUUGAACCAAUAAAAAAAACUGAUAUAAAUAUAAUUAUGCACCACAUGAGAAUCAAACAUGAAAUUUUACUACAAAUUAAUCAGGCACUCCAAAGAAACAAAGGAAAGAAGCCUUGAUCCCAGCCUAGCUGCAGACUGGACCCAAGUUCUAUCUAAAAGAUGGAAACAGAAUUGACCAGUUAAAAUAGCACAGCUUGCUGCAGCGGCUUCUGAAAUAUUAUGACCAGCUGAACCUGGAAGAAAUGAACCUCCAAUCACAGCAAUUGGUGUUAGUCUGUAAAACUUUUGUAAUUCACCUACAGAGCAAAAUAAUAAGAAAUAUCAAUGACCUCGUUAAUACAGCUCUGCAACAGCAAGCAAAAGGGAAGUAUUUCAUCCGUUAAAAUUUACUGUACUUUAUCUUCUAGCUUCUUUAGGCAAAUAUCUGAUACAUAUACGAAAGUUGUUAUAUGGUGUGGAUUGUGGCUCAACAAAUAAGAUUUAGUUCUUAUGAAGGUAUAGCUUCUUUUGGGAUUAGAUUUUCAAUCUGCUCUCAUGUGCAAGCUGGAUCUUCUCUAUAGGUGGAACACAGGGAAAUUUUGCAAGACAAAAGUGAAACUUCUAUUUGUACCUUGUUGAAGUAUGUGGAUCUACGCCAUGUAAAAGUUUAAGCAAGAAGAGAGAGAUGAGAUCAUCAAUUGGUAUGCACCGCACCCUAGUCAUUCUAGGCAAUUUGAUCCAUAACUAGAACAAAGCAUAUUAGCAACAAACUCUAAACUCUUUCUGAUUUUCUCUUUAGCUAUUCUUAGUUUGUUAGAAUUCACAAAAAAAGUGUGAUGGAGAUCAUUCGACUAUUUCACCUACAGGAAAAUAAUAACCCACUAACUUUUUAGAAAGGAGAUGGGAUGUAAAGCUUAAACAGAUCUAAACUGAAAAUCUGAGUCAGCUAGCUUGAGGAAUUAUCAUAAGGCCAAAUAGGUUAACCUAAUGUGUCAACCACAUAUAUGUUUGUCCCUGGCAUGAGCUUAUCGUGACGAGACCGUAAUGCUACCCUUACUCCAUCUUUCUCCAAUUCCUGCAUAAGUUGAGGAAGACAACAUAAAUUCAGUCUAGAUAGAGGAAGUAAUUUACAAGUUCCAUGUUAUGAGAUAAAGGCCUCUUUUGACAUCAAUCCUGGGACAUCUUUAGCAACUUGGGAUCAUGAUUCCUCUAAAUCUUAUGGUUUAUGGUUAAAGCGCAUGCUGUUCUCAAUUUAACUAAUAAAAUAUGGCUGUUUUCAAGUAUUUUUAUGUUGACUUGACAAAUUUCUUGCUCUUGAACUAUAAUGAAAUAUCAGGAACCCAUCCAACUAUUUCCUCCACUGCCCACUGGAUGGACAUGAGAAUGAGGAUGAAUACAAGCAUGAAGAACAGAUCAAGAUCAUUCAAGAGUUCACUCGAUAGUUUGAAGAAGCACUUGAGCGUUCAUGGUUCAAUAAACUUAAUGAUUUGGUUGAGUUAAGAGAGAGAAGUUAGGGCAAUUUUAGAAGGACUAUAAAUAAAUUCUAAUAGACUAGAACAUUAAUCAUACCAAAGCAAUUUGUUUUCCGUGCUGAGGAUGCCGAGGCACAAUGAUGGUGAUGAUAUCCGGAUGUAUUUGCUUUAAAGCGUUGUGUACUCCUAACAUGACUGCAUAUCAAUGUUGUUACAAAUUCAAUCAGCAGCACAGAGCAACCUUAGUUAUAUUCAAAGUCAUCAGUCCAUGAGGUACACUCUAUUUACUGCUUUUCUGCUCUAUCCAAGAGCAGAAGGUUACUCAGGUCAUAUGGGAAACCCCUCUUCCCUUUCCCUUUCUGAUCCCUUUCUACUUAAACAAACACCGAUUACCUUAAAACACACAAUCAAUACAUGCAUCUUUUUAGAAAAAAAAUAGAGAAGUAGAACAAAGUUCCUUUUUAAUAAGUUAGAAGUGGAAAAAACUAGCUUAUGUUAAAUUGGAAAGAAACAAAGUGCAGAUGGCCUUAAGCUUUGUUAGCUGAAGUGGGAAUUCAAGGUCAAGCUGAACCACUAUCUUUAUUAUUUUUUUUACUUGAACAGUGAUUGUAUGACGAACAAACUUUGGAAGUUUUUUCUUCACUCAGUCCUACACUCAUUCAACCAAAUAGAAGUCAUAAAUAGAGUUUGAGGGUCCAGUACCCUCUUAACCUUUCUUGAACAACUUAGAGACAAUUGAAAGGGAAGUUAAAAAGAAGCACAUACACAGAACACAGUUCUUUUUAAAACUUGAACCGUGAUUGUAUGACAAAAAGACUUCAGAAGUUUUCUCUUCCCUCAGUCUAGACUCAUUCAACCAAAUAGAAGUCAUUAAGAGGGAGUUUAAGGGCCCAGUACCCUCUCCACCUCUCUUGAACAACUUAGAGAAAAUUGUAAGGUAGGUAAAAAGAAUCACAUACACAGAACACAGUUUGUUCACACACAUGCCUGCAUGAAUUCAAGCUUAAACUAUUACCAUGGUAUAAAGUAACAGAAAAAAAAGGGGCCUUCAUGACUCUCUUAUCUAACACCCUUGCUUCACGUUCGAGAUUCUUUUCAUUUCUUCAUCUCCAUGAAAAGUCUUUAAUACACGUCAGACAUUAUAUAGCAAAAACAACUACCUUUUUCUUCACCCUUAUGAAUAGAAGAUGCCAUCCAAACCUUUCUGUUCAUAAGCUGUACCUGCAACUCUUUCAGCGCUCUUUGAUCCCCUUCAUUUGUGUCAAUGUUCCCUACAGCUAAAGGGAAAAAGAACAAGGAAGCGAGAAGAAGGGUACAAUUAGUGUCUGCUCUCUGGUAAGCAGUGGUAAAUGCAACAAUAUUUCUAAAGGAAUAUAUAAAUGAAUUUAUUAUGAGUGCUAGUAGUUCUAUCGUAUCAUGCAAGCUAAUAAGUCUUUGUUUUUGGCCAUACCAUACUUUAGGUCACCGCAAAAAUUUAUGAUGAAGGGUGGACACUGCAGCAGUUGAAAGCGAAUUGCCUGGGUAGUGCUCUUUAUAGAAAUAAAAAUCAGAACUCUAAAGGUAAAAUGAUGUCUUUAAAAUCCAGACACUUCAAUGAAAAUAUAUGAGAUACGUACCAGUGGAAGAAUCAGCAAGAAUUUGGAGAGCAUUAAUGAUGUCAGAGAAUUAACAAAUGGCUGAGACCAACUGCCAUAAGAUUUUGCAGAUAUUCGAGCAUUAAGCAAUGCAAGUGCAAUCUGAGUAGCAUAAUGGUUGAGCGUAAGCAGAGAAACAAACAUAAUACAGUGACAUAUAAGUGAAUACAAUGAGAAUUAAAAUGAAAAAGAACAAGAUGGAUGCUAAACCACAAAAUAGGGUGUCUGGACGAUAACAGUGGUUAAACGAAAUAGUGUUCUCAUGAAAAAAUUAAGUGAAAUUUGCAUCGAAUCCUUAGCAGAAAAUAUAAGCCUUUAGUCAAGAUACUAAAAGUUACAAUAACAGGCAUCUCUCAGUUCAGAAGCAUUCAGAAAAGAUAUUUACCUACCCGAUUUUUCGCAGCACCUAUAAUCAGGUUUGGCCAGAGUUCACUUUCCAUUAACAUGAUUGCACUUGGCUUCCAAUAACGAAGGAAAGCAUCAAUGGCGCCAGGAGUGUCAACUGGAGAAAACUGGUAAAUUUGUAAACAUGUUAGAGACGCUCCUUCUCUAUCUUCUAACUUUGGUGAGAAAGCCAUGUAUAAAAUAUAAAUCGCAAAGAGUAAUUUUGGAUUAAAAGAAAACGUAAAUCAGUUUUAUAAGUGGAAACAGGCAGGUCAGAAGACAAAAUAUUCAGAAGAAAAAAUUGAGCACAAAAAGAAAUGCCAGAACAUUAUAAGAACUCUGAAAAAUAAGAAAGUGAGAUUCACCUAGUAUGGUCAGAAGAAAGGGAGGGAGGAAACAAGCUAACAGCAUAGAAGAAGAGCUAGGGUGUGCUCUCCUGUUUUUAGAUUUCACUUGCAAAAGUCAAAAUUGAAAUAGUACACUUGAAAGGGAAGUUGGUGUCUUGUCAGAUAACUCAACUUAGUGACGUCUAUCAAGCAAAAUGUAAGUUGUGCAUCAGUCUUAAGGAAAUCGAACAGGUACCUGAUAAAGGACGUUAUUUGGAAGCUGGUGCUUUAUUACCUCACUGUAAGAAAAAUACAAACAAACUAGGUAUUAAAUAUGAAUUAGCUUUUCAGCAAGCCGUGAAAUGAGAAGUGAAAAUAAUGCCCACAUGAAUCUGGCGGAAGUUGUUAAAAUGACCAAAUUGGAAUAUCCACAUCAGUAAACAAAUUAAAGUAAAUAGCAUACUGCAAAGUAAAAUCUAUUUAUUUUUGUAUUAACUGAUCUAAGACAUAUCUUCUGUUUCUCAUCACAAAGUAGUUGAUUAUGCCUGCAUUGUUUUGAUCCAAUAAGUUAGAUAUGCCUUCUAUUUCUAUUGGGCACUAAAAGGAAUCUUGAACAUAACUUGCAUUCCACUACUAUCAACAACGUAAAUGCACUCUCAAACAGGUCUUUCUUUUCUUGUGUCAACAAUUAAUACACUAAGCUAGAUUUUUAAUAUCAAGGAUAUCUUGUGCCAUUAAUUCCCCCCCCCAUAAUCACAGAACCACAUUUUUUUAUAUAUUUCCCACACUACCUUCCAUUUUGUGCAGCAGAAAACUAAACUAUAAUUGCAAAAUACUAAGUUUUCUGGCUACUAUCAUAUCACAAAAUUUGUUAUCACCAAACACUUAAAGAAACUUUGAAUUAAAAUUGAGACUCACAAUGCUGAUGUGGUGGUUGUGGUCAUCAAGACAGUUACAUCAGGCCUCCUCUCUAUGCAGCAUUUGAUCACAGGAAUUGCACACAUUCCUUCACCUAAUUCCACAUUUUAACAAACAAAUUAAAUAACUGAUAACAAUUUCAUAUUAGGAUGAAAAAGGAAAAAAGAAACAAUAAUAAAUAAUACUCUAUUUGUCCCGAUUCAUGUGGCAUACUUUCUUUUUUAGUCCAUCCCAAUAAGAAUGUCACUUAUCUAUAAUUAGAUAUAAUUUAACUUUAAAAUUCAUCUUUACCCUUCCUUAAAGAAAUGAUUUAUUGCCACACAAAUGCUAAGUUUGUUUUAGAUAAAAAAAAAUCAGAAGUCUAUUUUAAACUUGAUGCAAAAUUACAAGGUAUCACAUAAAUUGGGACAAAGGGAGUAUAGAUCAACAACUUGAACAACAAUUGCACAAUAUACAAUUGUAUAAAUUACAAAUACCUACACAAUAACAAAAAAAUAUGUGUGUGUGUUUGGGGGAAGAGAGUUUAUAUCUACAAAUACACAAAAUAAUAAUAAUAUGUGUAUGUAUAUAUUCACACUCUCUAAUUCUGAUAUGCAUACAUUAUGAGUCUCUCUCUGCUUGUGCGCCUAGAGUAACACUAUGUUUGGAUGGUUGUUACAUAUUGUUUCACAAUGUAUCAUAUUUUAUAUAUUAUAUCGUAUUAUAUUGUUUUAAUAAAUACAAUUUUGUUGUUAUAUAAUGUCAGACAUUAACAAUUUGAAGGAUAAAUCCUACCAGGGAAGUACGAUACACGUAGAACUACUAUAAAUAAGUAGAAUAAAGGAUAAAUAGGAUUAUUAAGUAGUAAAUAAACACAAAAUGAGGGGAAAAAAGUAACGACAUCACACCAAAUGGAUCCUUACAUAAAAUGGUACAUUUUGUAGUUAGUAGCAACGUCUUAAACGAUAGGAUAUAAUAAAAUUUAAGUAAUGAUUAUUGUAUUUAACUAACAACACUUAACAAUAAUCCAAACAAGGUGUAAGAGUGUGUGUUAGUAUUAAGACAUGGCAAAAAAAUAAAUGGAAGAGAGAAGGAGAGUUACCAAGUGAGACAGCGUGGAACCAGAAGAGAGGGCCAGGGGGGCGAGAAAGAGAAGGGAGUCCGAGACGCUCGCGCCAGCGGAGAGGAUGUUCCAGGCCACGGAACUUGCGCCACCGCAGAUGCAGCUGAAUCAGCGGCGAUAAUCCAUAACUUAGGGCUCUGUAAAUUUUGUAAAUCAGCUCACCUCUCUCCAUCGCCAUUUUCCCAAUUCUUCUUCUUCUUCCUGAUUAUAGCACUGUCAAUACUCUUCAACUGUGAGUCUCGUAAUUUUGUGAGGAAGGGGGAAUAUUUGAUUCAUAUUGAAUUUACUUAUUUCACAAAAACUUUAUUAAAAAAAUGCAUUUUUCUUUAAAAGUAAUUGUGAAAUAUCAAUAAACUUGCUGCUUAGUCACAAACUAUAUGUCUAAUGGAGGAGGUACUAAUUUACUAAUUACUUAUUAGUGUAUCUAUAUCAUAUAUAAAUAAUACAUUAUUGUUAAAGAUAAAUUAGAUUUUUCAUUGGCUAGGUUUACAUAAACUUUUACAUGGCGUAUUUCACAAAAUUAGCUACAUUAAAUUGAAUUUAUACUAUAUAGUUUUUUAGCAUAUAUCGUAUAGUUCAUGUGAUAUUGUCGUUAAUGAAUGUUACCCUUGAUUAGUAUAUUGAUAUAAACAAUUUACAAUAAAUUAUUUUAUUGUUUGAUAAUUAAAUUAGAGAAUUUAAUUAAUCAAAUAAAUAAGUAUUAAGUCCAAAUAUUAUAUUAUGAUGUUAUAAGAAUUAAGAUGUUAUUGAGUCCAAAUCGUAACCUUAACCGAAUAGGAAAAGUUUAUGAAUCACACACUUCGGUGAAUACUUACAAAAAUACAUAAUAGUCAACGUAAGAUUUAGCGGAAAGAUGUUGACCAUUCCACCAUUUCUCCCACAAAAACUAGCUAGUUUAAAAGACUUGAUUUUUUAUUUUUAAAAAUAUUUAUUGAUAAAAACUUUACAAAUAAAACACUAUUAAAAAUAUAUAUAAAAAAUAUUUUUAAAUAUUUAUAGCCCACGGGCUGACCUCUGAGGCUUGCGAGUUGGGCCUACGAAGCUAGUGGGUCAAAUGAGACUGGACUAAAAAGUUUCGUUCCUAAAUAAGCCAAAAAAAUUAGGCUCAACCCCACUUAACUCAAGAGUUGGGUUGGGCCGACCUAGCAGCUGAAGCCCAUUUUGACAUCUUGUAUGUGAUCUUAUAUAUAGCCUCCUUUUAUGGAAAAAAUAAAAUACAAUUGUCACGUAUUUUUCCAUCUUCUCUACAAUUCAACACAAUUCCGUUAAUGGCUUCAGUAUCUCUUGCUAGAGCUAUGCGGGUGAAGAACAAAACCCCUGCCCCAAUCCAAAUCACGGCAGAGCAGAUUUUCCGGGAAGCUAGAGAACGUCAAGAGGCGGAAAUCAGACUGCCCAAACAGAAAAUCAGUGACCCAACAGAAGGAGCUGAUUAUCGCCUUCGCAAGCGAAAGGAAUUUGAGGGUUUAAUUAGCCGUGUAGGCUGGAACAAGAGUGUGUGGGUGAAAUAUGCUGAAUGGGAAGAAUCACAAAAGGACUUGAAGCGUGCUCGUUCUAUAUGGGAACGUGCACUUGGAGUUGAUGCACUUAACCGUGACCAUACCAUCUGGUUGAAGUAUGUUGAUAUGGAGAUGAAGAAUAAGUUUGUUAAUCAUGCUCGUAAUCUAUGGGAUCGAGCUGUUAUCCGUUUGCCUAGGGUUGAUCAGUUGUGGUACAAGUAUAUUCAUAUGGAAGAGAUGCUUGGCAAUGUAGCUGGUGCAAGACAGAUUUUUGAGAGGUGGAUGAGGUGGAUGCCGGACCAGCAAGGGUGGUUAUCUUAUAUUAAGUUUGAGUUAAGGUAUAAUGAAAUAGAGAGGGCAAGAGAAAUUUUUGAGAGAUUUGUGGAGUGUCAUCCGAAAGUUAGUGCUUGGAUUAGGUUCUCAAAAUUUGAGAUGAAGAAUGGGGAGAUUGGGAGGGCAAGGAAUUGUUAUGAAAGGGCUGUGGAUAAGUUGGGAGAUGACGAUGACGAAGCUGAGCAGUUGUUUCUGGCAUUCGCAGAGUUUGAGGACAAGUGUAAGGAGACGGACAGGGCACGUUGCAUAUAUAAAUUUGCCCUUGAUCAGAUACCAAAAGGGCGAGCUGAGGAUUUGUACGGCAAGUUUGUGGCAUUUGAAAAGCAGUAUGGUGAUAGGGAAGGUAUUGAGGAUGCUAUAGUUGGAAAAAGGAGGUUUCAGUAUGAGGAUCAAGUCAAGAUGAAUCCACGUAACUAUGAUACAUGGUUUGAUUAUAUUCGUCUAGAAGAGAGCAUUGGAAAUAAAGAGAGGAUUAGAGAGGUUUAUGAGAGAGCCAUUGCUAAUGUUCCUCCUGCUGAAGAGAAGCGGUAUUGGCAACGAUACAUUUACUUAUGGAUUAAUUAUGCAUUAUAUGAAGAGAUUGAUGCACAAGACAUGGAAAGAACCAGACAUGUUUACCUGGAGUGUCUUAAGCUGAUUCCACAUCACAAGUUUUCAUUUGCAAAGAUUUGGUUGUUGGCUGCCUUGUUUGAGAUUCGGCAGUUAAGACUCAAGGAGGCACGGCUUCUACUUGGAGAAGCGAUUGGAAGGGCUCCUAAAGACAAGAUAUUUAAUAAGUACAUUGAGAUAGAGCUGCAAUUUGGGAACAUAGAUCGUUGCAGAAAGCUUUAUGAGAAGUACUUAGAAUGGUCACCAGAAAAUUGCCAUGCUUGGAGCAAAUUCGCCGGGUUAGAGAGGUCCUUGUAUGAAACGGAGAGAGCCAGAGCUGUUUUUGAGCUUGCAAUUGAUCAACCUGCACUGGAUAUUCCAGAGUUACUAUGGAAGGCUUACAUAGACUUCGAGAUCUCUGAGGGUGAAUUUGAAAGAACAAGAGCACUAUAUGAAAGACUUCUUAACCGUACCAAACAUUUAAAGGUGUGGAUAAGUUAUGCCAAGUUUGAGGCAUCGGCUAUGGAAUCAGAUGUUGAACAGAAAAAGAAGUGCCUGCAAAAUGCUAGAGAUGUUUUUGAGAGGACCGUUUCUUACUUAAGAAUAUCUGCACCUGAACUGAAGGAAGAAAGAGGAAUGCUUUUGGAAGAAUGGCUAAAUAUGGAAAACAGUUUUGGUGAGCUUGGAGAUGUCAAUUUAGUCCAUGCCAAACUACCAAAGAAACUGACGAAGAGAAGGCAAAUAGACAUGGAGGAUGGUCCAGCAGUCUACGAGGAGUACAUAGACUAUCUUUUCCCUGAAGAAAUGCAGGCGAACAAUCUUAACAUUUUGGCUUCUGCUUAUAAAUGGAAGAAACAGCGGGUUGCAUCCGAGGAUUAGCCAGAUUCAGUGUUAGCUUACACUGUAUAUAGUUUUUUUUUUACUGUUUUCUGUUAGCUUCCAUAACUCUAGUUUUGGUGGAACCCAAACUUAAGUUUUGCUCAAUUUGUCAUCGCUUUUUCUUGCCAGUUUUGUAACGAAUACUAUAGUUGAGGAAAGGGCAGAUUUACGAUUUUUAGAAUAAAAGAUGACUGAUUACAAAGACCUCGUGGAAGUUACUUUAAAUUAUUGGCAAAACUCUAGAAAACUCUUUGAUUUUCUCUUUAGCUAUUCUUAGUUUGUUAGAAUUCACAAAAAGAAGUAUGAUGGUGAUCAUUCGACUAUUUCACCUACAGGAAAAUAAUAACCCACUAACUUUUUAGAAAGGAAAUGGGAUGUAAAGCUUAAACAGAUCUAAACUGAAAAUCUGAGUCAGCUAGUUUGAGGAAUUAUCACAAGGCCAAAGAGGUUAACCUAAUAUGUCAACCACCUAUAUGUUUGUCCCUGGCAUGAGCUUAUCGUGACGAAACCGUAAUGCUACCCUUACUCCAUCUUUCUCCAAUUCCUGCAUAAGUUGAGGAAGACAACAUAAAUCCAGUCUUGAUAGAGGAAGUAAUUUACAAGUUCCAAGUUAUGAGAUAAAGGCCUCUUUUGACAUCAAUCCUGAGGACAUUUUUAAUGAUAAGAAAGUGGUGAAAUGGAAGGCUCAUUAUGAAUGUAAAACAUGUGGUCACUGGUAGGUUUAAAUAUAUGUCAGGUACUUUAAUGGGAUUGACUGCACUUUGAGGAGACCUAGUCUUUUGGGUUCUGUGGAAACAUUUUUGAGUUGCAAAAUGCCUGAUCUUGAUGGAAUUUCUUCUAUUAUCUCUAUGACCAACAAUUAUCCCUUCCUUUCUCAGUUCCAAUGAGACCACAAAAGAUGAAUCAUAGGCUAGAACAUGAAUCAUACCAAAGCAAUUUGUUUUCCAUGCUGAGGAUGCCGAAGCACAAAGAUGGUGAUGAUAUCCGGAUGUAUUUGUUUUAAAGCGUUGUGUACUCCUAACAUGACUGCAUAUCAAUGUUGUUACAAAUCAGCAGCAUAGAGCAACUUUAGUUAUAUUCAAUGUCAUCAGUCCAUGAGGUACACUCUAUUUACUGCUAUUCUGCUCUAUCCCAAGAGCAGAAGGUUACUCAGGUCAUAUGGGAAACCCCUCUUCCCUUUCCACUUAAACAAACACUGAUUACCAUAAAACACACAAUCAAUACAUGUAAUUUUUUAGAAAAAAAUAGGGUAGUAGAACAAAGUUCCUUCUUUAAUAUGUUAGAAGUGGAAAAAACUAUCUUAUAUUAAAUUGAAAAGAAACAAAGUGCAGAUGGCCUUAAGCUUUGUUAACUGAAGUGGGAAUUCAAGGUCAAGCUGAACCACUAUUUUUAUUAUGUUUUUACUUGAACAGUGAUUGUAUGACAAACAGACUUCGGAAGUUUUUUCUUUACUCAGUCCUAUACUCAUUCAACUAAAUAGAAGGCAUAAAUAGAGUUUGAGGGUCCACUAUCCUCUUAACCUUUCUUGAACAACUUAGAGAAAAUUGUAAGGGAAGUUAAAAAAAAAGCACAUACACAGAACACAAUUUUUAAAAAAACUUGAACCGUGAUUGUAUGACGAAACAGACUUCAGAAGUUUUCUCUUCACUCAGUCUAGACUCAUUCAACCAAUUAGAAGUCAUAAAGAAGGAGUUUAAGGGUUCAGUAUGUUGAAAACUAUGUGCACAGCGAAAGCAUAUCAAAAUCUUAUUGCUUUCAUGAAUAAUAGUUAACUGAUAACGUUUAUGCUAGAACACAUACGAUCAUAUGCUAGAACAUAUAAACUUGCUGAAAUUUAACUCAAGAAUUACCUUAACUUGGUGGAAAAUUAAGCGAAAUGACAAACAUCUAGAGUAUACUACGUAAUAUAGUUAUAGUUUUGAUUAUAUUUAAUUUGUGACUACAGUUUCGAGAAAUUUUGCUAUUAGGUUUCCUAAUUGUAUAAAUCAGAAUUUGUAUAAUUCAUCCCUGAUUGUAUAAAUCAAGAAUUUGUAUAAUUUGGUUCUAAUUGUAUAAAUCUAGAAUUUGUAUAUGUUUACCCUAGUUAUUUGUAUACGGUUUAUGAAAAAUUAAUAAUAAAUUACUCUGUUUGUAUAUUGACAAGCGAAAUAUACAAAUAGAGUGCUGAAAAAUUCCUAAAUGUAUAAAUACAUAAUUUGUAUAUACUUACCCUGUUUAUAUAUUCGUAAGCGAAAUAUACAAACCACAACCUCUAUUUGUAUAUACUUACCAUGUUUGUAUAUUUGCAAGCGAAAUAUACAAACCGCAACCUCCAUAGCAAAUGAAACUAUAGCUAUGAAGUGUAAUUAUCAAAAUUAUAACUAUAGAGCCUUAUUAUGUCUAUUAUCUUUACUAUUUUUGAAAUUCUCUUUUUAUCCCCUAUUAACUUGGUGGAUUAAAUUUUGUCUAAAAAAUCAUGAUGAAAUUUAGGUUAACAAACUACUAACAAAUAACACAAUUUAAAGAGCAAUCUCAGAAAAAGAUCAUAUGAUGUAAAUAAGUCGAAAUGAGUUUGUCCAAUCCCUCUAAAAUUCGUUUAUACUAUUAUCUUAACUUUUAUUACACUUUCUUUUAUUUUAAUUUUUCUUCAUAGGUAGAUAGUAGAUACUAUCAAUUUUGUUAUUUAUAAGAAUUUAACUUUGUCAAAUGAAAAUAUAAAUUUAAGUAUUCAAAACUCAAAGAUAUUAGAAAAAACUAUUUACUUAUAUUACAUCUUAAAGAGCUAAAAUAUAACUUUCAAAUUAAUUCGAAGUUUCUUAUUAAAAUUAAAUUUUAGGCCACAAUUUGAACGACUCUAAGACAAUCAUGAGUUCAAGUCUUGGAAAUAGCCUCGGGCAAAAAUACAAGAUAAGACUAUAUACAAUAAAUCUUUAUGAUUAGACUCUUUCCCAAAUCCUAUGCAUAGCGCGAACUUUAGUGCAUUGGGUUGUGCCUUUACUCUAAUCAAAUACCCCACCCCCACCCCCACUCCCACUCCCACCCAAAAAAAGUAAAAUCAAUAAAUGGAUCUCUCAUAGACUUAUCCUUGUCAUUUUCAUUCUAGAAGAACUGCAACUGCUGUGGAUAAUACCAUACAUGAUUCAAUGUCCCCCACAUGAAUUAAAUACUCAUAAACAUGUCACCACUCACCACCCUUCUAGAAGAUCAACUUGCUUUUUGCUAAGUAAUUUUUUUGAUUUCUCAUUCAAUGUCUGGUACUCACAUUGAGAUCUGAACUAAUUUAAAUUUACGUUACAUGAUACCUAUUUAAGGAGGAAACAAUUUCUAACUAAAAAAAUUCUAUAUUCAAAGCUUGAACUCAGAACCUCUCAAAUAGUAUUAGUCUUAUAUCGUUAAACUAAAAUAAGUGUCCCCACUACAUUUAAUUUUAGAAUUUACAUCUCAUAAGUGCAUUUUCUUAACGAAUAGUAAUCUCAAUUAUUCUAACUACUGUUUGUUAUCAUGUGAUAUAAAUAAUAGGAAAUGGACAAAGUCAUUUCCAUAAUUUGUCAUUGACUUUAACAAUAUUAACGAGCCACUGAAAAUGUUAAACUAACGUGAUUGUACAAGCAAAGUGGGCUGAAGUUUUUUUAAAAAGAAAAUCAAAUGUCAUAUCUAAUUGACACAGACAUUAAUAUAUGGCUCGAGAGCCCAGCUCGAGCUGAACUAAAGUUACUAAGUUCGAUCGAAUCUGUAUAUCAACUAUUUUUUUUUGCCAAUAGUUCAAAUGGGAAGCAAUAUAUGUAACAUUAUAAAUAAGAACUUCCCAUCACAUAAUUUAUAGCAAACCAAAUAAGUCAUCCAAAAAAGAACUAAAAGAGAGAUGGAAUGGGAAUGGAGUUAUCUGUUUUUUUCUUCAAUCAUUUUGUUACCAGCUUUCAUCCUAUUUUUUUCCAGGAAAAAGAGUACUAAAUGUUCCUACAAAUUACCUCCAGGACCACCUGGAUUGCCAAUUUUUGGUAACAUGUUUGAACUAGGAACAGAGCCAUACAAAAGAAUGUCAGUUCUAAAACAGAAAUAUGGUCCUGUUUUGUGGUUAAAACUUGGCACCUCAACAAAAAUUAUGGUUGUUCAAACAGCUCAGGCUGCUGAAGAGCUAUUCAAAAACCAUGAUAUUUCCUUUGCGGAUCGAUUCAUACCUGAUGCAAAUCAGGCACAUAGUUACUAUCAAGGGUCCUUGGCCUUAGCCCCAUAUGGCUCAUUUUGGCGCUUUAAGAGACGGAUAUGUACUGUGGAAAUGUUUGUACACAAAAGAAUCAGUGAAACAGUGCCAGUAAGGCGAAGAUGUGUGGAUAAUAUGUUAAAAUGGAUAGAGAAAGAAGCGAAUUCAGCUGAAAAAGGAAGUGGGAUUGAAGUAACGCGUUUAGUAUUCCUUGCAUCGUUUAAUAUGGUAGGGAAUUUGGUUCUGUCGAAAGACUUGGCUGAUCCAGAAUCUGAGGAGGCCUCGGAGUUCUUCAAUGCCAUGAAGGGAAUCAUGGAUUGGUCAGGUAUUGCUAAUGUUUCUGACAUAUUUCGAUUUCUUAGAAAGUUUGAUUUACAAAAUUUGAGGAAGAAGAUGGAGCGAGACAUGGGGAAGGCCUUGGAGAUCAUGUCUAUGUUUCUCAAGGAACGCGAGGAAGAACGAAAGAAGGGUGUGGAGAAGGGGAAUGAUUUCUUGGAUGUGUUACUUGAAUUUGAGGGUACUGGAAAAGAUGAACCAACUAAAUUAUCAGAACAGGAGAUCAAAAUAUUCGUGUUGGUAAGUUUUUAAAAAAUAAUCUCUAGACUUGUCUUUUCAAACAUAAAUCAUUUUCAUUUCAGUUAGAUGUGUAUUUGGAGCAGAAAACUCUGUUCUGCUUAGGCAAUAAUAUAUGCUAGCUCCUCACUCCUCACUCCUCAAUAAUGUUUUCCCACUUAAAUAACGAGGAGUAAUUUGAUUGAAAAAUUAGUGUGUAUGUUUUUUGGGAUUUACACAAAUAGCCAACUAGAUUCACUGUCUACUUGUCCUAGUCGGUAAACACCUAAUUAAGAAAAUCCCCGUGAAAUUUACCCUCAACUCCAAUAUUGAAUUACCAUGAAAUUAAAUUUGUUGUAUAUGUAUGAAACAACAGGAAAUGUUUUUAGCUGGUUCAGAGACGACGAACAGCAGCGUAGAAUGGGCACUAACAGAGCUUUUGCGCCAUCCACAAGCAAUGGCAGAAGUGAAAACAGAGAUAUCAAAAGUAGUAGGACCAAACAACACGUUUGAAGAAAGUGACAUCGAAAAUCUUCCUUAUAUGCAAGCUGUAAUCAAAGAAUCACUUCGUUUACACCCUCCUCUCCCUUUCUUGAUCCCAAGAGAGACAAUUCAAGAUACCAAGUUCAUGGGGUAUGACGUUCCAAAAGGCACUCAAGUCUUGGUUAACGCCUGGGCGCUUGGAAGAGAUCCUCAAUGUUGGGACGACCCUAUGAGUUUCAAGCCCGAGAGGUUUGUUGGCUCAAAAAUAGACGUGAAGGGUCAGCAUUAUGGGCUAAUUCCAUUUGGUGCUGGACGAAGAAUGUGUGUUGGUUUGCCUUUAGGCCAUCGAAUGAUGCAAUUUGCUCUGGGAUCAUUGCUUCACCAAUUCGAUUGGGAGCUUCCCGAUGGUGUCACUCCUAAAUCUAUCAAUAUGGAUGAAAGCAUGGGAGUAACAGCCAGAAAACGCGACUCUUUGAAAGUGAUACCAAUAAAGGCUUGACAACUCAUUAAUCUAAUCGAGCCAACAAGUAUUCGUCUUUAUAGUUAUAUAUUUUUGCAUAUUUUCCUUAUAAUAAGUAUUUGUAGUGCCAACUGGAGUUUCUGUUAGUACUAAAAUUAUAGUAUGUACAUCUUUGUCAAACAAGAUUGUAAGUUGGUAAAAACUAAGAUAAGUGAUUUCAUUUCAAAUGUACUGCACUACGAAACAACGCCAGAUAGGACUAACAAUCUAAUAUAGCCACAUGUCAAAGAAGGUGAGAUAAUGAGUCUUAGUUGCAAAGAGCAAAUACAAACCAGCCUCACUAUUACAUUGGGGGCUUCUUGGUUAUUUAUUCUCAAGAACAACAAUGUUCCUUUAGCAGAUAUGGUUAUGUCUGCAGUUUAUAUCGAUGUUUACUUGGAGCAUUUGGAUAUGUAUGUUUGCGUAAACUAUGAUAACGUGCAAUGAGGGUCAUUUGUGAUAUUUUGAGGCACAUGGAUAUGUUUAUUUCAACUGUUCUUCAAAUAGCUGCAGUUUUUUUAAAUUGAUUUUGAUGCUUCUUGUAUAUGAUUCCUUAAUGGAUUCUGAAUAUGAACUUGUGUUAUACAGUUUUUGAAGUCGUUAUACCAUCUUGUUUUGGUCUCGAUAACAACUCAUGUCUAUGAUUUCGUAUGCUUCCAUCCUUAUAUAUUGAGAAAGAAGAGCAAGACACUUAUUUUCCUGGUACAACUAAGAUGAAAAUUUCUCUUCCUUUCAACAUUCAAUGGCUUACUCUACAGCUUUUAUGUAUAUAUGUUCAUCGUUUAUACAUCCUCUGGCCAUGUUAUUGUGCACAUUAGAAUGAGGAAUUCAUUAGAUAUAAUAUUUGUAUCAUGUGGUUCAUUGUUAUCAUCAAAAGGUGCCAUUUUGUUGCUGCUUAUUUUCCAACAACAUAUCCAAUGUAAUCCCAUAAGUAGAGUCUGGAGAGGGUCGUGUAUACAAAACCUUAUCCCUACAUUGUGAAGAUAGAGAGACGGUUUCAAAUAGACCCUCAGGUCAAGUAAUUGUUCUUAUUAUGCAACACUAUUGCUGACUUCAUAGUUAAUCUUGUAUUAAAAAAAGAGAAUCAAAUAUACUCUCCAUUGAUUUUUCUUGUUUUCUAUUUCCAAACAGAGUGAUAAAGAGGGCUAAUGUCAUGCUGAGUGAUUUUCCCCACAUGGCCAACUGAGGCGAAGCUAGCAAAAGCUGUAGUAUAAGUAAUGGACUGGGCUAUCAAAGAAACAUACUUAUCUGGACGGGGUGAUCAAUAAGACCUAUGGCCUAGGCUGGUGACUUCCAUUGCACUUUGGAAGGGUGGAAGCCUAAGGUCGGCCCAAGUGGGCGUUGGUCCCAUUCAGGUGUUUGUUUGGAAUGAAUUUUCUUUGCAAAUAGAAGUUUGAAUAGACUAUUGAGUCUAGGGAUGUUAAAUGAGUUUGGUUGAAUUUCGAAUCUUACCAAUAUUAAUCUUAAAGAUUUUGGUCACAUCCAAGAGUUUUUGUUAGGUAUGAAUUUUUGUGCAAAUAGAAUUCUGAACAGACUAUUGAGUCGACAGUUGUUAAAAGGGUUGGGUUGAAUUUGAGUAGGAUUGUUAAAUGAAAUGGGUUGAAUUUCGAACCCAAGUUCAACCCCUACCAAUAUUAACCUUAAAGAUUUUGGUCCCAUAUGGUUGUUAGGUAUGAAUUUCUAUGCAAAUAGAAUUCUGAAUAGACUAGUGAGUCUUAGGGACGUUAAAUGGGUUGGGUUGAAUUUGAGUAUGAUUAGAAGUGUCAAAUGAACGUGAAUAUCAACUAGAGGUGUUAACAGGUGGGUCGGAUUGAAUUAGAGCAUAGUUGAGAAUUGAGAUAAUAAAUGGGCCAUAAGGUCCCAUAAUAAAUUUCAAGAGUUUGUUGGUAUGAAUUUCACCUAUAAAAUAGAAUAUGAUUAGGAGUGUUACAUGGGUGAAUUGGUUUGAAUUUGAGUAUGUCAAAACAAGUUGAGUUAAUAAUUGAUUCACCCAAGUAAUUGAUCUCUCCAAUCAUUAUCAUGGCUAAAAAUUGGGUCAUAACAUAACUCGUUUAAUUCUUACUAUAUUUUAAUUUCUUAAUUUGUUUUCUUAUACUUUGUUCGAGUACCUACUAGAAAAAUCUUCCUUAUAUUAUGACUUAUAACAUAUUAAAUAAAAAAUAUUUUUUUAAAAAAUAUUUAGAUAGUUUCUCGAGUCUAUCUGGGCUGAAUAUUAGCGCAAUUUUAAAAUGAACUAAAUUAAGCUGGGUCAAAAUGGACCGAGUUAAUUAAAUGAAUAGAUCGUAAAUUCACUCAAAUCUAAACAAACUGAAUAUAUCAUGAUUUUAUGGGUUGAUUUUGUCAUGCUCUAUUUUACUUUUGUCAAAUUUUGUUCGCCUGUAAGAUUGUGUUAAGGCUUAAGUUCUCUAUGGCACCUUGAAGUUGUCCGCUUAAUUUACUUAGACACCUCAACUAGAACGUAUACCUAUUGAACACCUCUACCCUCUCGAAUUUGAACCACUUAAACACUUUAUGCAGACGUGACACAAAAAGUGUAAUUCAUACCUUGGUGUGCACGUGAAACCAAUAUUUUUACAUUCUCUCUUUUCCUUUUCAAUUUUUUCUCAUUAUUUGUUUUUUAAAAAUAACAAUCGUUGUCUCUUUGCAGAUGCAGAGCUGCUCCUGUCAUUUUUUUUCACACGACUUGUUGUAACCACUUCUUCACCACAAUCCAAUUUGUUUUUUUACAAAUUUUUUUCUUUUUUAAAAAUAAAAAUAAAAAUUCUUAUCAUUGUACUAUUAAUUUUGCAGAUGUAGAACUACUCCCGUUAUUUUUUUCUGAAAAAAAAAUGGAGAUUACCAUCCACAGUUUUUUGUCAAAAAAAAUGGAGAUUAUUAUCUACGUCUUCUUUGUCGAAAAAAUAGAGACCACCAUCCACAUCUACUUUGCCUGAAAAAAUAGAGAUCAUUAUUCAAAUAUUUUCUCUCUCUUCACCUCUCCCCCACGUCCCUUCUUCCCCAUAAAUCGAAGCACAAAUAGAAAAAAAAAAUCAUAAUCAAAAUAAAUAAAGAAAGAAUAUAUCUUUUAAGAAAACACUAUUAAUUUAAAUGUGAAUAAGAAAGAAGGCAUAUAGAGAAAUAAAAAUGAUAAAAUCCAUACAUAAUAUGGAGAAUUAACAAUGGUGAACAAGAGUGAGCGUGUAUAAUUUCUAUUUAUUUAGUUGAAAGUCUUUUUUUUUUUUAGAUUUGAACUUGUUUAUAUGCAAAAUUCAUUUUUAUAAUGAUUUUAAAUUAAAAUGGCACAUGUCUUCUUUGCCACAUCAUAUACAUGUGUAUUACACACUUCCUCUUUUAACUAAGGGUCAUGAAAAUGUUCAAUACGUAUUUAUUUUUCACCAUUAAAGUGACUAAUAUGCGGAUAACUUUAAGAGGUCAGACUUAAGCCUUUUGUUAAUUUGAGAUUUACUCUUAUUUACUAAUUGAGCAAUUAGUAUAGUAACGACUUAAUGGUUAUCUUAUCUAUCAUUUUGGAUGAUUUGCAUAGAAAAUAUAGACUAUGAAACAUUGUACGUGAUUUGCCAAGAAUACACGAAUAUAAUUUAUUUAAAAGAGUUCUCAUAUUUAACGUAAUUAUCUUGAAUAUAUUUAUAUUCACAUUAUUAACAUGAAAGAGAUAUUGAUUGACCUAGCUAACCAACUUAUUUUCCUCUUGAAAGUCAUCACUGUGUUUUAUUUGCUUUUUUUAUUUUAUUUCACGUGAUAUUAUUUCUUUAUGGGAAAAUUAUGAAUCCAUCCAAAAAGAUUAACGUAUUUCAAUGCAUUUUAUUCUAUCCUUAAUGAGAAGCUUUGAUAGAUAUACAAAUUUUAUUUCUUCUUCUUUUUAAACUUCAUGACAAAUCAAUUCCGUAACUGAAACAAAAGGAGUAUGAUAACUUAAAAAUGGAUUUAAACGUUAGAAAUUUUAGUGUUUAUCUAAUUGUAUCAUAUAAUCAGAGGCGGAGCCAGGAUUUCAGACUUGUGGGUUCUAAAUUUAAAAAAAAAUAACGAUCUUAAAAAUCACAAAACACAAAUUAUGUUAAUGAGAUGUUUGUCAUGUUUGAAAACAUUACCUUAGAUAUUGUUAUUCUAAAAACUUAUUUUAAUAAUAUGAAGAUUUGAGUAAUUUAAUUUAAAGUUCUAAAAUAUUGUUAAUGAAAGAUGAAUAAUUUUUUAAAUAUAAUUCUUGAAUAUUUUCCCCCAAACACCUCCACCCCCAGGGGCAGACCCACAAGAAGUUACAAGCAGAGGCGGAGCCAGGAUUUCAGACUUGUGGGUUCUAAAUUUAAAAAAAAAUAACGAUCUUAAAAAUCACAAAACACAAAUUAUGUUAAUGAGAUGUUUGUCAUGUUUGAAAUCAUUACCUUUUAAUAAUAUGAAGAUUUGAGUAAUUUAAUUUAAAGUUCUAAAAUAUUGUUAAUGAAAGAUGAAUAAUUUUUUAAAUAUAAUUCUUGAAUAUUUUUAUUAUAAUAUAAAAUACUAUUUUAAGUGAGAAAAAAAUAUUUAAUUCACCAUUAAUAUUUUCGCACCUAAAAUAUAUAUUUUACUAGUUUCAUUGUGACCUUGAACUAUUACUACCUUCAAAAGUUAUAAUGUUGAAAAGCAAAUAACAAUUAUUCACUAUAAUCAAUUAUCAAUAUGUGGGAUAACCUUAGAAAAUAUUAAAAAUUGAUUUUUGAAUAGAUAAUUCUACGGUGUAAAAGCAAACAAAUAAAAAAAAUGAAAAAGGAGAAGUGAGAGUACAUAGUACAUAUCGAAGGCAGAGGUCGGAUGAUAGCAAUCAGAUCAACAAUAAAAGUUAGAAUCCUAACUUUUGAAAAUAAAUUUGGGCUAAAAUUUUUGAAUAGAAAUCAAUGAAAUUAUAUUUGGGUUAAAUUUUUUGAAUAUCUGAGUAGAAAUCAAUAGUUAGCUAUUGUUUUAAAGUAUGAUCCAAACACUUUUUUUUAUUAUCAUUAACCGUUUUUCUGUUUUUUUUUUUAUAUAUAUAAAUUAUCAUUUGCCAAUUUUCUACUUUUUAUAAAAACAAAAAUCCAAUGUUUUUAUCUGAAAUUAAUUCCAAAAACUUAGUGCCGUGAGCAGGUUUCGAACCCAUGAUCAUUAACCGUUUUUCUGUUUUUUUUUUUUUAUAUAUGUAUAAAUUAUCAUUUGCCAAUUUUCUAUACCGGUUUUCUAUUGUUUUUAAAAAAAUAUAUAAAUUAUCAUUUGCCAAUUUUCUAUUUUUUAUAAAAACAAAAAUCCAAUGCUUUUAUCUGAAAUUAAUUCCAAAAACUUGGUGCCGUGAGCAGGUUUCAAACCCAUGGCGCGUGUAUUGAAUGAUUUCACUGGGUGCGGGGAGACCACUGGGCCACCCGACUCAUUGUGUUAGAGGAUUCACAGGAAAUUUAUAUGUACGUUUUAUUUGAUAAAAUCUACGGAAAAGUCAGUGGGUUCUCCCGAAACCCCUUCCGCUACAGUAGCUUCACCCCUGCAUAUAAUCGACAAGUGCCAAUUAUUGGGUACCAAUUUACAACAUUUUCUUAUCAUUUUACUUUAUGAAUAGUGAUCGCAAUUAUUCUAAGUACGUCUACUAUCUUGUCAGAUAAAUAGUAUGGUAAAGCAAAGAAACUUGUUUUGUGGACGUAAUUUAUCAUUAACGCCGACAAUAUUAAUAAGCAUUGAAAAUGUUGAGCUAACCUAAGUAUAUUAACUAUACAAGCAAACGAGGGUUGAAGUUUCAAAAAGAAAAAUCAAAGCUCAUACCUAAUUGACACACACAUAACAUGUAGCUGGAGGCCAUAGCUGCCGCGUGGAACCAAAAUUUGAACUUUAUAGGUUCUAAAUUUUAGGAUAACAACCCUCGGGUAUUGGUAAUUGAUUUUUGAAGGGUAAUUAGGACAAAAAUAAUUUAGUUGCGCACUGAAUAAACAGUACCAAGUUAAAUGGUUAUGAGGUAAUGAGAAGCAAUAUAACAUUAUAAAUAAGAGCUUCCGUCACAUAAUUUAUAGCAAACUCACUAAAAAAAGUAUAGGAGAGAUGGAAUGGGAAUGGAGUUAUCUGUGUUUUUCUUCAAUCAUCUUAUUACCAGUUUUGAUCCUAUUUUUUUCUCAGAAAAAGACUACAAAAUGUUCUUACAAAUUACCUCCAGGACCACCUGGAUUACCAUUUUUUGGUAACAUGUUUGAACUAGGAACAGAGCCCUACAAAAGAAUGGCAGCUCUAAAACAGAAAUAUGGCCCUGUAUUGUGGUUAAAACUUGGCACCUCAACCAACAUUAUGGUUGUUCAAACAGCUCCGGCUGCUGCAGAAUUAUUUAAGAACCAUGAUACUUCCUUUGCGGAUCGAUUCAUACCUGAUGUAAAUCAGGCACAUAGUUACUAUCAAGGGUCCUUGGCCAUAGGCCGAUAUGGCUCAUUUUGGCGCUUUCAGAGACGGAUAUGUACUGUGGAAAUGUUUGUACACAAAAGAAUCAGUGAAACAGUGCCAGUAAGGCGAAGAUGUGUGGAUAAUAUGUUAAAAUGGAUAGAGAAAGAAGCGAAUUCAGCUGAAAAAGGAAGUGGGAUUGAGGUAACACGUUUUGUGUUCCUAGCAUCGUUUAAUAUGCUAGGGAAUUUGAUUCUGUCGAAAGACUUGGCUGAUCCAGAAUCCGAGGAAGCCUCGGAUUUCUUCAAUGCCAUGAAGAGAAUCAUGGAGUGGUCAGGUAUUGCUAAUGUUUCUGACAUAUUUCCAUUUCUUAGAAAGUUUGAUUUUCAAAAAUUGAGGAAGAAGAUGGCACGAGACAUGGGGAAGGCCAUUGAGAUCAUGUCUAUGUUUCUCAAGGAACGCGAGGAAGAGCGAAAGAAGGGUGCGGAGAAGGGGAAAGAUUUCUUGGAUGUGUUGCUUGAAUUUGAAGGCACUGGAAAAGAUGAGCCAGCUAAAUUAUCAGAACAUGAGAUCAAAGUAUUAAUAGUGGUAAGGUUUUUUAAAAAAAAUCUCUACACUUAUCUUUUCAACAUCAAUGAUUUUCUUUUCAAUUAGUUGUAUCUGGAGCAGAAAAAUGUGUUCUGCUUAGGGAAUAUUUUAUGCUCCUCAGGCCUCAGUCUUCACUCAACAAUCUUCAUUCCUUGUCUUUUACUACUAUUGCUCACUUUAAUUAUGAGGACUAAUUUGAUUGAAAAGUUAAUGUAAGUUCUUUUGAGAUCUUUACACAAAUAGCCGGCUGGGUUCACUGUUUCACUUUUCCUAUCUGGUAUACAUAUACUAUACACUGAUUAUAUACGGUUCUGCAUCAGGAAAUGUUUUUGGCCGGUUCAGAGACGACGAGCAGCAGCGUAGAAUGGGCACUAACAGAGCUCUUGCGCCAUCCAGAAGCAAUGGACAAAGUGAAAACAGAGAUAUCAAAAGUAAUAGGACCAAACAGCAAGUUUGAAGAAAGUGACAUCGAAAACCUUCCUUAUAUGCAAGCUGUAAUCAAAGAAUCGCUUCGUUUACAUCCUCCUCUGCCUUUCUUGCUCCCAAGAGAGACAAUUCAAGACACAAAGUUCAUGGGGUACGACAUACCAAAAGGAACUCGAGUUCUGGUGAACACCUGGGCUAUUGGAAGAGAUCCUGAAUGUUGGGACGACCCUAUGAGUUUCAAGCCCGAGAGGUUUCUUGGCUCAAAAAUAGACGUGAAGGGUCAGCAUUAUGAGCUAAUUCCAUUUGGUGCAGGACGGAGGAUGUGUGUUGGCUUGCCUUUAGGCCAUCGAAUGAUGCAUUUUGCUCUGGGAUCAUUGCUUCAUGAAUUCGAUUGGGAGCUUCCUAAUGGUGUCUCUCCUAAAUCUAUCAAUAUGGAUGAAAGCAUGGGUGCAACAGCCAGAAAACGUGACUCUUUGAAAGUAAUACCAAAAAAGGCUUUAGAACUCAUCAAUCUUUUCGAGCCAACAAGUAUGUCUUUAUAAUUAUGUAUGCAUUUUUUUUGCAUAUGUUCCUUAUAAUAAGUAUUUGCAAUCUUAGUAGCUCAGUUGGUUGACCACCUAAAAUUUAACCUUGUUGGUGAAUGUUCGAUUCCCCACCCUACCCCAUUUUAAAAAAAUGUAUUUGUAAUGCUAACUGGAGUUUCUUUAGUACAAUAUUUAUAGUAUGUAUCUAGAUCUUUGUCAACAAGAUUGUAAUUUGGAGAAAUUCAUGUGUGAUAAAUGUAAUACUUAAAAUCAAUUUUAGCUUGAAUAGUCUUUACGAAGUUGCUUAUGAAUCAAACUUUGAAUGUCUUUUUGAAGUCUCGCAUGCUUUUUUGAUGGUUAGGUGUGUCACACCCCUUUUUCGCACACGGUUGCGGAAGGGUUUUUCCAAUUAAAGUGACGCUAUUGAUUAAGAGAUUAUUUUAUUUUCGUUUUAGAGUCGCCACUUGGAAUUGAGUUAUGGUGUUCCAAGUCACCUUUUGUUUAAUCCUUAAUCAAAAGGAAAUGACUCUUUAUAUGGUUUGCGAACUAGAAAUUCGGGUAAGGAAUUCUGUUGACCGAGGGGAAGGUAUUAGGCAUCCCUCGAGUCCCGUGGUUCUAGCACGGUCGCUUUUAUUGACUUCUACCUACUUUAAAUCAUUUGUGGAUAUAUUAUUUUCAGGUCAUGACUUGUUUGCAUUUUUAUUGUUGAACUUUUAUUUGGUCUCAAAUCGGAUGCAUAACUGCAUUCUCGACUUUUGACAUAUAAAUACCUUAUGAACAUAAUUGUUUUCUUCUCUCGAGUGCAUCACCUAAUUUUAUCUAUAAGUGAUCUUAUUUUAAAUUAAUGAAAGUUAUUAUAUUUUUGGACAAGGUGCGUCACCGCAUCCUUGAGUUUUUUUUUAAUGUUUCAAAAAAGAUGUGUAACCACAUUUUUAAUUGAAACAAAUAUUAUUUUUUAUAUGCCUAAAACCCAUCUAAUGUUAUAAGAAAAUAUUAAAUAAAAUNNNNNNNNNNNNNNNNNNNNNNNNNNNNNNNNNNNNNNNNNNNNNNNNNNNNNNNNNNNNNNNNNNNNNNNNNNNNNNNNNNNNNNNNNNNNNNNNNNNNNNNNNNNNNNNNNNNNNNNNNNNNNNNNNNNNNNNNNNNNNNNNNNNNNNNNNNNNNNNNNNNNNNNNNNNNNNNNNNNNNNNNNNNNNNNNNNNNNNNNNNNNNNNNNNNNNNNNNNNNNNNNNNNNNNNNNNNNNNNNNNNNNNNNNNNNNNNNNNNNNNNNNNNNNNNNNNNNNNNNNNNNNNNNNNNNNUUUUUAUUAAUCCAACAAAACAAUGACGAAUUGCUAAAAUAAAUCUCAUUCUUUAUUUAAUAAAUAAAACAACAAUAAUUUUGUGAACCCAAUAAUUCCUACUUUAUCAUUAUUAGCAUCGAAAUCAAGAAAUGAACAACAUCAUGACCCAUUCAUUUUAAGACAUCACAACUAAUGAACGAAAAUAGAUAAAUAAAAAUAACCACCAAUAAAGUUACUUUCAUUCAUUAAAGAGAUAUAACACUUAACACAUUCUUCAUUUUAAUCAAAUUAUGAAUAAAAUAAAAGUGUAAGAAAACUUAUCAUAAUAAUUACAUCAAAUUCCAUAAAUAAAUUAAAUAAAAAGAUAAAGUAAAGUUGAAUACCGCAAAAUCUUAACCGAAGCUCGAUUAGAACACCCACAACUUUUGUAGGUUGUUUGUGAUGGUAUAUGUGUUUGUGUUGAUAUGAAAAAAAAUGGGUAAGGAAGAAAAGAUGUGAAUGUGUUGGUGAAUUUUUAAAAGAAGAAUCCAACAAGGAUGUGUAUUUUUUGGUUUCUUUGUAUUUGCAGAUUGUGCUUUUUCUUGUUUCCUUUUUUCUGUUUUUUUUUUGUCUCUCCCUGUAUGUGUAUAUGGUGUUGUCUAUAUAUGGGAAAUGUAGGUGUAGUAGUGUGUAGAUGUGUGUGUAGACAGUAGUGGUGUAGUGGUGUAGUGUGUAGACGUGUGAGUAUGUGUGUAUAGUGGGGGGGAUUAUGGUGUAGUGAGGUGAAAUGGGGUUGUGGGGUAGUGUAGAUAUAUAUAAAUAUAAAAUAUAAUAAUUAAAAAUAUUAACUAAUUAUUCUUAAUUAAUAUAAAUAUAUAUAUAAAAAAAAAGCUAGUUAAAAAAUAAUUAAGAAACACUAGUUUAUUUUAUUAAAUAUACAUUAAAAUAAAACGUAUGUUUUUUGUAGUUUCCUAAUCUUUUAAAAUAAACUUACUAAAAUACGAUGAAAAAAAUAAAAAUAAAAUAAAAAAAAUAUUUGAUUUAUAUAAAAAAGCAAUAUUCAUGUACUAAAAAAAAGGUGUAAUACCUUAAGUUCGGUCAAAAAUUACGUGUCUACAAGGUGUGUGGGCAAGUUAUGUUGAUGUUGGCACCUGGGCUUCUGGAACCACCCUCCAUUCUGGAGCCAGAGGGUUCUGAGUAACCUCAAUCUCACAUUUAAAGAAGUGAUUAUCUAUCUUGAAAAAAUCCUUGUCGUCUACACUAGGAUUUUUUUUUAAUUUUGUUCCUAUAAGAUAUGAAUUAUUGAAGGCUAGCAAGUCUUUUUGGUUUUCAACUUCAAAGAGAUCUAGAGAAAUACAAUAUCGUAAACUCCAUUUUUAUGCAAUAGCUCGCAAACCACACAAAAUCGGUAAACUGCACUACACAAGCCCCGUUCAACUAGCUCGACCCAGUAGACAAACCCUCUACUCUUGCAGACAAGGGAUUUCGAAUUUGAGACCUUCAUUAUGGAUGUCCCAAGCCAAACCAUCUAAGCAAGGCAAUAUUAUAUCCCAUAACCAACAUAAUAUUAUAUUUGGAAAUCAUGUCUCCUUUGUAAGCAAUAAGAAAUUGUUGGAUUGGUACAAGUCGUAUGUCGCUCUAUGUGGACAAACUAACAUGUUGUAUUCUAGGUGUUUUGAUGAUCCUCACAAAUGCAGGGACCCGAUCCCUGGCAGAGUGCUCUCAUCCAAGUUCAAAAUGGUGUACAGUUGUAAAGUUGUUUCACCAACCGUACUUCACCAAUAGGAAGGGCGGACGAGGUUGUUUGUUUUAGUGGUCAAAACUCGUGUUGGUGAUUGAUAUAUACAACAAUAAACAAACAACAUUAAUCAUUCAAAAAGAGAGAGAGCUAAGCAAGUCUUUUCAAGAACUCAAGCAUCAAAGAACACACUGCAAGGGACCUGGUCCCGGAAAGACUGCGUACGUGAAACAGACAAAAAAACAGCUGUCAAAAAGUUGUCAACUCUUAUAUGGUUGGUGCACGUCUUUUUAGAGAAGCAAGCUCUUUGGCAAUGAUGUCGUCCUCAGGGGUUUGGGUCCAUUUGAUAUAGUCUCUUCUCAAAAGACACAAACUCAAGAUUUGACAAACAAAGUAAAAUUUCUGAAAAUUCAUAAGCUCACAAAGAAGAAGUCAUCUUCAAGGAUGAACAUUGUUCAUACUCAACAAAGGACCUAAUGAAGUGCUGAAGCGUCGUUGUUGUAUUUUUGAGCUUUGUGUUUUAUGUUCUUAUAUUGUAAAUCUAUUCCUAAGUUAUAAAGGCUAGUAGAUCAGUUGCUUGUCUAAGUCUUUAAUUUGAGUCGUAUUAACUAGAGCUAGUUAGUUGAAUCAUCUACGUUUUUAGUCAAGCCUUUUUGCAUCAUUGUUUUGAUGUUCUCUUGGGUAGAGUUGCCUAGGAAUGUCAACAAGAGUUAGUUGAUGUGUGGUGCAGCAGAGUUGCUGCUUGUUUAUGCUCUUAUCAUCGAGAUCAGAGUUGGUGGUUAGCCUUGUUGGGUUCUUAAAGUCUAGAUCAAUUAGAGUUAAUUGGUUUAGUGGGAAAUACAGUUAUUGCUUAGUUUCCUUUGUUGUAGAGUUGCUACCGUAAGGGGGAAGGGAUUAAAGAGAUUUAAUUCCUAAGUUGCAAGAGUUUGUAAUCUGAAACUUUGCUCCGUUUGAGUGAUGGAGUUUGGGUUGAAAUCCUGUGAGUACAGGUCGUGGUUUUCACCGCCCUUGAGCAAGGGGUUUCCACGUAAAAUCCUUGUGCUUGAUUUACUUUGAGUUAUCUAUUUUCCGCACUAAUAUUAUGUCGAGGGACUGGUCCAAUGAUCACUGGUGGACGCAUCCAUUCUAACAUAACCCUUUAUGAAAGAAAUAAAAUACAAAAACACAUACUCUCUUCUUUUCUUUUAAUAACUAUGGUAUCUGAGCCAACUUAUGCGCACCUCGACUAAUUCCACAGAAUACAUGUCACCUCCUCCCAACAAUAUGAACCAAGUAACUCUGUCCACCUAGGACAAUUGGAAAGAAAUCACGUAGUGAUUUUGUCUAUGCUAGGAUUGAACCCGAGAGAUCAUGAAACUAUCAGUUUCCAAGAUAAACGUAGUCAGCUUGAAGCAAUUUCUUUUUCGACACAGAUUCUACAAGACUUCAACUACUAUUACCAUGUACGUAAUCGUUGUUCAUGCUACUGUUUAGUUCUCAGAAAUUGGAAGAUUUCAGUCUUUCCAAUUUCUUCUUCUACAUAAAUCUUGAUUAGGAAGAGGAAAUGGAAAUAUCAUAGUAGACAAUGAUCUUCUAGGUUUUCUUUUUUGGGUAAUAAUGAAGUUCUAGCUAGUAAAGAUAGUAAGAACAACAAUAUACCCCUACCUCAUGGAAGUAGAGAAAUUAUUUCCGAAAGACCCCCAACUCAGGCACCGCAUAUCAAAGAAAGGAAGUCAAAACAAAUACUAGAAAAAAACAUUGCAUAGCAUGGAGGAAAAAGGAACCGUAACAACAGCAAAAGUAAAGAUAGCAAGUAAAAUUUGCAUAAAUCCAAAAGCACACCCUCUCUAAACCUCCGAGAAAAUGAUCAAAAUGGUCCUUAAUGUAUGGGUUUGAUUCCAUUUUGGUCCUUAAUAUAUGAACUUGAUGGAAAUUGUCCUUUAUGUAUCAUAAAUUGUGAUCAAUUUGGUUCUUAACCCUAAAAUUAAUAUAUUUCUUUUUUUUUUGUCCGUCAAAAUACACGGAAUAUGUAAAAGAUGCGCUCGUUCAAGACUUUCCUUCCCUUGUUUCCAAAAAUUCCAAAAGGGCACAUCUAAUUUUUUUUAACCAAAGGUCAAAAUCGCUCCUGACAGAGCGAUUUUCUUCUGACAAAAUUGACGCCAUUACUCCUUUAAAAAACAUAAAAAUCGCUGCCGGUCCAAAAAAAAAUUUCUUUUUUCUUUAAAAUCGCUAGUGUGAAAUUUUUUUAUCAACGCUACCCCAGCAGCGUUUAAAAAAUAGAAAUAGCUGCUAUAGCAGCCAUUUUCUUUAAAAAGUUUAAUUUUUUUUUUUGUUAAAAAUUCCCAAGGCGAGGACUUCUUAAAAAAAUAAUGGAAAAUCGCUCCACAUGUAGCGAUUUUAGUUUAAAUUUUUUUUUUAAAUAAUCGCUGCCAAAGCAGCGAUUUCAGUAAGAAUUUUUAUUAUUAUUUUCCAAUUGUUGCUAGCAAUCAAAAUGUAUACAAUAAAAAAUUAUAAAGUAACUCAAUUGGGAAAUUAGCGAUUUCCCAUUAUUUUUUUAAGCAGUCCUCGCCUCGGAAAUUUUUAAUAAAAAAAAAUUUAAACUUUUUUAAGAAAAUGACUACUAUAACAGCUAUUUCUAUUUUUUAAACUUGUUAAAAAAUAAAUCACAGCAGCGAUUUUAAAGAAAAAAGAAAAAAAAAAUUGUAUCGACAGCGAUUUUUAUGUUUUUUAAAGGAGUAACGGCGUCAAUUUUGUUAGAAGAAAAUCGCUCCGUCAGGAGCGAUUUUGCCCUUUUGGUUAACCACAUUUUGAUGUGCCCUUUUGGAAUUUUUGGAAACAGGGGAAGGAAAGUCUUGAACGAGCACAUCUUUUACAUAUUCCGUGUAUUUUGAUGGCAAAAAAAUAUAUAUAUAUUAAUUUUAGGGUUAAGGACCAAAUUGAUCACAAUUUAUAAUACAUAAAGGACCAUUUUCAUGAAGUUCAUAUAUUAAGGACCAAAUGGAAUCAAAGCCCAUACAUUAGGGACCAUUUUGAUCAUUUUCCCCUAAACCUCCCCACAAUAACUUCCAUUUUAUGCAGAAGAAAACUAAACUACUCUUGAGUAUUUAUAUAGAGAAGAUCAUUGUCACUGUCAGAUGAGAAACCAUACAAAAACUAUAACAAUUAAUGCAAAAUAUUAAUCUGUUAGACCAUUAUCACAUCACAAAAUUUGUUUAUCACCAAAAACUUAGCGAAAUAACAAAGGAUCAAAAUAAAAUAUAAUGUAAACAGAAAUAUAGUCUUUAGAUUCAAAAUUGAGACUCACAGUGCUGGUGUGGUAGUUUCCUCUUUUCUACGCAGCAUUUAAUCAGAUGACUCGCGCAUAUUCCUUCACCAAAUUCCACAUUACAGCAAACAAAUUUCAAAUUAGGAUGAAAAAAGAAGCAGUGAUAAAUAUACCGAUCAACAAAUUGGGCAGAUUAACUGCAAAUUCCAAAUAUGACACACUAAUUCUCAUAUACAUACUGAUCGUAGAAGUUCGCCGCCAGCGGAGAGGAUGUUCGAGGAGGAGCAAUUAGCGCCACCGCAGGCGAAAGUGAAUCAGCGGUGAUAGGCCAUGACUUAGGGCUCGAUAAAUCUCCAUCGCCAUUUCCCCAAUUUUCCUCUUAUGUGAAGAAGAAGGGGAAAAUUACUUGUGAAUUGCAAAAAGGAGAAAAGAAGAGGGAAAAGGGUGGGUCGGGUUUGAGUGAAAAUUUCGCGGGUUAAUCCUUUUUGGACAAUAUUUUAAUAAUAAAUGAUACUCCCUCCAUUUUACUUUGUUUAUUUUGUUUUGAUUUAAGACAAGAAUUUUUUAAAAAAUUUUGUGAUUAUAAACUCUAUAUACAAAAACUAAAAAUAUAGGAUAAAUUAAUCAAAACGAAAGAUUAUACUGUAUUUAAUUAUUCAAAAGCCAAAAACGAAUUAUAUUACAUCUUCAAGAGCUAAAAAAAAAUAACCUUCAAAUUAAUUUAAAGCUUCUGACACCAACAAGGAUUGUGGUGAAGUGGUAAGUAUUCAUUCAUUCUUAACCAAGAGGUCUCGGGUUCGAGCCCCCUUGGAUACGGAGUCGUCUUUGUUAGGGAGCGUUUUACCACCCAAUGUGGGACUUUCCGACGCAAAUUCAAAUUUAGUCGGGCUCCAAUGUGAAUAUCAAACACCGAGUGGGAAACCAAAAAAAAUAAUUCAAACCUUGUGUCACAUCAUAUAGAGCCUAUUUUAACAGCUCUAUAAUCUAUACGAAAACAUUGACUUUGUCAUCCCUUUUAAUUGUGUCACACACCCAUAAAUAAUACUGAUUGAAAAUUGUCCAAAACACAAUAUAUUAUUAUGGACCGAUCACAUGGGCAAAUCCCAAGGAAGACGUAUCUCAUAUUAUCCUUAAUAUUAAAUAACUAUAUACUUCCUCUUGUCUAAUUUUUUUUUUUACUUAUCUUUUUUACAAAUUAAGAAAUGAUAAUAUUUUUAUCUAUUAUAUUUUUAAUUUAUUAACAUUAAGUAAUGUUAUGAAAAAUAUAAUGAUUAGAGAUAUUUGAAAUCUUAUCAAUUAAUAGAGAUAAAAUAAUAAACUCUCUAUAGCAAUCAAUAUUUUCUUAAUAGGUAUAUUAAGUCGAAGUUUGUCAAGUAAAAAGAAAAAGAGGGAAUAACAUAAUAAUAGUCAAAUUUAAAAUUCUAAGACAUGAAAAAAUAAUUUAACAAUAUACACUUCUAAGUACGUUUUAAAAAAUUAUAUAUAAGUCGAAUCAAUAUGAAUUAAGUAAUACUCCUAUAAAAUUGAACAAUAAUAGAUACUACUCCAUAGCUUUUAAGUUAACAAUUAACUGUACUAAUAAGUCCAUGGGAAUCCAUAUGUAACAUGAGUUAAAAUUUAAUUCUAACAAUUUUUUUACUUAAAAAAGGAACUGCAUGCAUAAAGUGGAAAUAUAUUAUUGAGUUUGCCAAUAACACGCGAAUAUAAUUAUUUAAAAGAGUUCUUAUCUUUGACGUAGUAAUUAAUUAUACUUGAGCAUGUUUUAAUCACGUAAUUAACAUUAAAGAGACACUGUUUGACCCUGCCGAUCAACUUAUUUUACUCUUUUUUACCCUCGAAAGUUAUUAUUAUUCGUUCAUUUAAAAAAAGAUGAAAUAUUUUCUAUGUAAAAUAAUUUUAUUUUAUUUUUUUUGUUUAACUUUAAUAAGAAGCUUUAAUAGCUACACAAAUCUUAUAUAUUCUUAAGGCCAUAAAUUUUUAACAUUCUUUACUUUUGUUUAAUUUCAUAAUAAAUUAAAUUACGUCAUAUAAAUAUGAAACGAAAGAAGGUAUGUCACCAACAUGGGUUGUGGUGCACUGGUGGGAGUGCUUCACCCUUAACCAGAGGUUUCGGGUUCGAGCCCUGGUAUGGAGAAAAUCAUGUUGGGAGCGUCACCCUCGAAUGGGCCCUGCAAAGUGCAAUUUGGAUUUAGUCGGAGCUCCAAUGUGGACUCUGGACACCGGAUGGGAAAAAAAAAAGAAAAAAAGGUAUGUCAAGUAAAAAUGGAUUCGAACUGAAGAAAUUUUAUGGUUUAACUUCUAUCAUAUCAAUUUCAACGGGCCAACUGGAUAGCAAUUUUUUCAACAUUUUAUUAAUUAUUAUUUUACUUAGUAAUCUCAAUUAUUUUGUCACAAACAAAAAAAUAUUGUGUAUCAUUUAGUGGACAUAAUUUAUCAUUAACUUGAUAUUAUUGAGUCAUUAAAAAUGUUAAUCCCAACCUAAUAAUACAAGUCAAAUGGGCCACAAGUUUAAUUUAAAAAGAAAAAUCAAAAGUCAUUAUCUAGUUGACAUAGACAUGACACUCGUUCGGUUCGAAUUUACUACAUAUAUUUAUAAAAUAAAAUUAAAAUAAUAAGUUUACUAUUUUAUCUUUAUGUUAAUAAUUUGAGAGUAUAAUAGAAAAAAAAAAUUCUUUCUCAAUUCGUCAAAAAUAACAAGUAAAAGUAGAACCCCUAUUUGACAAGUAAAUUCGAUCGGAAGGAGCAUAUGGCUAGAGAGGUGGACAUGAUGCCAAUAUUUGAACUUUUAUCUAUUAUAUUCAAUACACAUUUGUCAAUUGUCAUUGAUUAUUGUCAUUUUUUAACACCCCACUUCACGAUAAGUGCUUAGCAUCUGGUGCGUGAACGAGUCUUUUGAACUUUUAUCUUGCUCUAAUAUCAUGUGAAAUUAGGUAUUAUGCCUAACUUAACCCCCAAAAGCGAGCUCAAGGGAGUAUUGCCCAAGACUUAUACAGAGUUCACCCAUCUCAUUAAUCAUUAAUGUGAGACUUUUGUCAUUUUCUUGACAUUAGUUUUCCUAAUUACUCCUUAUAUUCGACUAUUUUGCUAUAUUAGUGCCCACUCAUUCGGGGUAAAGGUUAUCAAAUUAUUAGAGUUGUCAAUAUAAGUCAGUUCAAUUGGGACUGCAAGACUGCAACCCACUUAGAGGGUUCGGUUGGCUGUUUUAAGGGUCCUUUAAAUGAGGGGUUAGUCCCACUUGACCCGUUAAAUUUCAAAAUCUAUGUAGGUUGAGCCGACACAAUAUAAAAUUCAGGAUCCAUUGAAUAAACAAUUCCAAGUUAAAAGGGUUAUGAGAUAGGUGAAAUCAUUUAAUAGAACUUUAUCUAUCAGACCAUGUUUCAAAAAUAAAUAAUUAUAAAUAAGAGCUUAUCAUUACACAAUUUACAGCAAACCAGUAAAGUCAACCAAAAAAAAAAUGGAAUGGGAAUGGAGCUAUCUGUUUUUCUCUGCAAUCAUCUUGUUACCAGUUUUGAUCCUAUUUUUUUCUCAGAAAAAGAGUACUAAAUGUUCUUACAAAUUACCUCCAGGACCACCUGGAUUACCAAUUUUUGGUAACAUGUUUGAACUAGGAAAAGAGCCUUACAAAAAAAUGUCAGUUCUACAACAGAAAUAUGGCCCUGUUUUGGGGUUAAAACUUGGCCCCUCAACAAACAUUAUGGUUGUUCAAACAGCUCAUGCUGCUGCAGAAUUAUUUAAGAACCAUGAUACUUCCUUCGCAGAUCGACCAAUGGUCGAUGUAAAUCUGGCACAUAAUUACUAUCAAGGGUCUCUGGCUAUAGGCCGAUAUGGCUCCUUUUGGCGAUUUCAAAGGCGGAUAUGUACUGUGGAAAUGUUUGUACACAAAAAAAUCAGUGAAACAGUUCCAAUAAGGCGAAAAUGUGUGGAUAAUAUGUUAAAAUGGAUAGAGAAAGCAGGGAGUUCUGCUGAAAAAGGAAGUGGAAUUGAGGUAACGCGUUUUGUAUUCCUAGCAUCGUUUAAUAUGCUAGGGAAUUUGGUUCUAUCGAAAGACUUGGCUGAUCCAGAAUCCGAGGAGGCCUCGGAUUUCUUCAAUGCUAUGAAGGGAAUCAUGGAGUGGUCAGGUAUUGCUAAUGUUUCUGAUAUAUUUCCACUUCUUAGAAAGUUUGAUUUACAAAAAUUGAGGAAGAAGAUGACACGAGACAUGGGGAAGGCCAUGGAGAUCAUGUCUAUGUUACUCAAAGAACGCGAGGAAGAACGAAAGAAAGGUAUGGAGAAGAGGAAAGAUUUCUUGGAUGUGUUGCUUGAAUUCGAAGGCACUGGAAAAGAUGAACCAGCUAAAUUAUCAGAACAUGAGAUCAAAGUAUUAAUAGUGGUAAGUUUUAAAGAUCUCAAAAUUUUGCUAUUAUAUUAUUCGAAAUUUUCAUAGAUACACUUAUCUCAUAUUUGUGAUCUAGUGUGAAAGUGGUUGACUAUAUCUGUUCGAAACUUGAAAUUGUUUAUACUGACAGUGUAUAAAACUUAAACUCGUGUUGCAUAUGUAUGAAACAACAGGAAAUGUUUUUAGCUGGUUCAGAGACGACGAGCAGCAGUGUAGAAUGGGCACUAACAGAGCUUUUGCGUCAUCCAGAAGCAAUGGCCAAAGUGAAAACAGAGAUAUCAAAAGUAGUAGGAUUAAGCAAGUUUGAAGAAAGUGAUAUCGAAAAUCUUCCUUAUAUGCAAGCUGUAAUCAAAGAAUCACUUCGUUUACAUCCUCCUCUGCCUUUCUUGAUCCCAAGAAAGACAAUUCAAGACACUAAGUUCAUGGGGUACGACAUUCCAAAAGGCACUCAAGUCCUCGUAAAUGCCUGGGCAAUUGGAAGAGAUCCUGAAUGUUGGGACGACCCAAUGAGUUUCAAGCCUGAGAGGUUUCUUGGCUCAAAAAUAGACGUGAAGGGUCAGAAUUAUGAGCUAAUUCCAUUUGGUGCUGGACGAAGAAUGUGUGUUGGCUUGCCUUUAGGCCAUCGAAUGAUGCAUUUCGCUCUGGGAUCGUUGCUUCAUGAAUUCGAAUGGGAGCUUCCUGAUGGUGUCUCUCCUAAAUCUAUCAAUAUGGAUGAAAGCAUGGGAGUAACAGCAAGAAAACGCGACUCUUUGAAAGUCAUACCAAAAAAGGCUUGACUAUUUAUCAUAGUUACAUAGUAACGACAAGAGGGAGUUGGGUAAACACCCUCACUUCAAACCUUAUCGAGCCAAACAGUAUUUGAGACUUUCUAAUUAUGUAUGCUUAUAUAUUUUUCUUUGUAAUACUACCAAGUAUUUGUAGUGCUUGUACUAAAUGUAUAUUUACUAGAUCUUUGAAUAAGAUUAUAAUUUGGAGAAAUUCAUAUAUGAAUGAUUUAAACUUAUAGAUUAAUACCACUAGUUAAUUAACUCCCCACUUUCAAAUUUAUCGCGAAAAUUAGUACAUUUCCUAGUUAUGCGGUACUUAACUUUGCAAUAAUAAACCUCUUAAAGAAUUAGAAGGCCUAGUAUACUGCGAUGUGUGAUUUGAUCGAAAUUCUGAUUUUACAAACUCGGAAGGAGAAACUGUCAUCCCAGUCAAUCCAAUUGGGAUGCCCUGGACCUGACAUGUCACUUGGAAAGAGUAACAUGAAGCUCAGAAUUGGGGUGUAGUCAAUACUCCCAAAUAAAAAGGGAAUUGAUCUAUGGUCAAUUUCGUAACAAAUCAAAUAAAGAUGAAUUUCUAUUUGUACCUCGUAAAAAAAGCUAUACAACUUCAUAGAGAAAAAUAAAUAAAUUUGCACACACCUAGUGAUCAUAUAAAUUUUUUAUCAUUUAAUCAUAGUUAAUUUAUAUAUGUACUAACAUAAUAUCAAAGUGUGAAUAUCCGUCAGGAUCUAUGAGUCGUUACAAGGAGAUGGAGCAACUAGUGAGUAUUUGUUAAGACUCUUUUAUUAUUUUAUGUGUCAUUCAAUUAAUAUUAAACUCAUAAGUAAUAGUAUGAAGAACAAAUCUUAUCUACUAAACUGAUUACUUAUGAUGCAUCAAAUGAAGUCUUAAUUUUUAUAAAUUAAUCCUUCCUCCAUUGAUUAUGUUACCACAUAUUUUCUGUGUUACUUUAUUCUAUGAUUAAGAUAAGGAUGAAGAAAAUAAUACUUUGAUUAACGCUCUUACUUCUCUCUGGGAUAAUAUCUUUUGCUUCGGUGUUUGAUCAUGAAAACUUUUCACUGAAUUAAAUUUUGAACCUAGAAGUUUUAAGUAUUUGAAAACAAUAAAAAUGUAUUUUCAUUCUAAAUACUCAUAAAAAAGUUAAAGAUAACUCCAAAUUUUAUUGGUGUCGAAACCGAGUUGCACCAAUUUUUAAAUAUUAUUUUCAUUUUAAAAAUAACUUUUUUUAAAAUUUUACAUUACUUAAUAGACAUGUUCUUGUCAUUUUAAUUUUUUUUAAAAUUUUACACUACUCCAAACAUGGCUAAAUUUAUGUUUUUGUAGACAUGUUCUUUGUCAUUUUCCUUCUAGAAGAAACUCCAAGCAAAAUCUGCUUUCCCAUUUAAUUCUGUCACACCCCAUAAAUAUAUGUUCAUCAAAAUUGCCAGUCCAAACACAUUGAAUUCAUGGUCCCACCAUGAGAUUGAAUAUUUCUAAAAUCAGGAUAAGAAUCGAACUCUUAUCAAAGAUGAAAACAAAGAUAAUCAACUGAUAUUGAAUAUUUUGUCCGAUUCUUUUAUAAUUUACUAUUCCAAAUUUUUACUAUUAUCGAUCUCUUAUAACUUUUUAAAUAUAUACCUCUUCUCUCAUAUUUAAACUAUCUUAAUCUCGCAUCCAAACAUGUAGGACAGGUAAAACUUACAUAAAGCAUAGGGAGAUACAUAUUCGUGAAAAGCAAAAAGCCCUACAGUGGGGGGAUUGACCAACUACGAAUAGUAAUCGCAGUUAUUUGGCCACAAAUAACAAAAUAGUGUUUGUCAUUAUGUGAGAUAAAUAGUUGGAAAUGAAUAAAGCCAAAAAAAAAAAAAACACAUUUUGUGGACAUAAUUUAUCAUUGCCCUAAUAUUAUUGAGGCAUAAUUAUAGCUCGAGACCCCAACCUUUGAUCGAAGCCAAAAUUUAAUCUUUAUAAAUUUUUAAUGUGAUUAUAGAAUUUGAACUAAAAUUAUUAGGUUCGAUCGAAUUUGCUCCGACUAUUUUUCCUAAUUACUCACACCACAUCAAUUACCAAGUUCAGAAUGAUAACUAAGACAAAUAAUUUAGAUGCGCACCGAAUAAACGAUGACUAAGUAAAAGUGGUUAUGAGGUGAUGGCAAGCAAUGUAACAUUAUAAGUAGGAGCUCCCAUCACAUAAUUUAUAGCAAACCAAAGAAAUCACCAAAAAAAAAGAAGAAAGAGAGAUGGAAUGGGAAUGGAGCUAUCUGUUUUUUUCUUCAAUCAUAUUGUUAUCAGUUUUCAUCCUAUUUUUUUCACAGAAAAAGAGUACUAAAUGUUGCUACAAAUUACCUCCAGGACCACCUGGAUUACCAAUUUUUGGCAACAUGUUUGAACUAGGAACAGAGCCCUUCAAAAAAAUGUCAGUUCUAAAACAGAAAUAUGGCCCUGUUUUGUGGUUAAAACUUGGCACCUCAACAAAUAUUAUGGUUGUUCAAACAGCUCAGGCUGCUGCAGAGUUAUUCAAGAACCAUGAUAUUUCCUUUGCGGAUCGAUUCAUACCUGAUGUAAAUCAGGCACAUAGUUACUAUCAAGGGUCCUUGGCUUUAGCCCCAUAUGGUCCCUUUUGGCGGUUUCAAAGACGGAUAUGUACUGUGGAAAUGUUUGUACACAAAAAAAUCAGUGAAACAGUGCCAGUAAGGCGAAAAUGUGUGGAUAAUAUGUUAAAAUGGAUAGAAAAAGCAGCAAAUUCUGCUGAAAAAGGAAGUGGAAUUGAGGUAACGCGGUUUGUGUUCCUAGCAUCGUUUAAUAUGCUAGGGAAUUUGAUUCUAUCGAAAAACUUGGCUGAUCCAGAAUCCGAGGAGGCCUCGGAGUUCUUCAAUGCCAUGAAGGGGAUUAUGGAGUGGUCAGGUAUUACUAAUGUUUCUGAUAUAUUUCCGUUUCUUAGAAAGUUUGAUUUACAAAGUUUGAGGAAGAAGAUGACACGAGACAUGGGGAAGGCCAUUGAGAUCAUGUCUAUGUUUCUCAAGGAACGCGAGGAAGAACGAAAGAAAGGUAUGGAGAAGAGGAAAGAUUUCUUGGAUGUUUUGCUUGAAUUCGAAGGCACUGGAAAAGAUGAACCAGCUAAAUUAUCAGAACAUGAGAUCAAAAUAUUCAUAUUGGUAAGUUUUUUUAAAAUCUCUAGACUUCUAUUUUCAACACUAAUGAUCUUCAUUUCAGUUAGUUGUAUUUGCAUAAGAAAACUCUGUUCUGCUUAGCCAAUAACAUCUGGUCCUCACUCCUCUAUCUUCAUUUCUUAUCUUCUACUACUAUUAAGUUGUCGCAGAGCAGUAGAGGUAGGCCGAAAUAGUAUUGAUGAGAUGUGAUUAGACAGGACAUGGUCUUAUAAUACUGAGGAGAUGACUUUAGAUAGGAAGGAGUGGAGGUCGCGUAUCAGGAUAGAAGGUUAGUAGGGAUAGUGUAUGUUGUAGUACUAGUCGUACCCGUGUAGUUCUUGUCAUGUGUUGUUUCUUGUAUUUCGAUUAUCACACUAUUUUCCUAUUGUUAUUUUUCCCUUUCUUGUAAACUUUACACUCAUUUCCUCUUCUUUUACUUGAGUUUGAUGCACUUGAGCCGAGGGUCUUUCGGAAAUAGCAUUGUCUAGUAUUUAUUCUGCAGCAUAUGUUAUUACUUUGUACCAUGAAAUUUGAUUUGUUCUAUGAGUUCAAAAAUUGUUUACACUGACUAUGCAUACAACUAAAACUGUUCCAUAUGUAUGAAACUUCAGGAAAUAUUUUUAGCCGGUUCAGAGACGACUAGCAACAGCGUAGAAUGGGCACUAACAGAGCUUUUGCGCCAUCCAGAAGCAAUGGCCAAAGUGAAAACAGAGAUAUCAAAAGUUAUAGGACCAAACAGGAAGUUUGAAGAAAGUGACAUCGAAAACCUUCCUUAUAUGCAAUCUGUAAUCAAAGAAUCGCUUCGUUUACAUCCUCCUCUGCCUUUCUUGCUCCCAAGAGAGACAAUUCAAGACACCAAGUUCAUGGGGUACGACGUGCCAAAAGGUACUCGAGUCCUUGUAAAUGCUUGGGCAAUUGGAAGAGAUCCUGAAUGUUGGGACGACCCUAUGAGUUUCAAGCCCGAGAGGUUUCUUGGCUCUAAAUUAGAUGUGAAGGGUCAGCAUUAUGAGCUAAUUCCAUUUGGUGCUGGACGGAGGAUGUGUGUUGGUUUGCCUUUAGGCCAUCGAAUGAUGCAUUUCGCUCUAGGAUCGUUGCUUCACGAAUUCGAAUGGGAGCUUCCUGAUGGUGUCUCUCCUAAAUCUAUUAAUAUGGAUGAAAGCAUGGGUGCAACAGCCAGAAAACGCGACUCCUUGAAAGUAAUACCAAAAA